rnacentral:lncRNA from 1 species
UCUUAGUGCAUCCUCUUAUAGUGUUUCUAACAAUAAUCCAGCUACAUCUCCUCCUCAGUAUUGCAUCUUAUAAAAACUUGUUUUCCACGCCAUUUAACAAUCAUAGUUCAUUUUUUUUUUUCGCCAAAGCAAAUAUCAUUACCACCAAUAAAACAAAUUACAAUGUCUGGGCAACAUGCAUAACCUGCAGUGCCAAUUUCCUUCCUCAGGACAUAUCCUCAUGAUUCACAAGUCCCAUACCCUACAACUCAUACAAGUACAAAAAAUAAGACUGAACAAACUGACCAUCUAACACUGCAGCAGAAUUAACAAUUGCUUGCACUCCCCUAUAGCUUGUGCCUUAGCUCCCUACUGGUUACCAGGCUUUUUAUGACCAAUCUCCAUCUAAAUAGCAGGUCAUUGAAUCGAAAUUUCUGGCCCAGUUCCAUUGUUUUUUAGCUCAUGUUUCAGACAACUCCAUAUUGUAGCUUUGAUUUCCUGCAACACUUUGUCUGUGUCUGCUUCCCAAUCCCUUUAACAACCGCUCUUCCUGCAUUUCAUCUUCAAUUGCAGGAAAUUAAAAACUUCCAGAUAUGUUGAAUUUCAUUUGAUGAAAAUGGCGGAGCGACGAAAGAAAUUUUUUUCCAUUUGAUUGGAAAACUUUUGAACUAGAAUUUGAAGGUGGAGAUAAGGUUAGGCUAACUCAACGAGGAAGGGGUUUCUCUCUCAGAGUUGUUUUCUCGAUGGAGUUGGGCGUGUGGUUGGAUGGGAGGUUGCAAGCUCUUGAAAAUAGAUCUAGAGAAAUUGGGUUUCUGGGUAGAGAGAGGUUUAAAGAUCUCACCAUCUUGGUCUAUGCGAGGGAGAACAAGGAUGGCAGAUUCCUUUCAAUGCUUUUCAUCUUCAAACAACUGCCAAAAGGGAAAGUGAUAAUUUGUGUUCCUGCUUGUGAUGACUUUAGUGGAUGGGUUGCUUUCAGAGCAAAUAUGCAAGCUUUUUGUGGUGUUGCUAGGAAGGAGAUGACAGCAUCAACUGAUCCACCAUCGGUGUUUACACAGAAAGUGGGUGGUGCUCAACGUGUCAUGGUGAAGAAGGGAUUUGAAUUUCGUCUCAACUCCUUGAGAAACAAUGCACUGAUUGUGGAAAUCAAGAAAGGGCGCUUUGAUUGGAGUGAAAUCCCAAAGAUAUUUGGGAAAAUCCUUAGGCUGAAGAAGGAUCCGAUUCUCACCCCCAUUAAUCGUUAUAAGAUCAUGGUUGAACUUGAAAAUGAGAAGGAGGUUGAAAGAGUUCUUAUGGUUCCAAGUGUGAAGCUUCCUGGCAUCAGAUUGCAUCUGAAGAAAUGGAAACCCUGGUCUAACACCAUUAAUCCUUCGUUGUUACGUCAACAAACAAGGUGGGUUGAGCUGUUGGGCGUCCCGUUGCAUUUGUGGUCGUUUAGAGUAUUCAAGAAGAUCUGUUUUGGAUUUGGUAGCCUUGUCAAGAUUGAUGAACAAGGAGGUGAGUAUAAGGAAGUUUCACAAUACUGCGACACCCUUUCUUUUCAUUCAUGAAACGAAUAGUGUUAAAAUCCCCCCCUAAACACCAUGGGAGAUUCCAAUAACCAGCUACAUUAGAAAGCUCUUCCUAGAACUGACUUUUCUCUGCUUCCUCUGUAGGCCCAUACACAGUUGUGAACACUGCUUUGAACCCAUCAUCAGUUGACGUGUAGGCAACUGAAAGGGUGAAAGCCCCAUACAAAACAUCAUCAACUUGAAUUCUAUCACUAUUCCAUAUAAGAGUCUGCCCACCAGAUCUGCCAAUAGAAGGAGCAUGUACCCACCCAUGCGGCAUCCUUCCCCAAAGAUAAUUCACUAAGCGACCAUUAACGUCACCAAUUUUGUAUUCUUGUAAUGCUUAAAACUGGAGUAUACUUCAUAACAUUCUCCUUAGUCUACGAGCUUUAUCAAUACUUCUGGAGCCCCUCAUGUUCCAACAAGCGAAGUUAAAAGACAUCAGAAACAAAGUCCUCCCUUUGCAAACCAUCCACACCUUAUUGGAAACUUUUCUUCUUAUUCGCUCUCUCGUAAACAAGAAUUUCCUUCUGAAUUUUUGGGUACAUGCCUUCAAGAUAUCAACCGUGGAAUUGGCACCAUUAGCCACCAUGAUGCCCAUAUCAUUACCAACUCUAGCGAGUGAACUAUUCAACAUAUCUUCCCCCUCAUGUGUCUCUAGAACUCUUGAGCAACCACCAAACUCAAAAGAAGUUGCUUCUUCUGUUUCACUGUCUUCAGCCACCAUAUUCUCAUUCUCAAACGAAUCUCCCAUCUCACUAUUAGUUGCAAGCAACGAUUCCUAAUCACUCUCACCAUCAGAUUGAAACAAAUCCACUUCAUUCUCCUUUCCUCUCGAAGUCGCUCUUCGUAACAGAAUUGGUGAUGAAAUAGACCUAGUUCUUGGUGGGCCUUUAUUCAAAGGGUCCGCCCGAAAAAGAUCUCAUAAAGUUUUGGGCGAAAGAAAUAACAGGUCCAUGUCUCACUUCAAGAAACAAGUCUUCAUAUUGGGCUUGUAGCUCAUCUGCUACAAUCUCAGAUCUUAUCUGAAUACGUGGCACAUUGUCCUCCACCAAGUUAUUCAAAAUUUAAAAAGAUCCUUGCAUGUUUCUUUCCACUUCCCUAGGCAUUGGCCUUGAUCCAGUGGUCUCAACAGAUGUGUGAGCAGAACAAGAACCCCCUUUAGUGAACGCCAGAUCAUUUGCCACAUCAGCAAAGCUACGAUUCUCCUUGACUCGUCCAUACAGAGUCCGAUUCGACUCGCCUUCCUUCUCCACACCAAGAUUGAGGUUUUGAUUCUCAAACUUCGGGCAGAUUCGAAUAGGGUAUGUAACCCCAUCCCCAAUCAAGGGAAGUAUGUGUGGAAUUUUGAGUAAGUCACACCAUUUAACCUGAAUCCUAACUAUAAUUUUGCCUUGAGAGACUUUGAAAUAGAGGGAGCCAGAUAUACCUACUCCAAUCAUCAAGUGAGGUCGACAAUGAGUAGGAUUGACAGAUUUCUAGCCUCGAACUCUUGGAUGGAGCAUUAUGGGGAAUUCAAGGAGUUUUUUUGCAAAAUGCAAGCGUGGGCUUAGGCAUGGACCCCUACCAGUAAAAUUAUCAAAAAAUGUUACAAUCUAGUGUACAUUGUACCAACAACAUCCUACUGGACAAUGGUUUCAAGUUCCUUAUGCAAGGGAUAACUAGACAUGCUAAAACAUUCAUCAUGAUUACAUAUCUUAGUUAACCAAUCAGCAGCUCUGUUGGUCUCCCUAAACACAUGCUUUAUAACAAAGCCUUCCAGCUCCAUUGUUAGUGCCUGAAUUCUCUUCACCACACUUCUAUUCCUCCACGUAAGUUUUACUUUGUUUAGUAUACAGUCAACUGCCUCCUUGGAAUCAGAACAUACCUGCACUUUCUUAAUCUUCAGUUGCAAGAUCAACUUCAUCCCAUGGAGUAUUGCUUCAAGCUCAAUGCUUCCAAUAGUUAUGCCCUUUGAACCACUUGUGUAAGCCAUCACACUACCAUCACUUCUUCUCAUAAUACCAGCACAGGUCCCUCUUUCUUCUAUAAGACUCCCAUCAGUGCAUAGUUGUACAUAUUCCGUAGGAGGCGGUUCCCAUUUACACUCCCUUAUGCUAGGUUGUUUGAAAACCACACAAGCUUGCACCUUAGCACUUGCUUCUCUCUUCACCUUGUUAUCUUGGACCUGAAUCUUCAAGCUAUGGUAUCUCAUCUUCACUUCAUGAAUUGCUGUAUGUGCUACAUGCUUGUAAUCCCUGAAUUCCCCAGUAAAAAUUCUUGCAUUCCUCUCUCUCCAGAUUUCACUCACAGUUGCACACAAAAUUGUUCUACACAUGUCCUUCUUUAAGUUCUCACCUCUAACCAGUUCCAUUCUAGGUCAGCUUGAAGUGGUUUUCUUAGCAUCGUGGACAGCUACAGGUGGUCACGACAUCGUNNNNNNNNNNNNNNNNNNNNNNNNNNNNNNNNNNNNNNNNNNNNNNNNNNNNNNNNNNNNNNNNNNNNNNNNNNNNNNNNNNNNNNNNNNNNNNNNNNNNGUACACAAAACACAAACAGAGUUCUUCAUUGUUCCCCAUUUCAUUAAUCUUUCUUAAGUAUCCAAUCUUCCCUUCACAACCAACCAUGUGAUGAAAGAAUGUCGAGGUAUCAUUGUUUUAUGCCACAUAAGUCUGGUCCACCCUUGUUUUGCACUCCUUUCUCUAAGAACUGCAUAAGAAGAUUUUAUAGUGAAUGCUCCUUUAGGAUCAGGAGUCCACACAACUUCAUCACCAUCUUCAUUCUGAUGCAAUGGCACACCAGUAAUGACAUCCCACAAUCUUCUCACUUCUUCAUCAAUAUGCGGUGCUUGUUUCCAUUGCUCAUCAUUGAUCACCACACUGACUUUAACUGCCUCUCUAAUUCCACACAUUCUUUUUUACUGAGGUUGAAGUGUAUUCUCUUAAUAAACCAGUUUCUGUCCAUGGCUCAUGCCAGAAAAGAGUACUCCUUCCAUCACCAAUUAGAUGUUUUGCAAAGUACUUGCCCCACAUUCUUGGCUUCAGAAUACCCCUCCAAAUCCAGGAACUAUCAUCAGGGAUUUCCAUAGUCCAAAAGAAGUUUGAUUUAACCAGAUGAGUCUGCACCCAAUCAAUCCAUAAGGAUUUCUCUUUGUUCACAAUCAUAAACACAUACUUAGUAAUAGCUGCCUUAUUCCACGUAUGAAGAUUGAUGACUCCCAACCCCCCUUCACUUCUAGGUUUACAAAUAUCAGCCCAGGCUACCUUGCUUCUCUUCCUCUUCAUUUCGGCACCUCCCCAUAGGAAUCUGUAGCACAACUUGUUCAGUGCACUAAUAGUAGCUUUAGGAAUCAAGAAUAUUCUACACCAAUAGAUACUCAUACUGGUCAGAACUAAAUUAAUCAAAAUGACUCUUCCUGCAAAAGAGAGAUACUUUGAUCCCCAAGAGUAAAUCCUGGAAGUGACCCUCUCAAGGAGUGGGUGGCAGUCAGCUUGGGAAAGCCUGGUUGCUAGCAAAGGCACACCAAGAUAUGUAAUUGGGGGGACCACAAUUGGCAUUCCCAAAGUAUCAGCAAAAUCUUCUCUUUCUAGUGAUGAUCCUCCUCCAAAAAGAAUAGAAAAUUUUGUAGGAUUAACUCUUAAACCAGACAAUGAAUAAAAGACAUUCAAAGCAUCUUUAAGAGCCUCUGCAGUCUGAGUAUCGGCGGCGCAAAAUACCAUCAAAUCAUCAGCGAAACAUAGGUGAGUGACUAAGGGAUCUCUGCACUUCGGAUGGAGUUUGAAAGAGCCUUCCAAGUACUUCCUAUUCAGAAUAUGCCCAAACACUUCCAUUACCAUAACAAAUAGCAAUGGAGACAAUGAGUCCCCUUGUCUUAACCCUCGUUGCCCCUUGAAGAAACCUUGAGGAGAACCAUUGACCAUAACUGAGUAGUGAACAAUGUUUAUACAUGUCUGUAUCCAUUGGAUAACCAUGUCAGCAAAUCCAUAGCACUUCAUGACAGUUUCAAUAAGUUCCCAUCUUACUAGAUCAUAAGCUUUUUGAAUGUCAAUUUUCACCGUACAUCGCUUUGAGAUACCCUUCCUCUCAUACUUCCUAAGAAGUUCAUGAGACAACAUUAUAUUGUCUAUAAGGCUUCUCCCUUGGACAAACGCAGAUUGGUUUGGGCUAAUGAGUUUUGGCAGCAUACCUUUGAUCUUAUUAACUAUCACCUUAGCUAUACACUUGUAGAUAACUGUACAACAUGAGAUGGGUCUAUAGUCCUUCAUAGUAGCAGCAUUUUGUGACUUUGGGAUCAAACAAAUAAAAGUUGAGUUAAUGCCCCUAAACAUCUUCCCUGACUUAAAGAAGUUCAGUAUUGCUUUAUUGACAUCAUUCCCAACAAGAGACCAACACUUCUUGUAAAAAUGAGAGUUGAAGCCAUCGGGCCUUGGUGAUUUGCAGUCAUCAAUAUCAAACAUGGCCUCUUUAAUUUCUUCCACUGUAACAUCCAUCCCAAUCUGUUGUGCUUCAUCAGGCAUAAUAGAAUUAAAUUGAAAAUUCAACUCUACCAAGCUUCCAUUCAUUUCCUCUGCAGGUUUUGUUCCCAUGAGACUAACAAAAUACUCAACAGCUUCCUUUUGAAUAUCUUGAUCUUCAGUAAGAACAUUAUCAUUUAUAUCAGUUAAGCUCAAAAUUUUGUUUUGAGACCUUCUUGCUUUAACCCUCCGAUGGUAGUAGGCUGUAUUCUGGUCCCCAAAUUGUGAUUUAUCAGCUUUUGCUUUCUGUCUGAUUGAUGCUUCUUCUGCUUAUGAUAACUCCAUAUAAUUCUUGAUAGCAGCUUUCUCCAUUGCAGCCAAUAACAAAUCAGUAGGUUUUAUUUGUAUCUCUAAUUGGAUUCUCUCUAAAGAUGCCUCAGCUUCUGCAAUUCUAGAACUCAACUUUGACAAGUGAAUUUUACUCCAUGUCUUCAAUUUCUCCUUAAGCCUUUUCAGUUUUGUUGUCAAUCUCAUCAUUGGAUUCCCAAUUGCACUCUGCUGCCAUGAUUCCUCAAUCACCGUCUGAAAUUCAGCAUGACUAGUCCAAUGGUUAAAGAACUUAAAUGGUGACCCCACCUGAAUUGGAGUUUGUUUCCACUUGAUAAUGAUAGCACUAUGAUCUGAGAUUCCCUGUGUAAGCAUGUCAGCAAAAGAUUGAUCAAAUGCAUUAGCCCAUUUAUCAUUAAUCAAACACCUAUCAAUACGAGUCAAAGUUCUUCUCCUUUCAUCAAUGCUUCUAUUAGACCAUGUAUAGAAACGCCCUGUAGCAGGUAUAUCAUAAAGAUUAGCUUCCAUUAGACAGUCACUGAAGUCCCUUACAUCACAAGGCUGCAAAGGAUUACCUCCCACUUUCUCAGUAAGGUCUUUGCAGGUAUUAAAAUCACCAAACAGGGCCCAUGGUAAAGAAAUAUUUGUUGCUAGAGAACAAAUGUACUGCCAUAAUUCUCUUUUCUCCCUUCGGGCAUUACUAGCGUAUACACAAGUAAGAAGGAACUGUAUGUUAUCAGCUAUAACCCUUACACCAAGAUGGAUGGAUUGUUUCUGUAUAUUAUGAAUUUGUACAUCUAAAAUAUUAGAUUCCCCAAAAACCAAAAUUCUAGCUCUAUUGUGGCCUGAGCUAUUAUGACAGAAAUUCCAAUUAUUCCCUAGUCUAUUCAAAAUAGAGUUAGGAUUACCUCCCCAUACAUUAGUUUCCACCAGAGAAUGAGGCUGAGAUGUUGCAUGUGUACUAAAGACACUAUUCCGGCUACUUUACCAACAGUAUUCAUUCCACGGAUAUUCCAGGCACCUAUCUGUGUACUCAUCUUCUUCCUUUUCGGUUUGCAUAUUCCUUUCCCAUGUCUUUGGGCUUUUCAAAUGUAAAGUUUUGUCCCCUUGCUGCACUUCUAGCCCUUGUAACUGGUUUUGAUAAUUUCUGCUUCUCUUGUUCCGUAAGGUGGUAUUUGUUGCCAGUAGUCAUCUGAUGCAUGAGGUCAUCUUUCUUUGAUUUCAUUUGUCGCAUCACACCAGGUUCCAUUUCAACUUCACUACUAUCCUCCCCAUCAUCUGCCUCUGACAAAUUUGAAUAUUCUUGUUCAACAAUACCUUUGCCUUUAGAACUCACUCUAUUGCUCUUUUCUUUCUCUUGUGCACCUCUACUAUUACUUAUAUUCUUCAUCUCUUCUUUUUCUGGUUGUGUUUGGGCCAUUUUCGGAGUUGUGUGCUCCAAAUUCACAUCUUGCUGCAUCUCCCCUUGCUCUAAUUCACCUUGUGUUUCUAAAACUGUUUCCUCUUCCUCAACAUCUCCAAGAACCUGGAAUUUGUUGAGUCCCACAACUGAUUGGCCUGCUUUAGUAGAAGUUUCUCCUCCUCUGUGUCUACUGUUCUCCCCAUUCUUGUGAACAAUCUCCUCCUGGUUCUUAGGUCUCGAUCUUCUCUGCUUCGGUUUUGUCCACAUCUUACCAAGGUUCCCACCUUGAUAAUUUUCAGAACGCACAGUGGUACUCUUCAUAUUGUUGUUCUUCUGAUUCGCCUUCUUCUUCUCCUCAACUAUCUUGUUAUUUUCACAGCUCCCACUAGAAUGGCCAAAGACGUUUGCACUCAGACACAUCAAUGGCUUCCAUGUGUAUUCCAAUUGAACAGUAACGAUUUUUUUUGCACUCACUCUAAAUGGAAUCACAGUAGGCAACUCUUUUUCAGCUUUCACUUCCACACAAAUUCUAGCAUAAGACAACAUAUUCUUAGCUUCCGUCAUCUUAUCCAUGAACAAUGGCUUUCCAAUCAUGCUCCCCAAUCUACUAAAGCCUUUAAUCCAUAAAUUCUUUGGAACAUUUGACAUUUUCACCCACAAAGGUACAGAUCUGAUUGCUCCCUUGUUCUCUUCAACGUCUCUAGUUAAUUUUCUCACAACAAAAAGCUUCCCUGAGAUAUACACAGAUCCCAUCUGUAGAGCUUCCUCUUUAUCUUCAUCACUUGCAAAGCUGAAAUAGAACAUAUCUCCAUCUAGUGCAACGUCAACCUGGCCUUUCAAAUUCCACUUCUUUAACAUUGCUUCCUUUACCAUCAUGAACGGCAAUUUCUUAUCAAGAAAGAACCCUACCAAUUUCUCCUCCCAUUCCUUGGCUCCCUCAAUAAGAACCUCCUCUUCAAUUUCUAGAACUCCUUCCUUUGUCUCAACAGUUACAAAAUUUAAUUCUUCGUUUCCUGCUGAAGGGGGUGGGUCUUUAAGAAGUGAGCACCAUGCCUUCUUUGGAACUUCUAUGGCUUCCUCUGCUGCUUCCUCAGUCAUAUUCGCAAGCACUACCAAAUCCUUGCACAUUCCAUCAACAUGUUGCUCUUGGUUACCCACUUGUUUAUCUUCUUUCAAAAUAACAGCUUGGGGUUGUUGUUCUGCAUUUAGUUCAUUUAAAGAUUUCAAUUCCAUCAAGAUGGGGUUUUCUUGAACAUCAGAUCUGUUCAUAUUGUUAACUUCUGGUGAAGGAAGAAGUAAAGGGGUUUGUUGGUUAGAGGUUCGGAGUGGACAGGUAUGGGUUUCUUCACCAUGGGUGUUAAAGGUGGAGGAGAGGGAGGUCAAAAGAGGUUCAGGCUGGUCGGAAACCGCCAUCCCCACCCCGAAGGGGGGAGGAGCGAUAAGAAAAUUACCAAAAAAAGGAGUUUUUUGGUAUGGUGGAUGUCUUUUUAGGAUAAGGUUUUCUAAAAAGGCCUGUUUGAGGAUCAUACGAUCAGUACAACAACUUAAGAGAAGUUACCGCAGCAGAGCGCGUUGUUGGAUAUUCUCUUGUGAAUAUGAGAUGCUUUGGGAGUUCAAGGAGUUGGGUCUUGGGUUUCAUUUCUCUGAUCACCGAAUGUUGGUUCUGCAAAAUUGCAAUCACUUAGGUGGCCCUAGGACAUUUAAGUUUGAGAUGGCAUGGCUGGAGAAAGGUUCAUUAAUACAGUGCAUGAAACAUUGGUGGGGAGAGAUGGAUGUUAGGGGAAGACUGGGUUUUGUCAUGUUCAAGAAGCUCCAAAUUCUAAAAUUUAAAAUCAUUGAGUAGAAAAAGGCCAAUGUUGGCAGGUUUGAAGUCAGAGUUAAAGAAUGUCAGCUCUGGACUUACUUGAGCACAAGGAAGAAGUGUCAAAUCUCGAUGAAGCUGAAAUGGCAGAAAAAGAGGAGUGCAUCAGGAAGUUAAACGAUGCAUUGAAUAGUGAAGAUAGGUUCUGGAGUUCUAGAGCAAAACUCAAGUUUGCUAGAGACAGUGAAAAAUGCACGAGCUUUCUUCAUAAAGUAGCCAAUGCAAGGUAUAGUAACAUAUGCAUAUCGGUUCUGAAAGCGGGAGAGCACCUUACUCAAGACCAAGCCUGCAUUGAAAAACAUAUUGUAUACUAUUAUGAACAACUCUAUACUGAAGAUUUCUGUUCUAGACCACAUAUUAAUGAGGUGCAGUGCCAAACUCUGAAUGUUUCUGAUGCUGAAUGGUUGGAGAGAGAGAUCAGUAGUGAAGAAGUUAAGAAUGCCAUAAAUAGUUUGGAGGCUGAAAAGUCUCCUGGCCCUGAAGGUUAUCCUUUAGCAAUCUACACACUUUGUUGGGAAUUCAUGCAAGAGGAUAUCAUGGUUGUAGUAAAGGAGCUCUAUGAUAAUGAUUUCAUCAAUUGGCGUCUGAAUAACACUUUUGUGCCUCUCAUUACCAAAUGUCCUGGUGCCAUUGAUAUAUCUGAUUUUCGUCCUAUGAGUUUGCUUGGAGGGGUGUAUAAAAUUUUGGCCAAGACCCUUUCUAUUCGGUUUAAGACUGUGCUGCCAAAACUGGUUAGCAAUUGUCAAGGUGCAGCUGUAGAAGGUCGUCAGAUUUUAGACGGGGUGUUAAUUGCGAAUGAAUUGAUUGAUAGCAGAAGAAGAGAUGGUCUCCCAGGUCUUGUGUCUAAGAUGGAUUUUAGAAAGGCUUUCGACUAUGUGAAUUGGUCUUUCUUGGACUACUUACAGCAAAGAUAUGGUUUUGGAGUUAAAUGGCCUCGAUGGAUCAUUGCAUGCAUUUGACUGCAUACUUGUCUAUCCUAGUGUAUGGUACUCCAAAAGGGCAUUUCAGAACUCAUAAAGGACUGCGCCAAGGAGAUCCAUUAUCCCCACUUCUUUUUGUUUUGGUGACAAAGGCUUUGACAAGGAUGGUGUGGCAACAACAGGAUAGAGGUCGUAUUGUUGGUUUUUGCCCAACCCCUAGCAGCCAAGCAAUCCCUAUUCUGCAGUACGCUGACGAUACCUUAGUGUUCUUAGACUUCAACCAAGAGUAGAUAAGGUAUAUGAAGGCUAUUUUUCUUUUGUUCGGAGUGGUUUCUGGGUUGAGUGUUAACUUUGCGAAGAGUACAAUUUAUGGUGUCAAUGUGAGCGAUGAUUUAUCUAUGGUUGCAUCGUCAUGGGGUUGCCGAACUGGAAAUUUCUCAGCCACUUACCUGGGCCUGCCACUUGCUGCACCUUUUAAGAGCACAACGGUUUGGGCAGAGGUUUUAGAAAGAGUCAAGAAAAGACUAGCAACAUGGCGGCGUAAGUACUUGACUGCAGGGGCUCGUAUUAUCCUUUUAAAUUCAACAUUAGCAAGUCUCCCCAUCAACUUUCUAUUGUUGUUGUAUGUUCCAUCAAGUGUUGCAAACUCAACUGAAAUGUGCAUGAGGCAAUUUCUUUAGGGUUCCCAAGGUCCCACGCAUAAAUACCAUCUUGUCUCAUGAGAGAGUUUGUAUGCCAAAGCAGCUGGGAGGGCUGGGUUUAAGGAAGAUUAAGGAAGUGAAUGUUUCAUUGCUUGGAAAAUGGUUAUGGAGGUUGGCAGACGAUGAAGAGGGACUAUGGAAGUCAGUUAUUAAGGCCAAAUAUUCAAUGGAGCCAAUGGGAUGGUAUACUAGUCGUCAGUCCAACACAUAUGGCUGCUCAUUAUGGAAGGGGAUAAUGAACUGCAAGAAAAUUUUCAAUGCAGAAAUCUCGUUCAAGUUGGGCAGUGGUGUGAGGAUCAAAUUUUGGGAGGACUUAUGGUGUAGCAGGAGGCCCUUGAAGAUUUUAUUCCCAGAUAUCUAUCACAUUGCUACACUGAAAACUGGGACUGUUAUGCAGCAUGUUAAUCUAACCGGGAGUGGUUACGAAUGGGAUCUACACUUUAGAUGAAAUGUCUUUGACAGGGAACUGGAACAAGCCUCUCAACUAGUGGACUUAAUUGCACAACAGUCUGUCAAUUCCGAAUCUGAUAGGAGACUAUCGAUGGGUAAAGAUGUGUUAUACAAGCCAAAGUCCAUGUAUGCUAGGAUGAAGGACAGUAGAAUUCAGUAGAAUCAGUUGGCUUUUUACGGUUUUCCUACGUCUAAAGUCUGGAAUCCGAAAGUGCCAACUGAAGUCUCAUUCUUCAUGUGGGUGCUCACCUGCGGAAGGGUGCUGACUGUAGACAAUCUGCAGAGGAGGGGUGUGAUCAUUGUAAACAGGUGUAGUAUGUGUUGUGUUGAUGCUGAGUCAAUCGAUCACUUAUUCAGAUCAUGUAGGGUGGCUAGAGAUGUUUGGGACUUCUUUAUAAAUGAGUUCAACAGUAGGGUGGACAGAGACCAGGGAUUGUCACAUAUGUUAUGCAAUUGGAAGUGCACAGACUUGUCUAGAGUGGGCAGAAUGGUUUGGAAGGUGUUGUUUCAUGCAAUAUGCUGGCUUGGGGCAUUUGGAAUGAAAGGAAUAGAAGAGUUUUUGAGGGGUCAAGCAGAGAUUUUGGGCAGAUUAUCAACGAUGUAAAGAUGUUGACUUGGCACUAGACCUUCUUCAGACCAUCCAUGGGUGGGAUUAGACUAGAUAAUGUUGAGAUGGGAGGACAUUAUAUUUCUUGUACAUUGAGUGUUCUUUAUCUUGUACUAUGGGCUAGUGUGAACCUCUCACAUUUUUUAAUGAAAUUGUGUUUUAGUGGUAAAAAAAAAAAAUUGUUGAUUGACAAUCUUAUUUUGUAGAAACAAAAAAUUUACAAGAUUCGCAUUUGUCAAAUAAUUGUUUAUGCAAUGUAAAGCCUCCUUCAAUAGUGCUUUAAAGAUCACCCCGGAAGACAACUUGUAACUAUCUAAUAGCUAUUUUGGGUUCACAUUAUUCACAUGAGGGAGAAUGUUUGGGCUUGAAACAAUCAAAAUGCAUACUCUAGCCUGAAAUAAUUGGAUUCAGUCAAUAAAGUCUCAAUUAUGAAUAAUGUCAUGGAGAAGAAAUAUAGACAAAGUGCAAUAUGCGUAAACAUGGAAGCAGGUUACCGUGUAUUCUGAAGUCAAACCCAUAAAGAAGAGAACUUACUUGUAAGUAGGUCAUAUAAGGACUUGCAUUCACAACUCUUAAUGCUCUAUAUACUUCGAAAGGAUCUGCAAAUGUUCGACGCUCAAAACGUGGAGUUAAAACAAUCUGAACUAUAUCUCCAGCCAUGAUGUCUUCUUUUGCCUGAACUACAGCCUUUUUGUAUGCUUCACUUGUAAUACUGGACUUCUUCCACUAAGAAGCAAAUUGGCGAGUAUGCAACAGCAAGUCACCCGUGGCGAACCUUGUACUGCAUCAGACAGUUCAAACUUCAAAUGUACAGUGAAAACGAGUAUACCUAAAGUGUUAUGAUCUUUUAAUAGUCAGAUGUCUAUCACAUGAUGUUAUACUUGAUAGACUCUUACGAUUGCCACUGAAAGUGCUAAAGUUCAUUCAUAUGCUUACCUACCUCAUGGUACACCUUAAUUACUGGUCCUAAAUUUUGUACAUUCAUUUCAAACAAUCAACAGUUAUUGAAGUUAAAACUUGUGGUUAGAGUAAACUACAAUGAAUGUUAUCAAUAUAAUGGAUAAAAAAGAAACCUAUAAAAAUUUUAUUUUAUUGCAAGAUAUAAUAAUCUUAUUGGCACAAUGAUUAAAAUUAGUUAGUAAUGAGCAAGGGAUAGUACCUCAGAUAGAUAUAAAUACCUAUGUUGAUUAAACUGAUUUCAUAUUUCUGACAACAUAAAAUGCUUCUAUACAUCAUUAUUUUUAAUAAUGGUCGUUUCCCACAAUUCAGUAGUCUCGUCGUCAAUUUAACUCUACCCAACUGCGUAUGAUAAAACCAAAUUAAACUAAAAAAUUAAGUUGCAUGAGCAAUGUUAGAUGCAUUUGCAUGAAGUUGUUCAAAAGUCCUCUCACAACUGACGGAUGGAUUUCAUUUAUACGUGUUCGCGCAUCCGAUACGGGUUCGAUAUUCUUUCUUAAUCUGGAUUAGACAUGUUACAUAGAUGUUUAACUAACCAGUCUGAAAAUGUUGACUUUGGAAUUAUCUUGAUAUAUGGGCAUGUAAUUAAAAAUAUUAUCUGUUGAAAAGUGCUUUGAAGUUCAAAUUUCAACUUAUCAUAAACCCCAACCUUCCAAUGAGUACAAACUCAGGAUCUUGACUGUUAACAUUACGAAGUACUUAAACUACCAUUGCAUCCUAAUGCCAAUAACACGCCUAUUUUUCCCAAAUUUAAUAAUUUGAAAUAAUAGUUAUAAUACUAUGUAGAAAAGGAUUUAAAAUUUGUUUAUAAAACUAUUAUGCAUACAACCUUAGACUGGAAUGAACUUAUCAUGUGCAAUACCAGAGGAAUAACAUACGUAAAAUUUGUCUCUAUAAGCUGAAAUGCAAUAGAUCGGCCACAGAGUAAAUGUCCAUCAGACUAUGUCUUAGUGCAUAGUGAACGUGACAUUAUGCUAGAUGUCAAAACUAUACUAAAAACAUGAAGAUGCUGAAGGAAGGGCUCAAACCUUCGACCUUGUGCUUUAAAAGCCACAUGCUCUAACUAAUUGAGCUACUUCAGCUAAUUAUGCAUCCCUAUGCUAAAUGUCAAACCUUGUUAUCAACUAUUCACAUUAUAGAGCAAUUUUUGUUCAAGUGUCUCGCAAAAUUCACAAGAAAAAAGAAAAGAGAGUUCCAACCACACAAGUACAAAAAAAAGAAUUAAAAAAAAACCAUAAUAGUAGAAUAAAAUCUAAGUUUUAGAAGUUAGUGGUAGAAUAUGUUAGGCAACUGGCAUAGUGCAUGGGGAAAAGAUGUUAUGUUUUAAUCUAAUAUUGUCAAAAACACCAUAUAGCACCGACCAAACAUCAGCGUACUGAAAUGAGCAUUCAUAAAGUAAUAAUAAGUUCACUACAAUACCCUGAAUAGAAAUUGAACUUAUCACUACCAUGUUUAGAUGUCUUUUUGCUACCGCAAUUAAACACUUCCAUGGUACCAAAUGUAAAAGAAAGAUAACCACAAAUGGUAGUCACUCAAUGAUAUCAUCAUAAACUCUUAUCAAUAUUUGCAAAAGGAGCAAUUUUUUGAGUUGGGAUUUGACAUGAUUUGAAUUUUUUUUUCUUAACAUUGUUUUUUAGUGCUCUCCUUUGAACUGAAAAUAAUUAAGAAUAAAAAAUAUCUUUAUUAUGUUGAUACAUGCCAUUGGUCAUCAACGCAAGUAAUAAACAUCCUUAUAGCAUCUCUAUAAUAGGCCAUGUAGCCAUAGUAGAAAUGGGUAUGUAAGCUGAUUAUGGUAAUUGGAAUAUGAUAAACUUUAAGCUACAUAUAAAUGGUUUUUAACUACAUGAUUAUUCCAAGCCCAUAUAGGCAACAUUUAUGAGAAAUGAAGAAUAAACAAAAUAAAAAAUGAGCGACAUUUUUUUGAAAAGACAGAACAUUUUGAAGGUUAAAAAGAUAGAAAGAAACCUUGAGCUCAAUGCUAAUGUAAUCAGCUUUGAGUGCCAUUGCUACGAUAAGUGCAUUCGUUCAUGAAUUUUUAUAAUUCACUUACAAACUAUCAUCCCAUUUUGUCCUGUAACAAACUGUUAGAUAUUAGGUCGUUAUAGAAGGUUGAACCUUUUAUACGAAAGAGGAUCAGAAUACCAAAUAAGUAAUACUGGAGUUUACAAGGAAAACAAGAGGGAGAGAGAUGCAAUGCUUAUUCAGUAAGAAUGACUUAUUCUUAGCCAUAGCUAUAACUGAAAGGAAUUAAACCUAGAAUAUAGAAGAAUGAAUAUGUGAACACGAGGAUUCCAUUUUUACUUUAUCUGAUUAAAAAGGAGUUUGAACUAUGCACCUGAAACAGAUUGUAAAUAGUAAUAAACAUGCGGCAACAUGCAGAGUAGCUGUGGUUAAUAAUAAAACAAGAAAUAAGCUUUUGUAAUGACCUUAUCCCAUUGGAUCGUUUUCGACAUAUUCAAUAUAAUUAGGUACUUAAAAUAGCAAUUUUGUAUAAAAAUAGAGAAAAACUAAGAUGUGAUGGUGUUUCUCCUGCCAAGAUAACACUUGCAUGUCGUUGUAAGCCUAUAGAUUUCAAUAACCAUUCACCAUUUUUGGAAUUUAUGGCAGAUAAAGUUACAAAGAUAGCGAAAAAAGUUUCAACAGAUUAGAUUGCUAAAUAAAAGGUACCUGAGCAUACAAUUCUGCAUACUUGUAUAUGGGACCCUCAAACAAGUAGAUAUAACUUCUGAGAAGAAAUCCAGUAUUUGACGAAAUAGUAAAAUAAAAAUAAAUCGCUAUUACCAUUAGCACAAUAUACUGUCUCAAUUUAACGACAUGGCCAUGAUCGGUUUAGGUGUAGAAUUUUAACAACUUCCAGAUUGUUUCUGACUUUUCACUUGAUAGGUCUUUUCAUGGUAUCACAGGCUGGCAUAUUCACAUGUGUGGCUUCUUUGACAGUAUUGGCCACGACAGCAAUAACAAUGACAGUUGCCUCAUUCGUUCUUAGAUUAAGAAGCACACUGUUUAAACUUGCAAUUGUGUAGGUUCACUCUUGGAUUAAGAAGCACACUGUUUAAGCUUGCAAUUUUGCAGGUUCUUGAAUUCCACCGUGAAUUUGUAUAAUUGAUUUUUUCGUAUUAUAUUACCUUAAAGUUUAAGUUCUAGAAAAGCCAACAAAUUUAUGAUUUAUUGUAGGUGCCUCUUCCCCAAAUACUUUGGGGAAAUGACUUUAAUUGUAAGUUCUAGAAAACAGGUUUCGUUGACAAUACUUUUUUUUUCUUCUGAAAUCGAGCUCCCCUUCCCCGCUCUAUAAAUUCUCUUAAAGUUUCUCUAGUUAUUCACUGUCUGAUCUCUAUAUUUAGGUUCGCCCCAUAAUUUUCUACAAGUUUUUUAAUAUAACUUUUUUUCUUAAAAAAGAGAUGAUUAAGUUUUUAAGUACUUAUGCAUGGAUUACAUGAUACCUUUUGUAAUCUUUAUCAGGAAUAUACCUUUUUAAGUAUAUUCCUGAUAAAAAGUAGCCACUGGGAGGAAUGUAAUAAUUAAGAUUUAAAAAAUACUUGUAUGCUAAGAAACACGAUGGAAUUCAAGUCAAUUGUCUUUCUUUCCAUAUUACUUAAUUGCAAUGGUAAACAUAUGCCAGAUUAAUCUUACAUUGAAACAUGCAUAGAAAAAGGCAGGUCUGCACCAGCCACAGGCCAGGUAUUUGUUCUAUGUUGUAGGGAAAAAAUGAAAACAAAUUAAAGUCAAUUUCUUGGCAGCCAUUACAAAGUACUAUUGACAAAAGUUGGCAAUAGCUCCGAAAAACCACACCAUGUUAAGCAAAAAAAAAAAAAAAAAAAAUUGUUUCUCGUGCCUGAUGGUUGAUUUAUUUUUUUAGGGAAAUUUAAACCAGGUCUCACUUGGUCAAGUGGGUUCCAAGUCGUGGCAACUUGACAAAGUAUUAUAUGACUUCCUCAACUCAUAUAACAAAUAAGCUUUCUACCUCUAGGAUUAUAAACAACAUGCCUUUAUUUCUUUUACUUGCGUAGAACUACCUUACCUAAGGCUAUCUAAAGUUAUUAGACACAGCUAAUAUAUGCAUAAAAAAGGAUACACACCUCUGUUCCAAGCAAUGCCCAUUGCCAUAAAAAAGGAUACACACCCUAUUUAGUGGUGAAGAUUAAGCCAUCACCUAAAAACAAGAUCAAAAUUAUUCGAUUAAAGAUGUAUUUAAUUGGAACACAACCAAAUGACGCAAACAAAAUAAAGAAAGACUUAAAAGAUUUAUUAUCUGGAGUUUUGAAUAAUUUCCUGCAACUCUUUCAAAGUCUUCCCCCAAAACAGAGGACAUAUCACCCGUUACAUGAUUAAACGUAAUUGAAUGAUCACGGAAAUAUAUUGAUUAUCUUACAAGAAUGGGUGAAUUUGUACUAUUUUUAUCUCUCGAACGGGUGAUAAUCAAGUAUACUGAUUGUCUGCUUUGAUAAUGAUCCUAUAAUCUUUGCAACUUGUAUUGGUUAGCUACUUACUCGGGAUCGCACGGAUCAUAUAUGUAAGAUCUGCUAGGAAAAUAAAGUAUAGUAGUCAGUAAAACAAAGUUGUUUAAAGCUUCAAUAGAGUCAACCCAACGGGCAAGGGAAAAAAUAGGAUGAAAUAGCUAAUCAAAGUACUUGAGGGUUAUGGCCAUCUUUUUUCCUCUCGUAAUGUUUCUACAAUAACGAAAUGGAAAAAUGUACUUAACAAUUUAUAUGAAAUAUUAUGCCUAAGACAUCUGGGUUAUUGAUUAUUCAUAUAUCACAACAACACAAAUGCUCAAAGCUAAUUGUGUUAUUGCUCACAGUUAGCUAUCUAGGGCCAUAGUUCUAUGAGUUUUGUUCGGACAAAUAGAAUCCACAAGCAAGAGAAGAUGAGCUAUACAAUAUUGUUGCAAUGCAACACAAGUAUGAUUAGCAAUUUGUUUCUCUGAUGUUGUCAGUACCUUUGAUUGUGAUCUAUCAUUUCACAACCAUCCAGGAUUAGACAGUCCAAGUACCAGAAUUGCCUCCAGAUAUCACACAGGCAACACCAAGUAAGAGAUUUAGUACUUUGUACUAUUGAACUCAACAUUACCAUGUUGACAUGUAUAUCUACCAUAAAUGGCAGUCAGUCAGUGACAUCAUCAACAACCCUUAUCAAGAUAUGCAAAAGAAGCAAUUUCUUAAAUUGGAAUUUGACAUGAUUUGAAUUUCCUUUUUCUUAACCUUGUCUUUCAGUGCUCUUCCUUGAUCUGAAAAUAAUUAAAAACCAAAAAUAUCUUUAUUAUGUUGAUACAUGUCACUGGCAACAUUCUUAACAUCUCUAUAAAAAGGUCUUUGACUGUAUGAUUAUUCCAAGCUUAUAUAAGUAACAACAUUUAUGAGAAAUGAAGAAUAAAUAUAACCAAAAAUUUAUUGACAACUCUCUGAAAAGGCAGAACAUGUUGAAGGAUAAAAAGAUAGAAAGAAACCUUGAGCUCAAUGUCAAUGUAAUCAGCUUAGAUUUCCAUUCGUACAGUAAGUGCAUUUGUUUAUGAAUUCUUAUAACCUUUUUACAGACCAUCGUCCCAUUUUGUCCUGGAACAAACUGUUAGCUAUAAUUUUUAAACUGAAAGGGAUCAGAUAAGUAAUACAUUAAUACUUGAGGUCCAGAAGAUAAAAAAAGAGGGAGAGGGAUGCAAUGUUAAUCAGUAACAAUGACUUGUUGUUAACCAGUGCUAUGCUUGAAAAGAGUUAAACCUAGGAUAAAAGAAUAGUACAUAUAUAUGUUUUUAGUAAUCUGAUUGAAAAGAGUUUCCACUAUGAACCUGAAACGGAUUGUAAAUAGCAAUAAACACACGACAACAAGCAGAGCAGCUGUAGUUAAUAAUAAAACAGGAAAUAAGUUUUUAGUAAUGACCUUAUCCCAUUGGAUUGUUUUAGCAUAUUAAAUAUAUUUAGGCACUUAAAAUAGCCAUUUGGUAUCAAAGUGAAAAGCUGACAUGUGAUAUAUGAUGGUGUCUCUCCUGGCAAGGUAGCACUUGUUGUUUGUCUCUGUAAGAAUACAUAGUUCAUUAACCAUUCACCAUAUGACAUUUCUUCACAUGCUAUUAUACUUCUAAAAACCACGAGAAAAUCAUAAUAUAUUUCGGAAUACAUUACAUAUCAUAGAGAUGUAAGUCUUAUAAUAGUGAAAGUACUUAACCUAAAAUGGAUUUUCUUCAGGUAGUUUGUUAUUAUAGGAAGUUAUGGAACUAUGUACAUAGGAGUUCUUCGUAUAGAUGUGAAUAUUAGUGAAGGUACUUAAUCUAAUGGAAAAAAGUGCUUCGAAGAGUUUCAUAGUUGAGUGUGAAGUUUUGAGAGAAGUUCGACAUAGAAAUAUGUUCAAGAUCUUGACUUUCUCCUCCAUGCUUUUAUCAUCUUGACUUUUUAUUUUAGUUGAAUUCUUUUCAUCCAACUAUCCAAGGUAACAGAUAAUGGAAUAUAUAAAAAUCAUGUGAGCUUUUACUGUUAUCUUGGUUAUUAAUGUCAAACACCAAUAGUUAAUUUUUAUUGUAGCUGAGUGUUAUUUUCUUAUGAUCUUGACUGACAACUAUCCAAGGUAAUGAUUUCAAAGUUCUAAUAUUUGAGUACAUGCCCAAUGGAAGUGUUGAGAUUUGUUGCAUUCUGCUUCAAUGGAAGGAGAAGAGAGAGUUUAUAGAGACAUGAAAAGAGGGAUUUUGUUAAAGACAAACUAUGGAGAUUUUAUACAGUAGUAGUUAACCAUGGAAACACCAAUCUACUCUAAGUGGUAGAAAGUACCUUAUUAUGAGCUUAAAGCCUUAAACCAAUCUGACAACUGAAAUAUUGCUUCUUUACACCUCCGUACAACUUAUCUCCAAAAGUCUAAAAUAGUCUGCAGUCACAAAUGAACAAAAGAUUUGUUAAGAUGGGUGUAAGCUAACACAGUUUUACCAUUCAGUACAAAGUGUCUUAUUUAUUAGCCGACUUUCUUAAAAACCUCUCAUCAAAUCUCUAGCAUGUCCCUAAAAUGUCCUAAAUUAUAAAGCAGUUCAAGCAAGUUAUUAUAUCAAACAUCAGGUAAACUCCUUAAAUCAUUUGAUAAAGCAGUCCCUAAGAUGUCAUAAAUUGGAAUAAUGCCAGGUAUUCUACGCCCCGCUUCAGUUAUAGCCAGAGGGUACAGUGGCAUUCCUGGACAUGCCAUUGCAGUUAUAUUCAAUGGAUCCACAUACUUCGGGUGCUGACCACAUAUAAAAUUUGUUGUACACCAAGACACUUGUACCAAUUAAGUAAAGAUACUACAAAUGAGAUGAGUGUCAUAUGUACCUGGAGGUCCUGAAUUUCAUAUUAUUAUAAUGGAAAUACUUCAAGUACUAACAGACAUCCAUCACAGACUACUAAGUUUCCUUUGUUUUCUGGUAUCUUGUUUCAUUGAAAUUAUAUUACCGUGUAGUAAAGUAAAAUAAGUAGUAGUAGUGUUGUGGACUUGUGACCUCUGGGAAUUGGCUGAGGGAUUUUGACAUAUUUAUUGGGCAUUCACCUUCCUUAAGCAAAAUUUAAUAUUGAACAGACUCCCUACGUUUAAAUCGGUGAUAGACCUGUUUUUACUUUUUCUUUUCUUUGUUUUGAAUGGCAAGCCUGUUUUAAUUAGAUCAGUAACUCACUAUUUUCUUUUUAACUAAAACGGAAUAUUCGAUCUUACCAGCAGUCCAGCCUGUGCGAGAGCCAUUGCUAUUGGACGUCUCCAAUGGCGACGAGUAUCACACAAGAUUAUGUUCUGGUUUGGUGUGAGACAUACAUCCAAAUUGUAUUACUCAAUUACUUCUCUUAAUGUCUUCUUCAUUUUCCACCUGAUACGAUUGUGGAUCGGAUCUCGGGUAAAUCAGGACCAUCCAAAGAAACUUAAAUAUGGACCCAAAGAGAAAUUUAAUCAAUGUAGUUGAUUUGGGCCAAUUAUUUUCUUUUUCAAUAUGCAUAAAAUUUCAAUAGAUUCAACUCAAAGCAUGAAAAUAUCAUAAUCAAAAGGAAUUCACACACUUCAACAAAUUUUUUGUCCAAUAUACCCCUACCACAUAUUAUUUGACUAAACCCCCCAAAUUUAAGUAACAGAAGUUCAUUAACAAUCGUUAACCUCCGUUAACGGAACAUAUAUUUGUGAAAACCCCCCGAUAGUUAAAAGUUUAAAACAAAAGUAAAAUCAACUCUGACCUACCUGGUCAGUUAAAUUUUAAGUGUUUUUUUUUUUUUUUUUUUUUUUUUUUUUUUUUUACUUUUCAGGGGUGUUUAGGCAAAUAGGGAGUUAACAUGUGUUAGUAAACUUCUGUUAAUGAUAAAUUAGGGGGUUUCCUCAAAUAUGAGGGGUCAGGGGUAAACUGGGCAAUACAAGGUCUAAUUUGGGGGGUUUGGGGGUUAACGCCAAAAAUGGACAAAUGAGGGGGUUCUUGCCAAGAGUGACCAAAACCUGGGGGGUUAUCGCCAAUUUUCCCGACAAUAAAAGAAAAAAUAAUUUAAGAUUUUCUGGUUUCUUGAGAGAAAGACGGAGAAUUUAAGGUUUGGAAAAAGAUAAUUUAAGGUUUUUGGGUCGAUGUCUAUAUAGCAUACAUAAUUCAGCAAUGACACUUACAAAAGAUGAUAUCCAACAAUAAAACACCUGAUAAUUGUACUGAGGUUAUGCUUUUAGAGUUUUAUUGGUACAACAAUCGACUAAAGAACCAUCAAUGAUACAUAUAAAAAUAAUACUAAGAAAGCAAACUCAGAAAGGAGGAAGUAAUGAAAAUUACAUGAAAACAGAUUGACUACACAUUUAUAGCAAAGACGAAGGACUAUUAAUCAAUUCCAUUAGCUAGCCAGUUAAAUCUUAAUGACAAAUGCAGAAAUCACAACCAAACAAUUAAAAAAUAAUUUAAAUCAAAACCAACAGUAGUAGCAAUACUAUUCAGAACAAUAAUAAAUCAACAACAAACAAAAGGGGUUGCUCUAAACUAUUAAUCAAAACCAUAAGCAGAGAGAGAGAUUGUUACCAGCCACGAAACGUUUGUGAAGAUUAAUUGAUAGCAACGGAUGAUGAGUUUGGAAUUCUUAGGUUUUGAAUGAAUGAGAGACUUUACCAAAAAAAUGAAUGGGAGAAGAAAGAAUUUUGUUCAUACGAAUUAUGGUUUUGGCAAUGUAAUCUGGUUAAUCUCUAUACAGUAUCUCUAUACAGUUGUGGAUCGGAUCUCGGGUAAAUCAGGACCGUCCAAAGAAACUUAAAUAUGGACCCAAAGAAAAAUUUAAUCCAUGUAGUUGAUUUGGGCCAAUUAUUUUCUUUUUCAAUAUGCAUAAAAUUUCAAUAGAUUCAACUCAAAGCAUGAAAAUAUCAUAAUCAAAAGGAAUUCAUACACGUAACAAAAACUGAUGAAACAAACAAAACAGAACAAAGCAAGAUCAUAUCAUAUUAAUAUCAAAAUUAGUCAAAAACCCAUUAAUUAAUACAAGAAAAGAAGAAUCAAACUAUGUUUAUGAAAGAAAAGAAUUGAGGAUUCGUUAGAGAAAUAGGCAGAUGCAGUGUUGAACAUUUUCUGAGUCAGCUUUUUGUGUCGGACGUAGAGUUAUUAGUGAUGGCAGAGCUUCAUUAGGUGAUGAGACAAUAGAAGGUCUUCUUUGUGUGGAAAAUUGUUUGCAGGUUGAGUUUAAAUUAUAGAAUAAGUUCAAUGUAAAUAAAUGUAAUAACAUCUUACAUAAUUAUGAAAUUUUUGUUAUCUUAUAUAAUUUUAUGAAUUUUUUAAAUACUAAUAUUAUUUUGGGUUUUUAAUUUUAGGCUAUAUAAUUCGGUUAUUGAGGCUGGUUGGAAUGUAGUAUUUUUUUUUUUUUUUGUGUACUGGUAAUUAGAUUGUAAACUUAACUUCUACUUUUUAUUUAUAUUCUUUUACCAUGAUGAAUGGAACUUUAUGUAAAUAAUAUUUCUUUUAUCCGUGUAUUGGUAAUAACCUUAUUUUGGGUGCCACAAAGUUCAAUUUGAUAUAACCUUUGAAAUGUUAUUACAAUGAAUAUACUUAUAUCCAAGAUGAUGUUCAGAUUGAUGUUUGUGCCUUGGGCAUGGGUAUAUUUCUUAUGGAAGGUCUGACUUUCGAAGUAGAAGUGAUGUCGUGGUUGUUAUUGUUGGGAUUAUAUUGUAUGAACUCAGGAAUAUAACACAAAAGAAUUACACAAGUAGAGAUUCGAAUAACACAAAUAUAAUACAAAUAAUAUUUAUUAAAUGAAUUCGUAGAUACAAUAACACUUACUACACAAGUUGAUGAUUAAGGAUAUGAACAGAGGCUUGCCGAGGCAAUAUCCUUAAGACAAUAUUACGUCCCUGCUAUGGUGCAAACAGAUACUGGACGAUUAGUCUCCCAAGAUACAAUUGUUCUACACUCUGCUAGACUGCACUAUAAUAGCAGAGUACUGGCGAACAAACAAGAAGAACACUUUGAAUAUCUAUGGAGAGAGAGAGAGAGAGAGAGAGAGAGAGAGAGAGAGAGAGAGAGAGAGAGAGAGAGAGAGAGAGAGAGAGAGAAGCAGACUUAGUCUGAAUGAAUUGUGUGCUUACUGGCCAGAAUAACACUCAAUUUAUAGGCUAAGUUGUGUCUGUUCACAACAGACACACACCUGUUGGAAAACGUCUUUUCUCAACACACAUUUUUUGCAGACUUAAUGAAACAGGUCAGACCCAUUGGACGAACCGUUUCAAAAUGAAUAAACACAUAUGUUAGUGUAAACCCAAAAGUGUCAAAAAAGCAAAAAGAAUGAAACAAUGCUGGUUCGCUGGACAUGCCCUCUCGUGUUUCUGUACCUUAUCUGCAACUGCAUGAAUAGCUGCCUGAUCCACUUCAAAAUUUCCAUUACCAAACCCCACCAUCGGAGAUGCCCCUGUGAUGUCAACACAUGCAUGUUUUUCUUCUAACCAACUGUAUAUCAAAACAUCAGCUGAGCGUAGUGUUGAUCUACCUUCUGACGGGUCUGUAAGAAAAUUAUCUGGAGCCUCUUUCUUAACCUGUAUUCCUGCUCGCCAUACCAAAUCAUACAAUAUAUCACGCACAUGAUCGUGUCUGUAUUUAAAACCGGGGUAAUACUUACAGUGUACAGCAUGGGAGCGUCCAGUUAGCUCUUCUUACAUACAUGACAUAAAUCCCUAUCUGUAAAUAAUGGGAUCAUGAGACGGUACCGGAGAAUAACACGAUACUCUACUGCCGUCAUGCGUUGUCCUAGCCCUUCCAUAGGAAUAGCAAUAAGAAAGUCCUUGGCAUGUUUGGUCUGUAAGCAUUCUAUCACAGCCCUCUGACGAGCAAACAAAUCAAAAUCCCUGUCAAUACCAUUAGCAAUCUUCCUGUAGUAAGCUUCGCCAGUAUGUGUUGGGUUUUUUUUUUUUUUUUUUUGGGGGGGGGGGGGGUAGCCCUACUUAAAGCAAAUCAAGUACUUGAAGUUUGUUAUAUUUUGAAUUAAACUUGCUUGAAAUUUGUUGGGAAAGUAUUUGAAAUAUUGUUUAUUAUGCAAGGCUUAAAGGUAGUCGGUUGUUACAUUUGUGUUUCUGAAUUUUAAUAGAAUUGAGCAUGUUAAAGCCAAAUGAGCCGAUCGAGCCGAACGAGCUAAACAUGAGCCAAAUGAACUGAGCUCGAGUUUUUUAGUUAGCUCGUGAGCCGAGUUUGAACACAUAAUUCAGCUCUGUCUAUAUUAUAGGCUUGACUCAGUUAGUAACGAGCCGAAUUUGAUCAUACUCUAGCUCGGCUUUUUUGGCUCGAAUUGCACCCUAUGUUCAGAUUAAAAAGAAAAAAAACUAACAAUAAAUGAUUAACCAACCCUUCUCAAACAAGAAUUGUGUUAGAGCAUAUCCAAUGGCAUGGUUAUACUAGCAGUGCCACGUAGGAAGUUAGCAGAAAAAUCCGUACUAAUUUGUAAUUUGAUCUGCUAGUUUAGCAAAUCAAGAUCCAAUGGUUUUUUUUUUUUUUUUUUUAAAUAUAAAAACAAAUUUUAUUGAUAAGCUAAACGAAUUACACAAAAGUAGAGGACAAACGCGCUACAAACUGCGCGGCAAGUCCUUUCUGGAUAGCAAACCCGAUUCUCCUAAAUACAUAUUCGUUCGAACCCGCAGUCAUCACGUUGCUAUCCAUUACCUUCUGCACUCUCUUGAGGAGCUCAACUGCUUCUGAGCUUAGCAAUCCAAAUGUAUCAAAUGCAAAGGGGAUGAAACUAUGUUGGUUAGCCCUACAAGCUCCGUCAUGUUUCUCCACUUUUGCUGCUGCUGCAUUGCUAGCUGCUAGUCCCACCUCAAAAAUCCUAGCACCCAGCCCAACCAUCGGAGACGCCCCUGUAACAUCAACACACGCAUGUUUACCUUUAGACCAGUUGUAGACCAGAAUAUCAGCAGGACGUAAUGUCGAUCUUCCUUCCUUAGGAUCAGUAAGAAAGUUAACAGGAGCCUCCUUCUUAACCUGUACUCCAGCCCGCCAUUACACAUCACACAAGAUAUCUCUAACGUGGUCAUGCCUGUACUUGAAGCCGGGGUAAUGCUUACAAUGGGCCGCAUGGUCCCCGAAUGCAUCAAGUCUGCUCUUCUUGCACACUGAACAAAGCUCACCAUAUGAAUAUAAAGGGAUCAUCAAUCGAUAACGAAGAAUAACACGAUAUUCUACAGGCGUCAUGUGUUGUCCAAGCCCUUCCAUCGGGAUAGCAAGGAGAAAAUCUUUGGCAUGUUCUGACUGCAAACAUCCAAUCACGGCCUUUUGUCUAACUGACAACUCAAAUUCCCUCUCAAUGCCAGAGCUAAUCUUGUUGUAGUAUGCUUCCGCCAAGACAUGUUGGGGUCUGAAGGGGACGGUAGCAGUUGGAGCAAGAUUACUGAGAUCAAAAUCAGGUAUAGAAAGAUGUAAACUAGCAAUGGCAGUAUCGAAAACAUUACCCAUAGGUGUAGUCACACAACCUCGAAGGAUGUGGUCUUGGAGAUUCUUGGUUUGCGUACGUGAAGCUACGAAAGCAAACUUCAUAACAUCACUAGCACAAUAGAUACCAAGGCCACCCAUACGCAAUGGGAGGGUUACCAUACGCCACUGUAAAUCGCCAAAACAAGGUCCAUCAGAAACCACAAUAUUCUGAAGGGUUGCACGAAGCUUGUGGUCAAACCAUUUGGCUGUUUCCUGAACAUAAUCAGGGGGGCAAGUACGGAGAGCAAAGGUGAGUUUAGAUAAUCCCAUACAAGAACGUAAAAGUGCCAACUCACAUUGCGGAUCCUUUAGCUGUGGUAAUAAACCCAUGAGCUGAAGUGUCUUAUCCACUCGUUGACGAACAUUACCCAUAAUAAAGGAUGCAUCAAUACUUACAGCCCCUCCUAGCAACUUAACCCCUCGCUGAGGACAUGAUAUACCAACCGGAAAGAUAUCUGGAUAGGAGCAGUCAGGAACAACAGAAGGCCAAAACAACUCUGUUUUAGAUAUAUUAAGCACGAGCCCAAGAGAUGGUCCUCUUUCCUGAAUGAUACGAAUAGCUCUGGCCACAUGAUCUGUACUACCAAUCAGAGUACCAUCAUCUAAGUACCAUGCCUGCAACUCCAAGUGACAUUCUGACUGAAUGCGGUGUAUCAAUGGAUGCAAGACCAAAGCAAAGAGAAGAGGCCCCAAAGGAUCCCCCUGCUGUAUCCCAGCUGCUGACCAAAUAUGAGUAGACACUAGGUACAAUCGAGCAGGUUGGCAAUAGAGGUAUUCGACCCAUAGAGCAAUAGAUGGACAAUGACUGCGUACCUCCCGUAACAUAGCAGAUCGAUCAACAAGGUUGAAGGCAUUCUGAAAGUCCAAAAGCAGCAUGGAAAGCGAUGUGUCAUUUUUGUUGGAAUAAACCAACCGAUUAACAGCAUGCAAAAUUGCCUCUGCUCCACCAGGCACACCAACCCCAAACUGAAAAUCCUCUAGGUAUGGGAUAAUAUCCUUAGAAACUCCUCUCAUAGCAAUCUUAGACACCAGGCGACGCCAAACCAUACCCACAGCUAUUGGGCGAAUGCCGUUACCUUGCUUAAGAAGUGGGGUGAGCGGCGCACUAGCUAUGAAUUCUGCCAAGACCCGUGGGCAUCGACCUUGUAGCCAUAUAAGUUCACAACCGGUGUCAAGGCCUCGAUAAGAUCUGUGGCUACAGCGGAUGCAGCCCCACUCAUAGCAUCUAAUAGAUGUUGGGCCCGGAGACCAUCUCGCCCACAAGACGUCCCUUUGGGGAAGGACCUGAUGCAUGAUAAUAUCCCAUCCCUCUCAACUGACAGAGGUGACUCAAGUAAAGGAAUAUCGGGGACGGAAGGUGGUGGAUGCUUCAGGUGUUUAUCCUCUAAAGCCCGCUGCGUCUCUGGAGUGUUCGGAGCAACCCUUGAUGAUGCCAACACCUUCCCGGCUGCUGCGAAGUGCCCGUCUGCAACCUUUUGCAAACACCGUCGUACAUUCUUGCUUUGGGACUGUCGAGAUGAUCGUUCCAGCAGAGGCUCUGUAUGCGUGACCCUCUCAAUCAGACGAAAUAUACCCCCAGGCUCGUUCCAAAUAGAGAGAGCCUGCAAAAUCUGAUUCUGCUGGAGAUAUUUCCGAGUGCCAGAUCGACGCUCUUGGCGAUUCUGCGGAUGAAACACUUGCAAUGUACAAUAGGGAAGUAGGAGCAAUCUAACCCAUGGCCCUGUCGACAUGGGGUCUGCAGUAACCUCAUACAAAAUUGACUUCAGUGCGCAGGAAAAUGUUAAUCGACAAGGACGUGGAAUACUUUUCACUGUGCGAAAAGGUCUACAGAAAAUACGAUUAAGUGAUAUCUCAUCUAAAGAAGGUGCAACAAUAGAAAGGUGAGUAUCGAUACCAAUGUCCCCUCCUGCUGUAGGUGCGGGUGGAUUAUCAACAUGCACAAGCUGUGGUGGUUGUAUACCUAUAAUUGCACACUCUAGCUCACCGGUCUCCUUUCGCGCAGGUGGUUUGAUGACUGCACCAUCCGGAUGUUUACAUUUUAUGAUCGAUGCAUGGAUACCAAAACAAUCACCACACAUCCAUUUGGUCAUCCUCUUCAAAGUAUUGUCAAGCGACGAAAAUAAACCUAUAUCAACUUUGAUCGCAUCUCUCAGCCUGUCGAUGUCAUUUACCCUCCUCAAGUUAUCUUUCUUAACAUGCGUUGGGACGUACGAAGGUUUAUAUCCAUUUUCACACGGACCAUUGGUGCAUCCAUCAAAGUUUCGAAAUGGACAAUGGAUACUCUCCAUCAAGCAGCCAAUUUUUUUUUUCUCCUGUUUUUUUCCUGUUUUUUUUUUUUUUUUUUUUUAAAAUUUAAAAUUUUAUUGAUAAGCUCAACAAAUUACACAAAAGUAGAGGACAAACGCGCUACAAACUGCGCGACAAGUCCUUUCUGGAUAGCAAACCCGAUUCUCCUAAAUACAUAUUCGUUCGAACCCGCAGUCAUCACGUUGCUAUCCAUUACAUUUUGCACUCUUCUGAGGAGCUCAACUGCUUCUGAGCCUAGCAAUCCAAAUGUGUCAAAUGCAAAGGGGAUGAAACUAUGUUGGUUAGCCCUACAAGCUCCGUCAUGUUUCUCCACUUUUGCUGCUGCUGCAUUGCUAGCUGCUAGCCCCACCUCAAAAAUCCCAGCACCCAGGCCAACCAUCGGAGACGCCCCUGUAACAUCAACACACGCAUGUUUACCUUCAGACUAGUUAUAGACUAGAAUAUCAGCAGGACGUAAUGUCGAUCUUCCUUCCUUAGGAUCAGUAAGAAAGUUAACAUGAGCCUCCUUCUUAACCUGUACUCUAGCCCGCCAGAACACAUCACACAAGAUAUCUCUAACGUGGUCAUGCCUGUACUUGAAGCCGGGGUAAUGCUUACAAUGGGCCGCAUGGUCCCCAAAAGCAUCAAGUCUGCUCUUCUUGCACACUGGACAAAGUUCACCAUCUGAAUAAAGAGGGAUCAUCAAUCGAUAACGAAGAAUGGCACGAUAUUCUACCGGCGUCAUGCGUUGUCCAAGCCCUUCCAUCGGGAUGGCAAGGAGAAAAUCUUUCGCAUGUUCUGCUUGCACACAUCCAAUCACGGCUUUUUGUUUAGCUGACAACUCAAAUUCCCUCUCAAGACCAGAACUAAUCUUGCUGUAGUAUGCUUCCGCCAAGACAUGUUGGGGUCUGAAGGGGACGGUAGCAGUUGGAGCAAGAUUACUGAGAUCAAAAUCAGGUAUAGAAAGAUGUAAACUAGCAAUGGCAGUAUCGAAAACAUUACCCAUAGGUGCAGCCGCACAACCCCGAAGAAUGUGGUCUUGGAGAUCCUUGGUUUGCGUACGUGAAGCUACGAAAGCAAACUUCAUAACAUCAGUAGUACAAUAAAUACCAAGUCCGCCCAUACGCAAUGGGAGGGUUGCCAUACGCCACUGUAGAUCGCCAAAACCAGGUCCAUCAGAAACCACAAUAUUCUGAAGGGCUGCACGGAGCUUGUGGUCAAACCAUUCGGCUGUUUCCUGAACAUAAUCAGGGGGGCAAGUACGGAGAGCAAAGGUGAGCUUAGAUAUUCCCAUACAAGAACGUAAAAGUGCCAGCUCACAUUGCGGAUCCUGUAGUUGUGGUAAUAAAUCCAUAAGCUGAAGUGUCUUAUCCACUCGUUGACGAACAUUACCCAUAAUAAAGGAUGCAUCAAUACUUACAGCCCCUCCAAGCAACUUAACCCCUCGCUGAGGACAUGAUAUACCAGCCGGAAAGAUAUCUGGAUAGGAGCAUACAGGAUUAAGAGAAGGCCAGAACAACUCUGUCUUAGAAACAUUAAGCACGAGCCCAAGAGGUGGUCCUCUUUCCUGAAUGAUACGAAUAACUCUAGCCACCUGUUCUGUAUUACCAAUCAGAGUACCAUCAUCUAAGUACCAUGCCUGCAACUCCAAGUGGCAUUCUGACUGAAUGCGGUGUAUCAAUGGAUGCAAGACCAAAGCAAAGAGAAGAGGCCCCAAAGGGUCCCCCUGCUGUAUCCCAGCUGCUGACCAGAUAUGAGUAGACCCUAGAUACAAUCGAGCAGGUUGACAAUAGAGGUAUUCGACCCAUAGAGCAAUAGAUGGACAAUGAUUGCGUACCUCUCGUAGCAUAGCAGACCGAUCAACAAGGUUGAAGGCAUUCUGAAAGUCCACAAGCAGCAUAGAAAGCGAUGUGUCAUCCUUGUUGGCAUAAACCAACCGAUUAACCGCAUGCAAAAUUGCCUCUGCUCCACCAGGCACACCAACCCCAAACUGAAAAUCCUCUAGGUAUGGGACAAUAUCCUUAGAAACUCCUCUCAUGGCAAUCUUAGAUACCAGGCGACGCCAAACCAUACCCACAGCUAUUGGGCGAAUGCCGUUACCUGGCUUAAGAAGUGGGGUGAGUGGUGCACUAGCUAUGAACUCUGCCAAGACCCGUGGGCAUCCACCUUGUAACCAUAAAUUCACAACCGGUGUCAAAGCCUCCAUAAGAUCUGUGGCUACAGCGGAUGCAGCCCCACUCAUAGCAUCCAAUAGGUGUUGGGCCCGGAGACCAUCUCGCCCACAAGACGUCCCUUUGGGGAAGGACCUGAUGCAUGAUAAUAUCACAUCCCGCUCAACUCACAAAGGUGACUCAAGUAAAGGAAUGUCGGGGACAGAUGGUGGUGGAUGCUUUGGGUGUUUAUCCUCUAAAGCCCGCUGCGUCUCUGGAGUGUUCGGAGCAACCCCUGAUGAUGCCAACACCUUCACGGCUGCUGCAAAGUGCCCGUCUGCAACCUUUUGCAAACACCGUCGUACAUUCUUGCUUUGGGACUGUCGAGAUGGUCGUUCCAACGGAGGCUCUGUGUGUGUGACCCUCUCAAUCAAACGAAAUAUACCCCCAGGCUCGUUCAAAAUAGAGAGAGCCUGCAAAAUCUGAUUCUGCUGGAGAUAUUUCCGAGCACCAGAAUGACGCUCUUGGCGAUUCUGCGGAUGGAACACUUGCAAUGUGCAAUAGGGAAGCAGGAGCAAUCUAACCCAUGGCCCUGUCGACAUGGGGUCUGCAGUAACCUCGUACAAGACUGACUUCAAUACACAGGAGAAUGCUAAUCGACAAGGACGUGGAAUACUUUUCACUGUGCGAAAAGGUCUACAGAAAAUACGAUCAAGUGAUAUCUCAUCUAAAGAAGGUGCAACAAUAGAAAGGUGAGUAUCGAUACCAGUGCCCCCUCCUGCUGUAGGUGCGGGUGGAUUAUCAACAUGCACAAGCUGUGGUGGUUGUAUACCUACAAUUGCACACUCUAACUCACCGGUCUCCUUUCGCGCAGGUGGUUUGAUGAUUGCACCAUCCGGAUGUUUACAUUUUAUGGUCGAUGCAUGGAUACCAAAACAAUCACCACACAUCCAUUUGUUCAUCCUCUUCAAAGUAUUGUCAAGCGACGAAAAUAAACCUAUAUCAACUUUGAUCGCAUCUCUCAGCCUGUCGGUGUCAUUAACCCUAUUCAAGUGAUCUUUCUUAACAUGCGUUGGGAUGUACGAAGAUUUGUAUCCAUUUCCACACGGUCCAUUGGUGCAUCCAUCAAAAUUUCGAAAUGGACAAUGGAUACUCUCCAUCAAGCAGCCAAAUUUUUUUUUUUUUCCCCUUUUUUUCAGUUUUUUUUUUUUUUUUUUUCCUGGCUGGCUUGACUUGGCUGGAGCUGUCUCCUGGUUCUGUCUCAGCUGGCUCACCUGACUGCUGGCUCGAGUGCCGGCUUGACUAUGUUGACUGGCUCAGACGGCUCGACUCACUGGCUUGAAUUGGCUCUCUGUUCUGGUUCGGCUGGGUUGGCUUGGCUCGGCUCGGCUCGGCUAGGACAAGCCAGAUUUGCGAUGGAAUGAGAGAUGGAAACCCAAUCUCGAUCUGGGUGUGGNNNNNNNNNNNNNNNNNNNNNNNNNNNNNNNNNNNNNNNNNNNNNNNNNNNNNNNNNNNNNNNNNNNNNNNNNNNNNNNNNNNNNNNNNNNNNNNNNNNNUGCUGGAGGGCUGGUGGUGGUGGUGGUAUGCGAGGGUGAAGAUGGUGUAUGCGCAGGAGAGAGGGAGAAGGAGAGAGAGAUAGCGGUGGGUGGUGGGGAGGAUGUCUGGUAGUCUGGAUGAUGGUCAUCGGAAAGAUGACAUCAUGCGGCGGCGGCCGGUCAUCAGGAAGAUGACCCCCCCCCUUUUUUUUUUGUGGCAUGGCUUGUCUGGCUUGAACUGCUGGUCUGACUACCGGUUCGGCUGGUCUGGCUACCGGUUUGGCCGGUUCGGCUGGUCUGGCUGCUGGUUCAGCUGGUCUGGCUGACUGGCUUAAGCUGCUGAUUCGGCUGGCUUGGCUAGAUGUAUCGGCUCGGCUCGUCUGGCUAUUGACUCGGCUUAGAUGGCUUGAACGACUGGUCUGGCUGCUGGUUCGGCUGGUUCUGCUGAUGGUCUGGUUGGUUCGGCUAGUUCAGCUGGUCUAGCUGCUGGUUCGGCUCAUCUCAAAGUACAGAGCCAGAUUUACGUGGAAUUGGGAGAGAUGGAGUCGUAGAUCAAAAUCGUCGAUCUAACUCAAGUAAAAUGGUGGCAGCAUAUGGUGAGGGAGAAGUGGUGGUGGUGGGAGUUGGAGGAGGGCGUGGUGGUUGGAGGGGGUGUUGAUGGCGGUGAAAAUAGAUGGUGAUGGUGGUGGUUUUGGGUGGGAGAAGAGAGAAACAGGCCGGAGAGGUUGACGGGGUAAAAUAGGCAGUGGGGGAGAGAGGCAGUAAUGGGAGGGGUUAGGGGGUGGUGGUCAUGGAGGAGAGGAGAUGGCGGCGGCGACGGUUGUCAUCGGGAAGAUGACAUCCCGACGGUUUUUUUUUUGUAUUUUUUUUUUUGUAUUUUUUUUUUUUUUGGCAAGCGAGGUUGUGGGACCCCUCAACCAUUGGAAUUCGGUUUGGUUUGGUAAAAAAAAAAAAAAGGCAUCGCGCCGCAUUCCACUUGCGGUUUGGUAGAACACCCAACGACAUUCCACUUGCGGUGUGAACAUUGGGUUUAAGUGUUCGUUGGGCCUAAAUAACCAUCGAGCUCCAAGUGGAAUUCGGUCUGCCACUAAAAGGGCAUCGCGCUCCAAGUGGAAUGUGGUCCGGUGGUCUAACGUCUUACAAGUAGAAUGGGACACGAUACAUUUUCUUAGUAGAAACCAAUUCUGCUGCUCAACUGCUAGUUUAAACAGUUGACUUAGCAGAAAAUGGAAUCUUUUAAGUUUUUGCUAGUUUAUUUUAGCAUGAACCAUUAGUGAUGUUUUUUGCUAGUUUUACUAAAAAAAUUAGUUUAAGCACUCCAUUGAAAAUGCUCUUAUUUGAUGAUUAACAUGCUAAUCAACUCAAAUAUCUAUUGAUUAACUUGUUAAUCAACUUCAAUAUUUGUUGAUUAGCAUGUUAAUCAACUCUAAUAUAUAUGUUAAUUAAGAUAUUGAUUAACUCCAAUAUUUGUUAACUAAUGAUAAAUGAUUACGGUAAUGUUGAAAAGGAUAUCAAAUCUGUUAACUAAUAAGAAACAUUGAACACCAGUAUAUAUAGAUGUGGCUUUGUCGUGUUGGUUUCAUCCAUAUGGUAUACUAAAAUGGGUUAUUUUGUAUUUGGUCCCUCUAGAACAUUAGUAUUUAGCAAGUGGUCUGUCUUAUUCACAUUAAGAAUAAGCCCCAAUGACGGUCCAACUGCCUGAAUGAUAUGUAUGGCUGCAGCCACCUGAUCAGUGUCACCAAUCAAGGUCCCAUCAUCCAGAUACCACGCCUGCAACUUCAAGUGACACUCAGAUUGGAUGCGCAGUACUAAUGGAUGCAAUACUAAGAAAAAAAGAAGAGGCCCUAAUGGAUCCCCCUGCCGAAUCCCGGUUGCUGACCAAAUAUAGGUAUACCCCAAAUAUAAUCUCGUUGACGGGCUAUUUAGAUAUUCAACCCAUGGUGCAAUACUGGGACAAUGAAUGCGUACCUCUUUUAGCAUAGUCGUGCGAUCAACAAGAUUGAAAGCAUUUUGGAGACCCACCUACCAUCUAUGGAUCCAACUCAUUGGUACAUUAGGAGAAGCCGCGAAUUCAUUUGGGCGGCUAAUUCUGAGUAUGAGAUUUAUCCUGCUUUACACAAAGAUGAUGAGUUUUAAAAAAUGGUGAAGGUGCUUGGGGUGAGAUGAUGAAUGCAAUCAUCGAGUGGCGUGAUGACUUGGAUGGCGGUCGACACAAAUGUUGGUCCUUGGCAGCGGUCGCCGCGGUCAAGUGGUGGCUUCAAAUACUAUUUCGGUGACUGGUUGGCUCCACAACCACAGUUGGGACCAAAUCGACCCACAGAGGCCGUUCCGGCGGCGUUUCACCCUACGACCCCAGGUCGGGCGGGAUUACCCGCUGAAUUUAAGAAUAUCAAUAAGCGGAGGAAAACAAACUUACAUGGAUUCCCCUAGUAACGGCGAACGAACCGGGAAGAGCCCAGCUUGGGAAUCGGGUGGCAGCGUUUUUUGUUUAUUUGUGUUUAAUCCCUUUUUUGUUAGUUGACUGUCAGUCCACCUAGUUGACUAUAGUCAAACCAUCUAUUUUUUUAAAUACCUAAACUACCCAUGCACGUGUCUGGCACAUGUCCAUAUCUCAUUGGUUGAUUUAAUCUAAUGUCUAAGUGGUUUGCCACGUGGAAUAAUAUGUCGUUCAAGGACCUGUACAUGCUUUUGAUUCAGUCUAACACUCUAACUACACUUUCCUUUCAUAAAAGAAGAAAUUAAAUUUAAAACAAAGAAGAAGAAAUCAAUUAAUCAAGCAUGGAUAUGUUAAGUAUAAUAUAUUCUGAACCAAAACAUUGCCUUAGACAUAAUAUAGUAGAAGUUAGAGAAGAAGAGAAAUAUUGAUGUUCAAUUGUUUCAAGUAUCUUGUUCUCAUAACUUGGUUCUCUUUAUAUAGGAGAUACAUCAUUAAGGGGAUAACUCAAAGGUCAUGAGUUAUACCAAUCCAAAAGCCUUUACACUUAAUUACAUGCUUUGAUCAUGUGGUCAUCCAAUGUAUCAUAACACUCCCCCUUGAUGACCACAAGUAUUAAGAGAAUUGUUUACGUUAAAACUUUCCUCGAAAAACCCUAUGGGACAAAAACCUAAGAAAAAAUAGUACAUAAUUCUCGUAGUCUUCGAAUUUUGUUGCCUCACCAAAACCUUGUAGGAAAACCCAAGUGGGAAAAAAGCUUGCCAAGGAAAUAUAGUACAACUUCCACAAUUAUUUGGUCUUCAUAUGAUAAAGAUUUUCCUCUUGAUGUCGACCGGACUAAAUUGAGUUUCCGCAUUCCAGUUCCCGCAUUCCCAUAUUGUAUACCAAUUUCUUGAAUGUGGUUGGAAGUAAAGAUUUGGUGAACUAGUCACCAAUAUUGUCACAUGAACGUAUUUGUUUUACGGUAAUCACUUGAUUGCACUGAAGUUCGUGGAGGAUCAAUGUUGGCACCCACACAUACAUAAGCCUUAUAUUAUCACUCCCUGUUGGGUGACAUGCAUUCAAUGAUAGUUGCCUCAUUAAAAUCUUGCUAAGAAAAACCCAAUGGGAAAAAUCAAAGCGAAGGAAAAAGAGUACAACGUUCUUCAGGAUCAUUGAAUUGGAAUAUGAUGUGCAUUACAAUGUUGCCUCAUUAAAACCUUAACUGAGAAAACCCAAAGGGACAAAACCUAGAAAAGGAAAAAGUGUACAACGAAUAAUUCUGGGUUGCAUACUUCGAGAUGCUCCCCUUGAAUAACAUACUUCAGGAUGAUCCCCAUGAUUAGUUAAUGUUAUUCCCCUGAUAAUAACAACCCGACCUUCAUGCGGUCGAUGAUGAACUUCUUUUUUAUUAGUCAUGGACACAAAAUCUGAAUAACUUGCGUUGGCAAUGUAAUGAGAAUGUUUAGCUUCUUAAACUUCAUUUGUAUUAAUCAUCUUGGUUAUUGCAUUAUACAUUUUCUUCAUUUCAAUCUCUUUAUUCUUCUGGACAUUGUGAGUAAAGAAGUAUUGUUGGUUCUGUCCUCUUUGAUAUUACAUUCUAGAAUCAAAACUAUGCAAGCUGCAUUAUCUUCAUUGAGAAUGCUUGGAACAUCUGUGAUAGAUGAAAAUUGCCUAGGACUACAAAUAUCUCGAAUACUUAUUGAUACAAAUUUAUGACAUGCAUCGUAAAGCAGAACUUAUAAAAUGGUCAGAAACAAUAACUACUAAAAAAUAGUAGAAUGCCAUAAAGAUAUCAAUAAUACUAGUAAGAAAUAUAACAUGUUUGAUAUCAAAUCUUACAAAACCAAUGCAAAUAAACUGAAUUUACAUAAAGCCAAGAAAUUUCCUGAUUCAUUUUUAAAGCUCUUAAAACCUUUUACUAUAAUCAAAAUUUGUAAAUCAAUAUACCAUUUGAUUCUUCUCGAUUUACUAGUCGAGGUAAAACACAUAUUUCCAAGGUAUCCUAUUUCAAAUCCCCCCAUUUGAAAUAGUUGACAAGUUUAACUCUUCAGAAGUCCCACAAAAACUGUCGCCAUUAUUAAUCCAUUGGAAAUUUCAUUGCUCUUGUAAAUGUUAGUAAAAAGUAGGUCGGAGAAGAUGAUCGGAGUAUGGAAAGGAAGGAGUUUUUGGUGUGGAAGUUGCUGAGCUAUCUAGAGAGAUAGUUGCCUACGUAUCUGAGAUUGACCAACUCCAAGAAUCAAGCCUACGUAGUUUGGAUUUAUAGGUGAAUUGGGACAACGGAUAGCUCAUUAAUUGCCCAACAGUGGGGUCAAUUAAUGAGCGGAUAUUUUGGAUCUAAAAAUAUAUUGUAACUGAAGAGAAUCAAAACAUAUGAAGUUUAAAUGAGGUCGAUGGAGGUCGAAUGCAAAAGUGUUCACGUCGAGUGAGCUCGAAUAAAAAUAGGCUCACGUCGAGCUAGGUCGAUAUUGAAAAGAAUUUAGGUCGGGUUAGACUUGAGAAUAAUGAGCGUCCGGUAAGCUCGUAUAAAAAUAGGCACACGUCGAGCUAGGUCGAUAUUAGUAUUGAUUGGCGAGGUUGACGAGCUUGAAUAUAAUGGUAUCUACAUAGCCUCUUUUUAUUCGAGUCGAAGUUAAGGGAUAUAGUUGGACUUCGAUUUGAAUGAAAAUAGAUCAAGGUUUUCUUUAAAAGAGCAUUGGGUUGCCUUGAUUUAUUGGGUUUCCUUGAUUGUUGAGACCAGCAAAGAAUCCUUUGCGUGCUGCAUUAAAUGAAGAUAGGUUUUUGAGGGAAAAGUAAUGAUUGCAGUUAUGGUAAGUGUGCUGUAAUGGCCACGUGGAUAAUUGAUUUGAAUUUUGAUUUUGGAAAAAGGCUAAAGAAAAAGGGGCAAAAACCAAGGGUUUUAGCGGUUAGAUUUUCUUUUGCAUAUCUAGCCGUUGAUUUGAUUUUUGUUGAACGGUGAUGAUGUGAUGAGUAAAUUUUAUAAAACCUAACUGUAAGGUUGGAAAACCAAGGGUUUGUUGCAUCGUGGAUUUAAGGCUUCUUCUCUCUUUUGCGAAAGGUAUUUUUUCUUGAACUUUCUUUCUCUUUUUUCUACUCUUGCUCAUUCUGUUUAUUGUUUUUCAUUGUUUUGUAUGUGUUUGUGAUAAUCGCCUUGUUUGCUCCUUGAGUAGUUGUUGUUCAUGUGAUAUCUUCUUGAUUCCUUUGUUAUGUUCUUUGAAAAUUCUGUUGUUUUUGUUGUUGUUCUAAGCUUUUCCGCCAUUGUUGCAGCUUUAAAGCUUUUUAUUCUUCGUUUCUGCUUCAUUUCUCUUGGUUUUUCUUUAAGUUUGCUGGGUAUCUCGUUGUGUUUGAUUGCCUGAGUUUUAUCUUAAGAAGUUUCACUAAAAAUGAGUGAUAUAGAGUCUGAAAGUGUUAGUGAGAAUGAAGAAGAGGUUGAGCUCGAGGAGAGGGUCGAGCUUAGCGUAAGUAAUUCCCGAAGACGGAGCGACGAGGAGGAAAUUACAAGUAGUAGAUCCCUUACAGUAGAUGAAACUCGAAGAUCUUUUCCCGAGAUUCAAGAGGAGUAUAGCAUUAGGAUCCCCGACCUUGAAAUGUAUAGAGUUAGCGAUAGGCUAUUUGACUUGUGUGGGGACACAACGUUGUGUUUGAUAUGUCUUGCUCAACUAAAAGGUGGAAUGCGUCUUCUUUUUAGUAAGUUCGUAUGUGAUAUUCCCACUACGACGUUGCCCCCAUCAUGAUGCCCACUAGCUUUUGGACUUCAAUGUUAAUUUUUGAGGAGCUAAAUAGGUUACACGAUUAUGAUAUAUGCAAGGCUGACGUCGUUGCUUAUUAUAGUUGUGUAACUGGUCGGAGUAGGGAUUAUGUUUGCUCCCUUAACAGAAAAAGGAGUUGUGGUAGAGCAAAACUUUUCAAUCCUCCCACCUCGAAUGAUGGUUGGAAGAACUCCCCUGUGUACAGAAUUCGGGGUCAGUUUGUACAGGCCAGUGCAUUUCUGGCUCGAUAUGCCAUUCCCAGUAUAGGUAUACUUGCAUGUUAGUAUCUGACUGAAAUGGUUGUUGAUCGAGCUUUGAUAUAACUUUGUAUGUUAUGUGCAGGUUAGACAAAGGAAUACAACGAGCCUAUCGACGGUCGACUGCAUCCUAGCAACAUAAUCGAGUUUGUUGAGAAGUCUUGGGCAGAAAAGAGGGAGUUGCUUCAACAUCUAGCUCAAUAUUUCCGUGAGUCUCGAGUGAAAUUUACAAGAGGCACCCAGGGAGAAGCUGGUACGUCGGGUGUUGUAGUUCCCAAGAGAGGCAGGAAGAAGGAGCUUGCAGUUGUUAUUCCUGUUACUGAAUUAGUUUCAGCUCGACCUGGUGACCUGCCUUACCUAUGCCUCUAAAGAAGAAUCUGAGCUUCCUUCUCACUGGUGGCGUUGUGGCCCCUACUAGUAAGAUUCCUGAUGGCCCUAGCCUUAAUGACUUCUUUGGCUCGAAGAGUAUCGAGCCUAAAAAUCCUCAGCGAAAGAGGAAAGUUGUUGCUACUUUGGCCGAGGUGACUGUCGCCUCGAAGAACGACAAGGGGAAAGGGAGGGAGGUAGAUAAAACUCAGGCUCCUACUUCCAAAACUGGGAAGGGAAAGGCUAUCGACUUUCCUGAAAAUCUUUUUGUAGGAGGGGCAAAUCGUUUCGCUCCUGUUUUCCCUUGUCACGACGCCUAUAUAAAGGCUGAUGACUCUGCACUUAAUGAUAAGGAUAUGUGUCUAUCCCUGAUGGAGAAUACAAUCCUUUUUGAGGAUGCGAAGAAGAUUCGACCUCAAUCUCUAGAAGAUGACUCCAAGAAGUUUGCCAACUGUACUUACAAGGUAUGUUAUAGCUCGAAAUUUUAUUUUAUUUUAUUUUUUGAAUUUGUUGUCUUUUGUAGAUUAACCUGAUCCAUAAUAAGUGGAUUUGUAAGCUCGAGCAUGCCAGAAAGAAAGCCGAGAUGCUACAGAAGGCGAACGCUGAAAACACCUCCCUUCGAGCUUAAAACAAGGAUCUGAAGUUGAAGCUCGAUUCUACGAGAAAAGAGAGUCCAAUUGAAUAAGGACAUUGACGAGGCUCACCAAGUAUUCUUGAAACUCGAGGGCCAAGUUACUUCUGUGACUUCGAGCUGGGAUGCCGAUGCUCAAAAGUCCAUUAAGGUGAUAUCCCAAUGGCAGAAGAUCGCUUAUUUUUGGGAGGAGAGGUGCCUUAGGCGCCACGCUCAUAUUGCGUCCUUGGUUGAUGGCUUUGACCCAAGUUCAGACCAGGAUGCUAUCAAGGUUUUUGCCCUGGAGAGAUAUGAGCUUGACGUGAGUCGACAAGCAGGCAACUCUAGCUCGACUAGGGCUAUUGCUGAAGGUGAGACUGAGGUUGCUGAGGAUGCCAAUGUCAAUUCUCCGACUGAAACUUCUGGCGAAGGUGGUGACGUGGUGAUGGAUCAGCAACAACCUUUUCAGCAAUAGACUUAGCUUGAGAUUUGAUAUAUUGCUUUUGGUCAAAUGUAAAAAACAAUAGUAGGGAAUUUCGACUUUGGUCGACCCUACGAUUUUGAGUUUUGGUUCUAUUUGAAAUAUUUGUUGAUAUAAUUGAAUGAAUGGGUUGAAACUCGAUUUUGGAAGUGGUGUAUGUUUUGAUUUUUUAAUUUGUCUAAGGCACAAGCUGAGCUUUAUUUUUAUUGCGGGUUAUGAAUAUAUGUAUGAUGGCUUAUAAACAUAAAGAAAAAUAACUAUGCUGAAGUUAUGUUUUGAUGCUUGUAUGUAUGAAUGGUUUAACUCGUAAAAUAUCUAAUUUAUGGCUUCUAGCCCCGUUUUCUAACUUUGGUAUAAAAAAGAAAAAAGGGUUAUUUGGAACGGUGGUUAAGGUAGGGAAAGCUUUAAGAACUUGGAAUUCCAAGGCCUAGGUACUUGUUCUCCUUCGGCGUCAAUGAGUGUGUAUGCACCAUUUCCGAGGUCAUUUUUGAUAAUGUAUGGACCUUCCCAAUUAGGGUUUAGCUUCCCACUCCUGAUUUCUUUGUGUUGGAGAAAGCCUGUCUGAGGACGAGGUCGCCUGAUUGAAAUUGUCUUGAUUUGACAUUUUGGUUGUAGCUUCGUUUUAGGAUUUGUUGAUAACGAGCUAUUGUAAUUGCAGCUUGAUUUCUUUUUUCUUCAAGCAUAUCUAUUUCAUGUGCCCAUAAGUCUUCAUUUUCUUCUGACUCGAUGAGCUGUGAACUAGUCGUUAGGAAAUUGAGCUCGGUGGGUAUGAUGGCUUUUGUGCCAUAACAUAAUGCAAAUGGUGACAUUCCUGUAGAUGUGCGAGGUGUCGUUCUGUAAGCCCAUAGGACUCGAUCGAGCUCCUCUAUCCAUUUUAUCCUUGUGCGCUUCUAGCUUUUUCUUUAAGUUGUUCAUUAUGGUCUUGUUUGUAGCUUCGGUUUGACCAUUGCUUUGGGCAUAGCGAGUUGUUGAGAGUGUGUGGUUGAUUCUCCAAUCUAGAUAGAAUUCCUCUAUUGUGUUACCACAAAAUUGUUGCCCGUUGUCAGUAACUAGAGUAUGUGGUGAUCCAAAUCGAGUUAUGAUGAAUUUCCAUAUGAAAUUUUUGACAUCUUGCUGUCUUAUGCGUCGUAGGGGUAUUGCUUCUACCCAUUUAGUGAAGUAGUUUGUUGCAACUAGUAGAAAUCUUUUCUUGGUCUUAUCCUUUAAGAUAGGUCCUACAAUGUUGAGAUUGUCUUGAGCUCUCGAGUUGACUGGUGUAUAAAUGGUGAGAACCUUUGGCACUUGUCACAAUGUUGGACGAAUUUUUCUGAGUCCGAUUGCAUGUAAGGCCAAAAGUAGCCUUGAUUCCGUGCUUUUUGUGCUAAGGAUCUAGCCCCUGCAUAAUUUCCACAUUCGCCAUGAUGGAUUUCAUCUAGAAUUGUGUGUGCUUGCUUUGGUGGAAGGCACCGUAGGUACGGUCUUCUAGUUGACUUUCUAUAUAGUCUAUUCUUAACCAAGAUGUAAUUUUUUUUCUUUUCUUUCGAGCUUUCGUAGUUCAAAGUCAUCAUCUGGGUAUGUUCCUCUUAAGUAGUUGAUGAUUGGGCCCGUCCAUGAGUCCGCAAUCUCAGUUUGGGUAAUAUCUAUGAAAUCGGAGAUCUCAUUGAUUUGGUGGAUCUGAGUCUCGUAUGCUGGAGCUGCCUGUAUGUCAAUUUGAAUUACUCGAGGCGAUUUUGUGUCAAUUUACAAGGCUAAGUAUGCCAGACUGUCGCCAUGACGGUUAUCAUGUCUUGGGAUAUGGUGGAUUUCACACUCGGUGAAAUGAGUUAGCAAUUUCUAGGUAUGCUCUAAGUAUAGCUUUAGAGUCUUUUCUAUUGUUUCGUAGUCACCAAGGAGUUGACUGACUACUAAUUGUGAGUCACUUAGAAUCUGUAACUCUUUUACCUGUAAGUUUCUGGCCAUUUGUAUGCCGGUGAUUAAUGCUUUAUAUUCUGCGUCGUUGUUGGACGAGGUGAAGUUUAACCGAACUGACUUUUCAAAAAUGACCUCUUUCUGGUGAAAUGAGUGUUGCACCAACACCUGAGCCAUUAAGGUUUUUUGAGCCAUCGACGUGGAGUUUCCAUAUUGGUGCUUUGAUGAGUGGUUGUUCAUUGAUUUCAUUAUCUGGCAUCCACGUAUUGUCAUCAAUGGAAUAGUCCACCAGGAGGUCGGCGACUAUUUGACCUUUCCUGCUGCUACGUGGUGUGAAAAUGAGUUCAUGAUCUCCGAAUUCUUGACCCCAUUUUGCCAUUCUGGUUGACUUGUUUUUAUUUUCAAGUACUUGUCGGAGUGGUGCAUCUGUGGUGACUUUCAUCUUGUGUGCUUGGAAGUAUGGUUUUAACUUUCUUGAUGCGAAGAGUAAGGCUAAACCUACUUUUUUGAGGCUUGAAUAUCGAGCUUCAGAGUGCAACAAAGUCUUACUGAUGAAGUAUAUUGGUUUUUCGAUACCGCCUUCAUCUCGGAAUAAUACCCCGCUGACUGCAUGUUCUGAAGUUCCGAGGUACAGCCCUAGUACGUCGCCUUCUUAGUGCACUGUGAUGACGGGAGGAGUUGCGAGGUAUAGUUUGAGCUUGUCGAAUGCUUGUUGGCAUUCUAGAGUCCAAUUGUAAGUUGAUCCUUUCUUCAGUAUUUGAAGUAGAGGGCGUUGUUUGUCUGAUGCUUGAGCUAUGAAACUGUUCAAGGCUGCUAACAUGCCAUUGAGCUUUUGAAUUUUCUUCUUAGUCUUUGGGCUUGGUAUUUCUAUUAUAGCCUUUAUUUUUUCUGGGUUUGCCUCUAUCCCUCGUUGUGUAAUUAGGUAUCCCAAGAAUUUUUCGGAGGCAACACCGAAUAAACAUUUUUCUGGGUUGAGCUUCAUAUUGUAUUCAUGAAGUCGAUGAAAUGUCUCUUCGAGGUCGGAUACGUGAGAUGAUUUUUGUUUGUUUUUUACGAUAUGUCAUUGACGUAUACCUCCAUUGUGUUGCCAAUCAUGUCUUCGAAAUUUUUGUUGUAAGUCGCUGAUACGUAGCCCCUGCAUUUCUUAGUCCGAAAGGCAUGACUGUAUAGCAAAAGGUACCUUGUUCAGUAAUGAACGCGGUUUUCUCUUGAUCUUCGUCUGCGAGUUUGAUUUGAUUGUAACCUGAAUAGCCAUCCAUCAAGGAGAUGAGCUCGUGACCCGCAGUUGAGUGAACGAGCUUGUCUAUUCGAGGUAGAGGAAAACUAUAUUUUGGAGAAGCUUUGUUAAGGUCCGUGAAGUUGAUGCAUACCCUUACUUUACCAUUUGGUUUAAUGACUGCGACAAUGUUAGCUAGCCAUUCAGGGUAUGCGAAUUCACGAAUAAAUUUGGCAUCUUUUAAUUUUUGUAUCUCCACAUUGACUGCGUUAGCGAGAUGAGCUGCAAAUUUGCGAGCUUUUUGUUUAACAGGUUUUUUGUUGGAAUCAACAUUUAACCUAUGGCAUGCAAUAUUGGGAUUUAUCCCUGGCAUAUCGGUAUAAGCAAAAGCAAAAACAUUCUUAUUCAUCUUAAGAGUGGCAAUAAGUUGCCAUUUUACAAUGGGGUCCAAGUUAGCCCCUACAUAGACAUAUUUAGGAUCGUCGUCCGACCUUAUGUUGACCUUUUCACCUUUUUCAAUAACUGGUGGGUCGGAUGCUGAAUGAUAGCCUUGCCUUUGUCGGCCUGUUGGAUCUCAUCGACAGUGGGCUUAGAUUUGCUUCCGACUAUCUUGCUAGUUGCCGAGAUCGCAUUGACAGUGGGCUGAAGUGAGCUCACGACUGUCUUAGAGGUCUCCCCCUUAUUGGGAAGUGGGAUGACCUCAGGUAUUGCAUGGCAUCCAUGUGCCUCAAUUUGGUCACCUCGUAGUUCCAUGAUGCCUCGGGGGCCAGGAAACUUGAUGACUUGAUGGUAAGUCGAUGGAACAGCUUUCAUCCUAUGGAUCCAUUUCCUUCCCAGGAUUGCAUUGAACUGGGUAGGAACAUCAAGGAUGAAAAAUAUGCAGUGAACAGUUACUUCAUCUCCAUUUUCACCGGUUGCCACAGGAAGGCAAAUUUUACCCUUUGCUUCUGUUUCAGGGGAAUUGAACGCAAAGAGGGUGACAUGAGGCUUUUGCAGAACUAAGUCAGGCAUUUGCAUUUGAGUGAAUGCCUUGUUGAAUAAUACAUCGCAUGAGCUUCCUGGGUCGAUGAGUACUUUUUUGAUUAUCCAACCACCAAUGUUGAUGUAGACGACGAGUGCAUCAUUGUGUGGAAGACACACUUUCUUGAGGUCGAAAUCUGAAAAUAUGAGGGCAUUGUUGCCCGUGACCUGCUUAACCACAAUUGCUUUAUGGGUUAGGUGAAAGGUAUGGUGGAUGUGAUGGUUCUUCUGUUUUUUGGAUCGAGCUGACCACUCUGAAGGUCGAGCAUCCAUGAUCAUGUUGAUGGUUGCUUUGGGUUUUUUACCCUUUUCUUCUAAGGUCUUUUGUUGUUUUGCAUCGUAUUGUUGCGAAGAUCUGGUUUGUUUUUCGAGAUGAAGUCGUCAAGGUGACCUCCUCUUUGAGCUUAUCACAGUAAGCUCUCAGAUGCGACAAUCUUCAGUGAGAUGAUUUCAACAUUUAUGAAGCUUGCAGUAUGGAUUCCCUUCGAUAGCUAGGUUCAAGAUCGUGAACUUGAGGUUGGAAGUAGGCUCAUCUUUCAUUAGGUCAAAGAGUUGGUUGUAGGAACAUUUAAAAGGGUUUGGGAAUUUAGAUUUUGAAGUCGAUUUUGGUUUGCCUUUGUAUUCCGAUUUUGCCAUUUUUGGUUUAGAAUAAGUAGGCUGUGUAGUUUGAACCACAACUACUCGUUCUUUUGACUUUGUUAAGGCUUCCUCGAGCUUGAUGUACUUAUCAGCUCGUACAUAGAGGUCUUCCAGCGUUGCAGGGGCAUCUAGGAUGAUGUUCUUUCCUAAUGCCAUAUUGGGGUUGACAGCCGAGAUGAAGGCCAAGAGGCAUGAGUUCUCAUCUGGGUUUUCAGCUUGCAAGCAUUCUUUCUUGAAUCUUGCCAUGAACUUUUUAGUGGUUUCCGACUCGUCUUGCUUGAGUCGAAACAGGGCAGUGACCUCGAUUCUUCUUCGCUUGUUAUGAAUGUACUGAGUGACGAAGAGGGACUCGAGCUGAUCAUAUGAAGUUAUGGACUUUUCUGGGAGUCGAUGGUACCAAUCGAUGGCACUCCCACGGAGUGAGGCUUGAAGCAAUCUGUAGAAUAUGUCUUUGUAUUUUGGCUACAAAGCCAUGCUGGUCUUGAAUUGGAGAACGUGAUCAAUUGGAUCUCCACUUUCGUCGUAGGUUGUAAACUUUGGUGGCAUGAAGUUCUGGGGUGGCUCUUGUUGGAGGAGGUCUUCAUGAAGGGGUUCUGUCUUAUAGCGCUCUAGGGUUGUGGAUGCAACCUUUUGAGCAGUGUUUGCUUUGAGGGAGUCUUGAUGGUUUCUAUCAAGUUUUUCGGAAAGUUGAAGUAUCCGGUCAUGGACGACUUGAAGGUCAGCAAUGGUGGGGGCGGUGGUAUUGCUGGAAGUGGGUAAAACAGGGUUGUUGAUGGUGGUGGUGUUGACUUCUUCAGUGGUGAGUCCAUUUGUGGCAACUCCGUUGAGUGGUGCUUCGUUGGUAGCGGUGGUGGUGUUCUUCUGGUUGAAUAUUUUCGGCCACCAAUCUGUUCUUGCUGGUCUGCCAUUUGCUUCUGGAGUUGCUCAAAUUGGUCGGAAGUGAUGGUUGCCAUGGUCGUUGUCUGGUUAAUAUUCGAUCAUAAAUCAGUCGGCGCCAAUGUAAAUGUUAGUAAAAAGUAGGUCGGAGAAGAUGAUCGGAGUAUGGAGAGGAAGGAGUUUUUGGUGUGGAAGUGGCUGAGCUAUCUAGAGAGAUAGUUGCCUACGUAUCUGAGAUUGACCAAGUCCCAGAAUCAAGCCUACGUAGUUCAGAUUUAUAGGUGAAUUGGAACAACGGAUAGCUCAUUAAUUGCCCAACGGUAGGGUCAAUUAAUGAGCGGAUAUUUUGGAUCUAAAAAUAUAUUGUAACUGAAGAGAAUCAAAAUGUAUGAAGUUUAGAUGAAGUCGAUGGAGGUCGAAUGCAAAAGUGUUCACGUCGAGUGAGCUCGAAUAAAAAUAGGCUCACGUCGAGCUAGGUCGAUAUUGAAAAGAAUUUAGGUCGGGUUACACUUGAGAAUAAUGAGCGUCGGGUAAGCUCGAAUAAAAAUAGGCUCACGUCAAGCUAGGUCGAUAUUAGUAUUGAUUGGCGAGGUUGACGAGCUUGAAUAUAUUGAUAUCUACAACUCUCAUUUCGUUUUCUUACGAAUUCUCAUUUGUAAUCUUCAGGUUUUACACAAUUUUUGGGUUUUUACUAUAGUUCCAAACACACCACGUCUAUUGAGAGACUUAAUUUUGCUUCUUGUAGCAUUUUCCAUUUUAUUGGCCAUAUAUCAUUUGUUUGUCGACAUUUUCAUUUAUACACCGUGGUUGUGUAUCCUUUCUAUCCCAUUGCCCUUGCUAUUUGAGUAGCUACUACAUAACCAAAUAUGUCAUCGAUGACAAAUUUCUUUAUCUCUCAUAGUUUUGAGAUCUCAAUUUUAUUAGGUAUACUUUUGCCUCACCAUGGGCAUUCACAAUCUUACCAUGGACUUGUGUAAUUACAACAAUGUCUUCUGGAGUUAUAGAGAGAAUGGGUGUCUGCAUGACCUCUUCUUGAGUGAAAUGAGUAACCAUUCUUCGGGAAUGAGGGCAAGAUUUUCAUUUAUUCUCCACUUUUGGGGAGUUGAAACUUUGGAAUUUAUAAGUCUAUAAUCUUCUGGCGUCCUUAUAGAUAAAAUAUCAUAUUUUCAUGUUUGUAUUUUAAUAUUUUGGAACUUCAUGUUAUAAAAAUAUCGGUACAUUAAAUUCGAAUUAUUCAAAUUUUGGAACUUCUUAUUCAUUAAAUCAUUUAAACUAAUGUAUAAGGUCAUAAAAAUAAAGUGAUACCAAUAAUCAUCUUAGGUCCUUGUAUCACAUAUAUUAUUGUCUUAAUAAAAGACAAACAAAAAAAAUAAAUUAGGAAUUCAUCCUAAUAUGUAACAUUAGAACAAAUGCAAUAAUUACUAUCACAUUGCAACAUAUAAUCUUAUUAUAUACCAUAUAACCAUACGAACGAGAAAUAGUAUACAUAUGACCUAUAAUCUGAUGGUAUCGUCAUACCUUCAUACUUGUUCAAAAUUUUUGUUUUUCAUUCAUAUAUAUCAUUCAUAGUUUGGUGGAGGUGUAUUCUGCACACCUUUCCCUUUAUCUUGGUUUGGCUUAGCUUAUUUUUUCUUUGUGAUGGUAGUGCAGUUCUAUGCCAAGUAUAAUUAUUGUGACCGAUCAUUAUAAGAAUUUUGACCACGACCAAGCACCAUGACCACGACUGCUAGCAGUUUUGCCUAUGUGAUGGUGUGGUGCAGUUUGAUGUAAUAUAUUUGUGUACCUCACAAUCAAAAGAUAGAUUUGUAUUAAUUUUUCCUUCUUGUGCCUGUAUAAAUUAGAAAUCAUAGUAGACAAGUAACAAGCAAAGGUCGUACCCACCUCAGAGGAGGGAGAUCUUAGCUCAAACACAAUAGAAAACAAUUGUUAAGAAACACCAAGGGAAUCAAUAAUAAGAAUUGAGAUUGAUUCUAACUUUCUACAGGCAAUAAUUAAAUAAACCCUAACUUAAGAAUAUGGUAGAGAUGAAAAGAAGAUUUAUGAUGACAAUGGGGGAAGAAUUGGUAUCCACAAACUAAAUCAUGCAAACAUAACAUGUUGUUCUUUCAUGUUCAAUCUAUAACAAUUAAUUAGUCACCUCUCAGUUAUUCUAAUUAAUCAUUAAUACCUAUAAUAAUCAAGUAGUCACCUCUCAGAUAUUCUACUCGAUUAAAAGGGAUUCUCUUAUGCAUGCUAUUGAAUAUGUCUUAUUAAUCAAACCGUCACCCCUCAACUAUUCAAUUUAAUUAACUCAACAUAUUGAUUCAUAACUAAAACAUCACCUCUCAGUUAUUUGAAUUAAUUACAAAAGGGUUCCAAUAAAAGAUAUCAACUACAGAUAUGUAAUAAUCACCUCUCAGCUAUUUCACUACACAUCUUUAAUCAAUAUAAAUAAAACCAUUAAAGCUAGGUAUCCUUAAACCCUAACAAUAGUAUUUUAAUAACAUGGAUAACAAUAACAUGCAAAUAAUCAUACUUACCUCAUACUGUAGCUAGAAGUAAAUAAGCAUUAAGCACUUUGAAUCACAAUGAACAUUAAGAACAAACAUGGUGCUUUUGCAUUAUCUAGAGUGCUUCAACCAUCCUCCUAAGGGAAUUUAGCUACUCAUCCUUGAUGAUGACACCAUGGAAUAAAUAAAUAAAUAACAAAACAUCAUAAAGUAAAGUGAUUUGAUUUGAUUGAUAUGAAUAGAGUUUGAUACAAAGAAGAAGAAGAUUAACUUUCUCUCACAAAAAUAUUCUCUUUUCUCCCUCUAUGAAAAACUCUAAAUUUAAAAGAUGGGAGUCUAAAAGAUACCUAAACCUUAACUACUUCUCCUAUAUAGAAAAUACAAAGUAGAAUACUUGCAUGCAAAGACUUCCAAAUUAGGUCAAAUUCGUGGCUGCUGCUGUUGGUCUUCUAGAGGCAUUAGGUAUAUAGAAAAACCUAAUUAUCUUAGGCGUAAGUUGUAGCUUGGACCAAGACCUUCAGUUUAAUAGCUCAUGGGCCCAAAUCAGAGUUCUGGAUCUUCUUGUGAGGCAUUUUUAAGUUUGGACUUAAAUAAGGCCUAAAAUAGAAAUUCUGACUUGUGGGCUCCAAUAGGACCCGGUUUGGGCUGAGAAUUGGACCGCCUCACUUUGACCUAAAGUCAAGUCAACAGAGCUGAUUGUGGGGUGCCCUCAGCAGAUCUUGUGGGUGCAAAUAUCGAUUCUCCUUCCUAUGUGCAAAUAACACCUUUUUGCUUGCUUUUCUUGACUUUUCGCGGGCUUUUAGACAAUAUUCGCAUUUCGGCUCAUAAAACCUACACAAUAGACAAGAAAGCACUAAUCAAUAGAUAUAACACAAUAAUAUAAGCUAAGUGCUAUACAAACAAGGUGUUAUUCGGGAGAUAAAUAUACACUUUUGAGGACUUAUCAAAUACCCCCAAACAGCACUUUGCUUGUCCUCAAGCAAAGAUGAGAAGAAAGAAUUAAGGACUCAAAAGAGAAGUAAAACUAUGGUAAUUGCAUUAACCAUAUGCAUCAAGGAUUUUAACCAGAAGGAUUUCCCAGGUGGAAGAGUUAUAGUCUCCUGAGGGUUUUCCAAAGAAUAUACCUACAAACUUACUACAAUGACUAAUCCAAGAAUAGGAAUUUCUACCAUUUACCUCAGAAAUGGUUAUAUCAAGGAUAAGGAUAAGUAUUGCAAAACCGUUCAUAUGAGAUAACAUACUAUAAAUGCAUGAAUAAGAUAUGAAAUAUAAACCAAGCAUAACGGUCUCAAAUGCAUCGAAUAUAGGCAUGUACCGAUGCUACCACGGGUCUUAAGUUACCACUGGAAAGGUCGCCUUGACUUCUGCUUCGCAGUCAUACACUCAGAAAUAAAGUCACUCAGAGAUGGUGUUUAUCAUUUUAUCUCUAUGUGAGGAAGGAAGAUGGACAAUCAUCUCACAUAUAUCAAUAAGAAUGGACUGGUGUAAUGGAAUGAACUUAGUCUCAAAGAAUGGAAAAAUUAGGCUUGCUUGAGAUGUCGGGUUUUUCACCUCAGCACCUUCUCACUUACUCGCCACAUCCUACCAUAUCAGCUUAGAUCUACAAAAGACAGUAAUUGGUUGUAACUUGGCUUAGGACAAGGCUAGAAUGGAAAAGACUUUUGUGAAAUAUUUUUGGAACAUUCGGGCCUUCAAUACUUGUGAUUUGGAAUAACAACACAUGGAGAAAUUUUUGGAAUUUUUCUUUAGGGAAGAAGUGUUUCUCAUCUACUUUUGGAAAUUUUCAAUGAAGCUCUAGCCAAUAUUUUGUAAUCUUUUUUUUUUUUUUAUUUGAAAUCGUUUGGAAGAUUCUGGUUUUUUCUGGAAUUCUUCAAACUUUUUGGUUUUCAAUAUUUGGUUCAUCUCACUAGUUUGGAGAUUUCUAUAUAUUUCUCCUUUCUUCUUGUAACCACAUAAACAAUCAUCCUAAUGUUCCAAAACAAUGGGUAAAAGGACCUAAACAUUCUAAGGGUAUUUACUCCCACAAUGGAGUUGGGUAAGGACAAUGGGCUCAAAAAAAAUGCUAAGUAACAAGAAGGCUCAGAAUGGUCAACCUAAGGGAUAAAGUACCAUCGGGAUAGGCUAAGGUAAACAAGGUUUAUCUAAAUGUCUUUGUAUCAUCUUUAAUUACUGAUAUGGUGAUCACAUCUUGAAUAAGCUACAAGACCCAAGUUUAUAUUACACCCACUUGAUGUCAAGGCUAACUAUAAAAAUGAAUAUGAGACUAAAAACAAACAAAACUGAGAGGUUGAGUCUUUUGACUCCAGAUUGAUGUAAUAUCUCUCCAAGAAAAGGACGGGGCUCAAAAGCUCACUAGAUUAAGUCUCCACACUUAUUCCUCAAGUUUCUCAAGGUGUAGUUGUAUUUGCACAUGUAAUCUGUAAUAAAUGCAGAUGAAUGCCGUGCUUAUGCUCAUGCAAAUGUAGUAUAAGACUAAACUACUUGGUGAAACAUAAAUGUCCUUAAACUUGAAAAGAAGAGAAUUCAACCAUUAUAUUCAUCAUUGAUGGUGUACUUAUCCUAUUUUUGGAAAAGUCUUUGUAACAAAGAUUUUUUUUUGGAUUUUUAAAAUUUUUUGAAUUUUUACACAAGUAUGGAUAAAGAAGUUUCAAAAUCAUUUGCAAAAAGGAUUGUAAUACUUCCCCACCCCCAAACAAAAAGAUUGCCUUAUCCUCAAAGCUCAUACUAUGCAUAGGAGAGAGAGAGUAAGAAAGAUAUUACCAUGAAUGUACUAAAAAAUCAAACCGCUUUAUAAAUUCCUGCCAAACAAAAUUAUCCCCACAUACAUAGAGAUUACAAGGAAUUCCAUACUAAGACACAACUGAAAUAAAAUAUGUUGAAAUAAAGGACUGACUCAACCUAAAGGGACUAUCUUAAAACAAUGCAUUUUGUAACCGCAAUAAUUAUCAACCAGCUAAACGGCAAAAGAGAGAAUGGGUGACAGAACUGAGCAUGGAUGAUAGAACGGGCGGUCUAAAAACCAAAAUGCAACUAAACCCGGCAACAAAAAGAGAAGCAAUAAAACAUGAUCGGGCUUAGAAGAUACACUGGGCUGCCUCCCAAGAGCGCUAAGUUUAACUUCUUCAGCCAGACAGGCAGACAAACAUGACUCAAUCCCUAGAUAAACGCUACUCUAAACGAAGAUACAGAAGAGAUAAAAGGCUAGAGUGGAAUGUGCGAGAUCCUGAUGUCUAAGAUACAACAAAGAGUCUUUUAAAGUCAGAUACUCGAGACUUAAAGGAAGACGGAAAAUGUCUUCCCCACCCCCAAACAGAGCGGGAAACAGGUUUGUUUGGUGGUGACGCUCAAGAGAAAAGCGUGCACUGGAUCAAUUAUACUCAGCCAGUAAGAGUUUGUGGACUAACGGUCCCGACACUUUCAACCACACCUCUUAAAAGAGAUAUCAAAAUAGAGCAAGAGAGGGUCUGGAUACCAGCAGGUCAAUGGUCAGUCUAAAUAGGUAGGGUCCUCUAAGAGAGUUUCAGGAGGCUUUAACUCAUGAAAAUGCUUAAGACAAUGACCAUUGACUUUAAAUUCAAAACCGUCUGCAGGAUUAACACUUGUAAUAGCAUCAUAAGGAGUUACUGCAGACACAACAAAGGGGCCUGACCAACGAGACAUAAGUUUGCCAGAAAAUAAUGCAAACGAGGAUUAUAAAGCAAAACUUUGUUUCCAAUUUGAAAAUAAAACUGAUUUUUCUGUUCGGUAGUAAGAGAUGGAGAGAUGAUAACAGGAUGACUACCGUCUGAAUCUAAUUGGGCACAUUUCAGCUCGGGAGGAAGAGGAUCACGAGAUGGAGGGAUGGUAACAGGAUGACUACCGUCUGAAUCUAAUUGGGCACAUUUCAGCUCAGGAAGAAGAGGAUCACGAGAUGGAGGGAUGGUCUCUACUUGGAACUCAGAAUCAAUGCAACAAACCGAAUCAAGGCCCUCAGGGUCUUUGGGGUCAAAGAUAGGCACAGAAUCAAGAUGAGUUUUGGUUUGGGCAAUAAAUUGGUCAAUGUCGAAGUCAACAUUAUGCAUGGUAGGGCAAUUAACAACCGGAUCUUUAGGGUAACAACUAGGUACCAUCUCAUAGGGUAGAGAAUCGAGAAGGCACACAUCUUUAGAUAAAGAAAGAUCAGGGGGUUGUUGGCCAAGAUUAAAGAUAUUUACUUCAACAGUCAUAGCUCCAAAAGUGAGAACCAUAGAACCAUUCCGGCAGUUAAUGAGAGCAUUAGAGGUGGCAAAAAACGGUCGGCCAAGGAUGAUGGGAGCCGAGUUAUCGGCAGUAGCCUCAGUAUCCAACACCACAAAAUUAACAGGAUAGUAAAAGUCAGACACUUUAAGGUACUUUUAAUGAUCUGUCGGCAAGUUGUAAAGACAUGUUCGUGGGUUUCGUGUAUGUUAGACCCAGGCUGAGGUACAAGGAGUAAGGCAAGAGAUUAACACUCGCUCCCAGGUCUUACAAAGUUCUACCCAUGAACUUAUCACCAAGCUUGCAGGGUAUGGUCGGUUUUCCAGGGUCUUUAUACUUUACCACACCGUUAUGUUGGACAAGUGCAGAGAAUUCUUCAGCGCACAUUUGUUUUCCUCUUAGCGGUGCAGAAGUCCUUCAAAACCUUAGCAUAAGAAGGUAUUUUUUUAAUAGCCAUGAGGAAAGGUAUAUUAAUAUUUAUAUGUUUAAACAGAUCAAUUACCUCCUCUACUUGGACUUCCUACAGAGACCUUGUGAGUCUCUGGGGGUAAGGUACAGGUGGGUCGUAAGGCAAUGGAAUAUCCACAAUCUUACGGGUAUGUAUCCUUGGCUUAGAGGUGUUCGCCUCAUUAGCCGGAUCUUUAGGCGGUGCAAUAGGUGUAGUGGUAACAGGGGUCACAAUGCUAGGACUUGGUUUAUAAUUAAUCUGAUUAUCAACCUGUUUGCUAGACCUAAGUGUGGAGACCGAGUUAACUUCAGCAAGCGGUACAGACGGAUUUGUAGUAUCCGUCACCAAGGUAACUUCCUUGCCUUUGGGAUUCGGGAUGGACUGUCCCGAAAAUUUACCCUUUUCAUCAAGUUUUUGUUCAAUCCUCUGGAUAGCUUGGGCAUUUGACUCAAUAGCACAUCCUCAAGGGAGGUCUUAGGUGGGGCAGAUUGAUUAGCUGGCAUAUGGUCCCUGGAACCACUCAUGUGAUGAGUAUUGUUCGAGUAAGGGGGGACCGGUGCCCUGUUCCGAUUAUCAGUGUUACCAACAUACGUGGCAUUGCUAUGUUGCCCAUAAGAGUUAUUAAAACCAGGUGGAGCCGCAUAAUGAUUAUUUGAAUCAGAAAGAUUGGAGCAGUCCAUGUAUGUGUACGUUGCAUUGCCCUUAGUAAAGUUGGUUUGCCCGGCGUAAGUGAACGCACGGGCUUCCUCAGUUUCUGGUGAAUUAUAAAAGAAAGGGCAGAACUCGACAGUAUGGGUCUGGUAAUGACAAGCAGUACAUUGGAGAGUGGAGGCACUUAUAACAGGUGAUGUGGGCUUUAAGGAUACCUCAAGUGCUUCUACCAUUUGUACUAAACCAUGAAGUAAAGUUUUAACCUCAGAGUCAUGUUUGACUUCAUAUAUACCUCUAGGUUUAUCAAAUGAGUAUGGGGUAGUGUUUCUCGGGGUAUGUUCAGGUAAGUCCCAUUGCUGGCUAUUAUUAGCAAUUUUUUCAAGGAAUGCCAGAGCCUUGGCGGUGGAAUAAUCAAAAAAUUCUCCACCGCUCAUGCUAUCAACCAUGUUUCUAGUUGUAUAAUUAAGGCCUCUAUAUAUGAUCCUAACUUUUUCUGUGUUAUCAACUCUGUGGUGUGGACACUGAAGAAAUAGGUCUUGAUACCUCUCCCAUCCAUCAAAUAAAACUUCACCCUCUUUAUGCUGGAAACUUCUUAUGGUAUCAACUAUAUCAUUAGUUCUGGUAAUAGGAAAGAAUUUGGUCAAAAACCUUUUAUUUAGUUGAGCCCAGGUGUCAAUAGAAUUGGAAAGGAAGGCCAUGUAACCAGUGAUAUGCUCUAUCCUCAAGGGGAAAGGGGAACAAUCUCAAGCUAACUUCCUCCUCAGACAAAUGUUUCUCCAUAAAAGUAUUGAGAACGGUCAAAAACUUAUUGAGGUGCUGAUAUGGAUCCUCCUGUGGAAGUCCAUGGAACUUAGGCAACAUGCCCACAAUCUGUGGGCGAAUGCCAUAGCUAUCUACAGUUGUCUCAGGUAAGACUAUGUAGGUAGGUGGCCAAAGGUGAAAAGUAAUCCCGAAGGGUAGCUUCUUGAGCCAUAGGGGCAGGUCUUACUUCAGAAAGUGAAGUCGAGUCGUUGAACUCUUCUUCAGAAGGUAUGGAGGUUGAGUCGUUAAACUCUUCCUCAAGAUAAGGAGUGAGGUAUGUGAUUGUGCUCUUUGUGUGGAUUGGAGUUGGUUUGGACAAGAUUUUACCUGAUCUAAGAUGCAUGCAACAUGCGCAUUACAAAUGCCACAGAAGUCCUAAGCAUCUAACAAGGGGCUCAAAAACUGACUCAAUUUUGUGUUCACCCAAGUCAAUGAGUUAUUUCCAACCUUCCCUUGUGAAUUCUCCCUAUAUUUCAUGAGUCAAGCAGCGAAUAACCAGUGUGGGAUGUUUUCCGUGCGUAAGCGACAGUCCUUAAUUAAGAAACCACAGUAAUUCUACAGACGUAAUUUGUAGGGGUUCCAGACCCAAUUCCUAACUUGUGCUCCAAUCAAAGGAUGGUUCACGUAGUAUUAGUUGAAACAUCUGCUCAAGGUCUCAAAUGAACAUCGUGAUAGCAUGGCUUUAGUUGGUUCAAUUUUAAAGCUUGGGAUAUUGCAAUCAAUUGAUAUUAGGUUUCACUUAUAGGCCAGGUCCGCCUUGCAGUCCCAGUUUAACAAGUAAAAACAGAAUUUAAAAUCAAGCAAAAAUCAAGGUCAUGCUAAUCAUUACAGAAACUACUCUUGCAGGGGAUUCAAGGAGGGUUAGGAGAAUGCUUACCUCCUACUUUGUGCUAAAAAAUAAAAGUGCCAAACAAGCGUACAAAAGUGGGGAGAAGACGAGUUGAAGUCGACUAAGGGGAAACCGCUCCUUGGAUUUCAAUCGUCCUUAGGAGUCGUUCCUUAGUAGACUCAAGGCUAGCUCCACAACCUUACUCUACUAUCUGCCGCAAACAUACAAUAACAUAAAUCCUAACAACACCAACUUUAAAAAUAUUACAACUACGACCCUUUCGUGGAUCGAAUAAUUAAAUAUCUUACAAGUCUUUAAAAAUAAUGAAAAAAAUAGACUACUUAGUUCACCUCACAAUCUCUCAACAGAAAAAAAAAAUUAGCUGAAAAGGAGUUCUGGAAUGCUCUGGAAAAAUCACGCAAAACAAGGCAAAUUCCCUGCCUGGAACUCGACUCGUGAUGGAUAUAGGCCAAACUGAAAUCGACUCGAGAUCGGGCCCAGUUUCAACCAGUAACUUUAAGGAAAAUUUCCAGAACGCCCCUCUUUCGUAAAAAUUUGAUCUUUACUUCAUUUUUCGAGUUUUUUUCAAUCUGUCUUCGCUGCAAGAUCAAUAAGAGGACUAAGUAACAAGACACUUUAAAUAAAUAAUAAAAAGAACUAAAAAUAGAAGGGUGGGAGGGAUAGAAGUGGGAUGAUGUCCCGAAACUACUAUUCUCGUUUGUGUUUGAAUGAACUUCGUUCCUUAGAGCGGCAACGACGCCAUUUUGAUGUAAGAUAUUUGUGUACCUCACAAUCAAAAGAUAGAUUUGUAUUGAUUUUUCCUUCUUGUGGCUAUAUAAAUUGGUUAUCAAAGUAGACAAGUAACAAGCAAGGGUCGUACCCACCUCAGAGGGGGAGAUCUUAGCUCAAACACAAUAAAAAACAAUUGUUAAGAAACACCAAGGGAAUCAAUAAUAACAAUUGAGAUUGAUUCUAACUUCCUACAUGCAAUAAUUAAAUAAACCCUAACUUAAGAAUAUGGUAGCUAGAGAUGAAAAGAAGAUUUAUGAUGACAAAGGGGGUAGAAUUGGUAUCCACAAACUAAAUCAUGCAAACAUAACAUGUUGUUCCUUCAUGUUCAAUCUAUAGCAAUUAAUUAGUCACCUCUCAGUUAUUCCAAUUAAUCAUUAAUACCUAUAAUAAUCAAGUAGUCACCUUUCAGCUAUUCCUCUCGAUUAAACGGGAUUCUCUUAUGCAUGCUAUUAAAUAUGUCUUAUUAAUCAGACCAUCACCUCUCAGCUAUUUAAUUUAAUUAACUCAAUAUAUUGAUUCAUAACUAAAUCAUCACCUCUCAGUAAUUUGACUUAAUUACAAAAGGGUUCCAAUAAAAGAUAUCAACUACAGAUAUGUAAUAAUCACCUCUCAACUAUUUCACUACACAUCUUUAAUCAAUACAAAUAAAACCAUUAAAGCUAGAUCUCCCUAAACCCUAACAAUAGUAUUUUAAUAACAUGGAUAACAAUAACAUGCAAAUAAUCAUACUUACCUCAUACUGCAGCUAGAAGUAAAUAAACAUUAAACACUUUGAAUCACAAUGAACAUUAAGAACAAACAUGGUGCUUUUGCAUUACCUAGAGUGCUUCAACCAUCCCCUAAGGGAAUUUAACUACUCAUCCUUGAUGAUGACACCAUGGAAUAAAUAAAUAAAUAACAAAACAUCAUAAAGUAAAGUGAUUUGAUUUGAUUGAUAUGAAUAGAGUUUGAUACAAAGAAGAAGACGAUGAACUUUCUCUCACAAAAAUAUUCUCUUUUCUCUCUCUAUGAAAAACUCUAGAUCUAAAAGAUGGGAGUCUAAAAGAUACCUAUACCUUAACUACUAUUUCUCUUAUAUAGAAAAUACAAAGUAGAAUACUUGCAUGCAAAGACUUCCAAAUCUAUAUACUAUAUAAUAGUGGAGCCUAACAAGUGCCACAUGGCGUGUUCUCAACAACUUGAUAAUAGAACUUAAGCCCAAGAUAAAACCCAACGGAAGCCCAAUACACAUCAGCAAGCAGAACCCAAAUUUUAAAACCCUUCCUCUCCUAUUUCAACUCCUUCCAAAAAUACAUGUUAGCAUUUAGCAAGCAGAACCCAAACUCUUCUUCUUCUGUUUCAACUCCUUCCAAUUUCUAAAAGACUAAAACUCUUCUUCUUCUGUUUCAACUCCUUCCAAAUCUUCUAUUAAAACCCAUAUAUUACAAUAAUGGCGGUGUGAGUAACUUCUGAAAAACCCAAUUACAGCUAAGCCUGCAUCAAUCUAUACUUCCAAAUCUUCAUCACUUCCAAUAUUCUAGAUCCCUUCAUCAACUUUUAUUAUUCAAGUUCGAUUGCUUCCAAUGUUUUUUACCCUUUACUUUAAUUGUGCUGCAAUGCAAGAUUGGCACCAUCUGAUGUGUUUUAAUGACGGAAUACUUCAAAUCUCCUGCUAUAAUUUUAUCUAAGAGUCCUUGAGUUAUGUUAUCUAUACAUUAUCAUGAACUUACUGACUUUAAAAUUGCAAGAAAAUUAUUGAUUGAUCAUAAUUCAUAUACAACUAAUCCAUCAAUAUUCUUAGUAUUUACUGUACCUGACUACAAUUUCGAUGUUUGGCGGAUUAUUUGGGUGAAUGAAUGAGGAAGCCUUUUAUUGUACAUAGGUCAUAGACCAUGUUUGCUUAACAAACCAUUUUUUUUUACUGUACAUAGGAUUUCUUAGAACCACUAACUUAGAAUUGGUUUAGAUUGAAAUAAUAGCAUUGCAAGUGAUUUUGUCGCAUAUACUGUCACCGAAGAUAGAAUGCAUGAAUCUAAGUGUGGCAUUUUUAUACACAAUUCAAUGAUAGCUGCCCACAACACUCGAGUAUGAAAACCUUCUCUUUUAAAUUUUUGCAUAAGGGGCGUCACUAUUAGCCAAGAAUAUUCAGUGAGUUUCUAAACAUAAUAUUUUAUUUCCUUGAUUUGGGAGUACAAUUCGACAGUAUGGCAUAUCAUGCUUCUAAGUUUAUUCUUAAUAUAACAUGGAGCAUUUUAAAUGAACACUCAUCUGCUUUUAAAAAUAUCCAUUUGACCCAUUAUUUAUAGUUUUACUUACUGCCAAUACGCUUUUACUGCAAUUAAGAACAAUAGGGAUAUGAAGAAGAACCAUGUGCACUAGGGGUGGCAAAUGGGUCGUGUUGGGUCGUUUUCGGGUCGUGUCUGUGUCGGGUUGCGGGUUGAAAUAGGUAAAACACGAAAUGACCCGGUUAUUAAACAGGUCAACCUGAAACACGACCUGCUUAGACCUGCUUAUAGACGGGUCACACGACUCGACACGGUUGAGACACGAUGUCAAACCUGUCUAAAUUGCACUUUACAUUUGCAUUAAUAGAUUAUUUUUUCUGGUAAAGUACAUUAAUAGAUUUGAAGAAGGCGAGUGGAUUCAGAAGAGAUCAAUGAACAUUACCAUAAAAAAGAAAAAAAAAAAAUUUAGGAUCAAUGAUCAAUUAUCAUCACCUAUGUUCAUCAGAGAAACUUCCAUUUUCAAACCCAAACCCCUAACAUUUCCAUCAGUUGUUGAAGAAAUUGAGUUUGGUUUGCUUUAGAUCUUUAAAUUCCUAACCCCUUUGAUUUUACUCCUUACUUCCUCAUACUCCUUUUGACACCAUUGCUGAUCUGAUUAAAAAAAACCCAAAAGCUUGAAACUAAUUUGAAGUUAAUGUUUUUAUGUGAUAGAAUUCUGCUCUUGAGUUAGGUUUUAAUAAGAUGGUAAAUGAGAAGAAGUAAAAGAGAGAUGAAGAUGGAUUUAAUAAGAAGAAUUUAAAAGGAAAGGAAAAAAUUCUGCCAUUGAUUGGAAGUAUGUUUUCAAAGCUUCUACUACUCCAGCAACUAAUAAAGAAGAAGAAAANNNNNNNNNNNNNNNNNNNNNNNNNNNNNNNNNNNNNNNNNNNNNNNNNNNNNNNNNNNNNNNNNNNNNNNNNNNNNNNNNNNNNNNNNNNNNNNNNNNNAGGAGAGAAUCCCAUAACAUUCGUGUAAACAUGGGUUAUUUUUGGGUACGAGGGUUGGACACGGACACGACCCAGUUAGAAAAUAGGCUCAACGGGUUAAACACGUUAGUGACACGAAACAGGUAAAUGGUUAACCCAAACACGCAAAAAACGAGUCGUUUUUGGGUCGUGUUUAUGGGUUCGUGUCAAAACUGCCACCCCUAAUGUGCACUAUUUACGAACACUGCGGGCUUGGUGUGGGCUCUGUUUAGGGGGCCAAGUAUACACAGUGCCUAUAAUACAAUAGGGAUCUGUAGUGAUAUCCUUUUCAUUUAAUUUCCAAGUUUCUUCUUCAUAUUAUUUACUUCUUUUAUUAAUUUUGAUCGGGUACUUCCAGACUUUUGCCCUUAUUUAUGUUCUUACUUGAUUUGAUAGCUUCAACAAGUAAUCACAUGAUUGAACUAACCUUAUGUCCAUCUCUCUACUUGGAUUUGAGAAGUUGGCAACAAAAGUGAACUCGCCAUUCAAAUACUGCGCUGUCUAGGUAUGCUAUUGAAACUUGCAGAAGUUGCUUGGAAUAAUGGGUAUUUUGGUUUACUACAUAAUGCAUCACACCAUAUGAGUGGAUUGGUCCACCUAGGCAGUGGGAGUAGCCUUGAAUAUCUUUGUUUUCCAGGAGUACUAAGGUGGUUUAGUGGUGUGGAAAAGUGUUGAUUUAUUGCAUGCUUAUACAUAAUCAUUUGGUUAGAUGGAGGAGAAGGUAUGGUUUGAUUUUCGGGUAGAGGAGGAAGAGAAAACAUCUUAAGAGAAAUAUAUGGUGCUGUUAAGUGUCAACACAAAGCCUUGGAUGAAAACAAUGAGGUUAAAACAUGUGAGUGAGAUGGCGGUGCUUUAAAGAAGGUAUACUUGCUUACUGUGAUUUUUCAAUUUCUCUUUAUUUGUUGUUUUGUGUUACUGCUAUUAAACUUAGGAUCCACACAUGCUUGGAUUGUUAAUAAUAUUCGACAUUUUGCUUACACAAGUUUCAUCUUCUUUGUUAUUUUUUUUAGUUCUAAUAUUAACUAAACUAUGCCGUGAAGUCUCAUCUACGAUCACAAGGAAAAGGUUUAGCUAGCAUCCAUUAAUAUGGUCAUAUGGACUAAUUCUUUUUCGCUAAUGUAAUAUGGACUAUAAAACACACCCAUUUCUUAGCCAUUCAUGUGACAUCUCCUUAAGUUUGAAUGGUUUAUGUAUAACAGAAAUAGGGCAGGUGUGACUUUUUUAGAACCACAUACGAGUGGGUGAUGUCGCACCUAUGACCUAUACUGAGUAAGCUUCUAUCUUAUUAUUGUUUAGUUCUCACCACCCAUAAGGUCACAAAGCUAAAUCUUGAACAAAGUUACUUAUGAAGUGUUAUGAGUUCAGGAAUUGGAUUUCAAACUCAACAAUUAUUAUGAAUCAUGUUUUUUUUUUUCUUAUCAAAAAAAAAAAAAAAAAAAUGUUUUAUUUUUUUUUUGUUAAAUUGUAAAUUUUAUUGAUGUAAAGAAAGAGUACAAAAGUAGCAUGUUUACUAGGAUCAAUGAUAGAGACAUUCACUUCACCAAACCAUAAGUAAUCAAUUAUACUGCACAUAAUAAAAAACAUAGGAAACAUACUAUUCUGAUAUAUUGCUAAUAUAUCAGAAUGUUCCCUGCACAAAGUAUUUAUCUAUAAUCCACAACAGGCUAUAUACGAACAUAUAUAUUGCAAAGUCCUAUUUGGAUAUCAGUAUGCAUUGCGUUGAUUUUUAUAUCAGUAUUUGGAUAUCAGUGUGCAUUUAAUAUUUAGACAGUAUGAUUUGGAUAAACUAAUUUUAUAUAUUUUGUUUAGGCUAUAUAUGAGCAUUUUGUUUGAGCAAAGAUUUUAAUAUAGUUAAAAUUCUAUUCUCAUAUAUAUAUAUAUAUCUGAAUUGCAAAGAUAGUGGUUUUAUAUGCAUAAAGUGGAAUUUUCUAUAGUGUGUUUUGAUUUCUUUUAAUGAUAUAUAUUGUUGACCUUUAUUUAAAAAAAAAAAUUUGCUUACUUAUGUUCACCAUAAGUAAUGUCCUCUGAUUUUCAAGGAUAUAUUUUUUUACGGUGUGCACAUACUACAACCAUCGAGCAAGUAAAGAGGGAGUUGAUGGUUUACUUAUGGAAUUGGUUAGAUAAUGAGCUAUUAAAGGUAGAGCAUCAGUUCAAGGAACUUCUAUUAGAGUGGCAGACGAUUCAUAUAAAAAAAGAGAGUGGGAGACUAUGGUCCAAGGAAAUGUGUGAGGGAUAAAAGAGUCCUGUAAUGUUAAUAAGAGUUUGUAUUAUCUUUGUUUUGGUUUUCUGGCUACCUAACAAUGUCCUUUGUGGCAUGCCGAUCAGAAUGUAACAGUUUUUGGUAAUUAAUAAAAUCUAGCACUUCUAUUAAAAAAACAUCUUAGAGUAAACUCUGCUCUGGGUUGUGUUAGCUUCAUGUAUGCAGAUUGUGUUGCUAGGUGUCUAUGUGAUAACCCUGUGAUAUAGCUUUAAGUAUGCAGAGUUAUUUGUUGCAAGGUGUCUCUAUGAUAUACAUAUGCUUUCCUUACUAAGUUUUGAGCACUAGAAGCUGAAAUGUAGACUUACUUUACAAUGAGAUUUCAUUCAGCCUAUAAUAAAUUAAUAGACUCAAUAUUUAUCUAUUAGCUGAAAAACUCACUUCUCACAUCCCUCACUGAGAAAGUCUCAGUGAAUGCAGUUGACAGAGCUGAAAUUAUAUAUUCUAUACAAUCUCUUUCAUUAUUUUAUUUAUUUAUUUAUUUGAGUUUUUUUUUCUGGAAACAAAACUUGAUGACAAAAAGGAGGAUAAUAAUCAUAUAGACCAAAGUUAUUCUGCACUGGAUCCUCUACAGGUAAAACACAUUAACUAAAACUUUGUUAGUCCACUAACAUAGAUGUAUGUUGGUCUAGAUAACAUAGAGAAAAAGGUGGUGCCUACUAUAGAAGUGAUUGAUGCAUUUAUGUCCUCUACAAUUGUUAUUUCUUUUGUGAUCUAAUUGCCUCAAUUGAAGUGAGAGCUAUGGUUGGAGCUACAGUUGGAAGGUCUUCAUUAUUUAAGUAACUGUAUACUGCCAAGUGCUUAAGGCUUUAGCGCUUAGUUUGCAACUUCCUUAAUAUUUUUGUUAAUAGUAGUGUAGCUAAUAGAGGUGGUUUUCUAUCGGUUUCAUGUGUAGGAUGCCAAGGAUAACACAACGUUGGAAACUGAUGAUGAUUUUUCUUUAAUUCAUUCUGAUCAGGAUCAUAAUUUUGUUAUCAAUUCAGUGCUCCAAUAGCACGGAGCCAUAGUGAUUGUUUUAAAAUUUCGGGUGAGCCUUUUGCUAAACGAUAAUGCAUCCCUCCAGAAUUGAAAUUUCUCAUCAAUUGAUUAUUACAGAGUUAUUUUGUGUAAUUAAAAAUGGUAAUAAUAUAACACAAGAACAAAAAUCCCAGUGCGACUAUGUAAUCACAAAUCAUAAUAUCUUUGAGAAAUAUGCCUGCUAUGUAAUCACAAAAUCAUGCGUAGCACGGGUUCAACAACUAGUACUAUAUAAUAGUAGAGCCUAACAAGUGCCACGUGGCGUGUUCUCAGCAACUUGAGAAUAUAACUUAAGCCCAAUUGUAAGCCCAAAUCCUUAACAAAAUUUCACAAGUUUUCUACCAUUCUUCUACUUCACCGUCUUCUACAAUUCUUCUCCGUCUCAGAUUCCUCUUUCUGCACGGUAUUCAAUUUCUAAUUGUAUCAAAACCUUUAAGCCAUAUUUAUUGAGUCUCUUAGAGCUUUAAUAUUUUUCCUCCCUGUUAUUUGGUGUAACCUACUCAACAAGAAAAACAGGUAAUCUCUUAAACUUUUAAUUUUUCUACAUUGAUGAAUUCUAAUUCAUAAUUGUUUUCUAAUUUUAAUUCAUAACUUCUUCCUAUUCGAUAAUUGAUUAAUUCUAUUGUGUUAAUGCUGGUUGUAUUGACCUAUUUCUAGAUCAAUGCAUUCACUAGGUCAGGUCGUUAGCAGACUUGACCAAUGGGGGGAGCUUUACAACGACGUGGUUGCACCUCGUUGAGAUUGAGAUUGCCUACGUACUCUAGUUCGUGGGGAUUUAACCUAGAGAUCAAGCCAUCGUAGUUCUGUUUAUAUAGGAGGUGAAGAGGCGAAGAUCAUGGGAUCCUGCAGAUUCUCCGACAUAUUUAUGAUGAUAUGAUUUUCUCCAGCGAUUGUGUAACGGUUGUAGUAAUUGGACAACGGCUGGAGGGAGUAUCUUGGGAGCCGAAUUAGGGCACGUGCGUAUUAGCAGACCGCUGCUGAUUAUGUAGUCGAGUCAUUGUGGUCGAGCUACUAGUAAGUUGAGAUCGUAGCGACCUGACGGAUUAACGACUAUGCCACAUUUAUAAGCAUCUAGUUAGGGAGGCAAAUCAGGUGGCAGAUUUGUUAGCUAAAAGGGCUUUGCAGAAUGUAUGUACAGAUAGAUGGAUAAUGGAUCCUGACGCUCAGUUGAGUCAGUUGUAUUUUGACAGUAUUUCUAGUGUGUACACUAGAACUAGAUAAUGUACAGUUUGCUAGAUAAAUAAAGUAUCUUUUCAUAAAUAAAAAAAAGUAUGGAUUCAGACUGUCUACCCCUAAGGAGAAUCAGGUGCAGUACUUAAUUGAAGAGUGGGAAAAAAUAAUUUGGGAUGAAGAAUCUGGGGAAUAAUAUUAGGAAAUAGGACAGGUUUGCAGAGCUAAUCACAGUUUAGGAGCUGCUAUAAAAGAUCGUUCUUGAAUCGUGGAGUUGUUCAGUUUCAAAUUUCAGUCUCUUGUUACGUUCAUUUAUUAUAUGUUGCAAUAUGUACACCAUUUUAAAACAGAAAAAAUAUACAGUAAACUAAAUCUCAAUCUAAAUAUCUAAAAUCUCAGAGUUGAUAGGUUGAGAAGGAGAAUCAUAAUAAUUACUAACAGGUGUGCGUUGUGCAAGGGUACAUAGUAUUCUACUCCACAUCUUCUUUUUUUUCCGCUUGCAGGGUCCCAAAGCCAAAGAAAGCUACGAUUUGCGUCAGUACAGCUGCAACGACAAACUUGGCAAGUUACACAUUGUCAGGAAACUGUUGCAGCAAUGGCCGACAUUCAAUGUUAAAAAUAUGGCCAUAGUACCCUACACAAAACUGUGGUGAAUUUGGAUGACGUGGAAUAGAUAUUAUCUUCAAAGACAAAACGCUCAACAAAACAAUUAUUUAGCUGAAGGGACUGUUUGGACCUGGCCAAAUAUGGAUCAACUUUCAAUAACAAUGAGGGAGAGGGUGAGAUUUUCUGAGCUCCAAAAUGUGUGAUAAAGUCAUGGAAGAGAAAUGAUGAAGCGGGAAGAACACCAGCAAGUUAGGGCCAGACAACACACCAGCAGCAUAGGGCUAAAGCCAGCAGGUUAUAGGUUGCAGCAAACCAGCAACGUAUCGCCACCAGAUGCUGGAUUGUUCUACUUCAGUUAGUUAACACAGCUGCCCACACAAUCUAAAAUUUCUAUGAAAUUACAGUGAUGUAUGCUAAUUGCUAAGAAAAUUCUCAACUAGUUUAGUCAAGGGAGAGGCAAACAGAGGUGCAACUGCAGGGGUUUGAAGAUAGCAGAUAAGCUGAAGUAAUUUCAGCAAGACUGCAGAGGAAACAGACAACAGUAGCAGCAGCGAGCACUGUUCAGAACUAUGCAGUUUCUAUGGAUAUUUUGUCAGGAUCAGUGUAAGCACUCAUCUUCUUUCUUACAGUUAAUUUUUUUUGAUAGAAUGCAGGGAUCACACUGUACAAGGAUGUACUACUGGAGAGGUAGUAAUCUGCUGACAGUAGCAUAUAUACUGGUCAGAAUCUGUAAUUGUUCCAGAGUUUUGAAUAUUAAUUUUACGUUCCAAGGAAAUGGACACUGAUUCAAGAAUUGCAAGAUAGUUGGAGGUGAUGAGGAGCUCAUUCCAUUCGCUAUUGAUUAGGAGGAUAGAUAUGUGUCAACUGGAAGGUAUAUGUCCACUACUAUUAUACGAAAUUGCAGUUCUGGACAGGUGUGUAAAACUACAAAUAGUGCUAAUCUAACAAUUGAAUAUUCAACCAAAUCAAACAAUACGCAGAAAGUAAAUAACACACAGGAAUUUUUAACGUGGUAAAACCCAAUAUGGGAAACGUCCACGGUUGUCCUCGCGACAACAAAUAAAUCCACUAGAUGAGAAAGAGAUUUACAAACCUAUCAACUACCUGCAAUCACUGCGAGUUGACACUCCUGGUUAUCUCUAACACCUUGACUUCACCAGAGCACCUUGAUGUACGCACAAGACACUCGACUUCUUGAUGAACACACAAGAAGACUCGAAGCCGAUCUAUGUAACAAGCUUACACCAGAGUUCCUUGAUGAACACACAAGGAUACUCGACUUCUUGAUGAACACACAAGAAGACUCGAAGCUAAAUCACUAUUCAAUAAUGUAGAAGAAAAUGAAUAGGGAAGAAGGAAGAAGAAGAUGAAUGAGAAGAAGAAGAUGAAUUCAAUCACCAAAACAACCUAAACCAAAACCUAAACAAACUCCAAGAACAAGAGAAAUCUUGGACGGCCAAAGGACUAACUUGUUCUUUGGAAGAGAAACCCUAUUUAUACUUAGGGUUGGAAACCAAGGAAAAUGGGCCGAAAUAGUGAAAACCCACAUUGGACGUACGUACGUCGAUAUGACGUUCGUACGUCUCAAACCGAAAUACACCUGCUGACUACUUGGACGUACGAACGUCCUAAGAAGGUACGUACGUCCAGACCAAACAAACUUCCUGCUGACAUACCAUACGUACGUACGUCCUGAAGAGGUACGUACGUCCUGAACCAAAUACCAUACUUGAGACACACGACGCGAAGACAAGGACACGGGACGACGCGCGUACAACAAAGUUUUCUUAACAAUGAACUCAAGGCGAAAUAACCAAGGACGACCAAUGUCACAAAAUUGAUGUCAAACCACUUCGUGCCGGUUUCAAUCUCCCCCUUUGACAUUGAUUUUGUGACAAAAACCUAUGACUCUAAUAGCACUUAUAAAACGUGCUUACAAACCCAAACCAUGGCAUUUAUAAAACAUGCCUACAAAAUCACUCAAGGUAGAACACAUACCAAGUCACCAAUUCUUGUUAUCCAGCUUGAGCAAGACGCUUUAACCAUCAGAGACCGAACGGAAGCAACUAAGAAUUUCCGAAACAAUCAAGGAAUCAACAGAAGUUCCUUCGAGCAAUUCCCCCAUACUUCAUGAGCUCCAAAAUUUUGACACUCGAGCUCCCCUAUAACUGUACAACCUCUAAUCAUCAACACGUUCACUCCCCCAUACUUGUAGGAUACCUGCAACAUGACCCAAGAAUACACUAACAAAGGAAGAAACGAAUGUUAGUAUUAGAGUCAUAAAUCUCCCCCAUUUUGUCACAAAUGAAGCAAGGUAACAAAAGAAAGAGAAAAGAAAAAAAUACCAAACCAUAACAAAUAAGAUUAAAGAAGAAAAGAAAGAGAACAAUCAUGUUAACAACAAAAAGGAUAUCCAACGGAAGCCAUAACAUAAACACUUGUUAACGCGAUGUCAAUACAAAGAAUUCUCUCCCAAAACAAAAGCUUCUCCUAAAUGCAAUGCAUAUGAGAAAGAUGCACCUAGAACAAACAAACCAAAUAAGGAUAUUUGAAACACACAAAGAACCAAACAUACAAGGGUAGAAGAGAGUAAAGAGAAAACCAUACCAUAAAUCUGGAAUCCAUGACGCACAAAACUAAAAAACAUGAGAGAGAUCUAGACAUAUAAAUGAAGAAGAAAGAGUACCAACACAGACACAAGAAGGAAGAUUAGAUAAGACCCAAAACGAGAUAAGAAGGAGAUAGUGAAAAGACACUGAAUACUUAUAUAGGUAACAGAGGGAAGAAAAGAAAACAUAACAUGAAUCCCUGAUAGAAACCAAGAGAAACCUAUACUUAGAAGAAAGAGUCAGGACACCAACAAUCAGAACAAAUGAUUCACUAGAAUAUCACUUUAAACAACCGACCAUAACCACCUGAGAUAGACUCCAGAGAGACUACUUCAUAGUAGGAAGAUAUCUAGAGAAAAAGAGCAAACAAACAAAAAGGAAGGAAUACCAUACCCGAUGAAAUCGGCAACGUACAAUAAUGACCAAGAACCGAAUAGUCAAACCUGUGAGAAAUGUGCAAGAAAAGAAUAUGCGAAAAGAGAAAGAAGAAGAGAUAAACAAUAGUUAGUAGGAAAUAUGAAAGAGAAUAGGGAAACCAUGCUUACUAGACACAUCCAACAAUAUCCCAUGACAAAACUACAGGAAUAUGAGUAUCUGCAGGAAGAGAUAUGUAAAGUAGAAGAAAAUCCAUUGAGAAUCCAUGGGGAAAUCCAAUCUGUACAUGUUCCUGUAAGCCCACCCUAGUGAAACCCAACAAUUAGUUCAACAUAUGCCAAACAAGAUAAGCAAUCAUCAAGCUCAUAAAAAGAAAUGCUUUAAUCUGAAGAAUUAGCAAGGAUUAACGAUUUCACCAAGUCACAAAACAACAAUCCAACUUCAGAGCAAAUUUCCUGCCAGAACACUAAGACUCCGAUGACAUGCCAUACAUUGUCAGAAAGAUUAGAGAGUCAAUAGAAGAGAAUUGCUAACAGUAGAUGACCGAACAGAGCAUAUGCAUCCCAAAGUAGAGCAGUGGUAGCCCAAAACCAUUGCAUGAGGAUUAUUACAGAAAACUACCAAGAACACAUCUAAUCAAACCUAUUGCAGGAAAAAAUAGGAUCAACCAGACACAAGAAGCAACAAUAAGAGGAUAGGCAAGUCUCAUAAGUAUUUAAUCACACACCAGCUAGCCAACAAGGUAAUUCAAGAAUAUUAUCCCAACAUAGAAAAGUAUGAUGAGAACCUAUGAGAAAAACAUGAAGCAGUAUAAAUCAUGACAAACGAAUACACCAAUAACAUGAUUUCAUCACCAAAAUAUGCUUAUGCAUACCUUGUAGCUUUCUUAAAACAAAUUGAGAACUAUUACCUUGAGAAAUCACAUCAAACACAUGUGAGCCAAUGACAAAAAUAGAAAGCAUGAAGUGUAAAACCAAAUAAUACUAACAAUCUGACCUUAGUAUGUCAAGGAAACACCGACUGAAAAGAAUUACCAAGGAUGGAACCAAAAUAGAGUAAGCCAGAAACACUUUCAGCAAGAACAUCCGCCUGUAAAGUUACUGAGAGAAAAAUAAAGUUGACGACACGCACAUUGUCCAUGAACUCCUUUGAGCACGAGGAGGACGUGUGCCCGAUGACAAAGCACCCUUGGAACCGGGUGUUUCCUUAGUUGGAGUAGUGCAAGCGUGCUUAGGAAGCAUGGCCUGCACACACACAACAUUAUAACACCACACAAGUAAGUAAAACCAACAAAACAACCAAGAAAAACCUUAGGAAACCCAUUGAGGCAUUUCACCAAACACUUGGUGAGCAAUACAGGACAUAUAGGCAAAAACACUACAUGAGCUUACCAAAAUGAUACUAAACAUGUCCAUGAAACUCCACAACCAUUAAUAAUCACAAGAAGUUCCAAAAAGCAUCUAGACAACAAGUAUAUAUCCAAUGGUAUGAACCCAAUAUGAUCAUGGUAAACAAGCUCAUAAUCCAAAGCAUAACCGACAAAUAAUAAUGAAGUAUCAAGAGAAGAACAGAGAGUAAUAAGAGCUUCCUAAACAGUUAGAAGGGGAUAAAAAACUUCUCUUGUUCGUGCUUAGAGAAUAUAUGCACGAUUUGAAUUUAGUUGGCAAGAAUUUCAAACAGAUGGGCUGGAGAAGAAAACAAUUUGGGCCGUUACUGUUCAGAGGACGUACGUGCGUCUUUAGUACGUUCGUACGUCGGAAUACAAGAAAAAAACCUUGCUGCCUGAACAUGCGUACGAACGUUAUAACACCGUUCGUACGUUCCUCCAAAAAAAAACAUCUGCCUCCACAAACAUUCGAAUGUGCUAAUAACGUUCGUACUUUUUUUUUUUUUUUUUUUUAACAGAAAAGCAAACCAAAUGACAAACAACACAAACCAUAAUAAGAAGAGAAAAGGAAAAAAAAAACCGAUGUACCAUAGAAGUGAAGAGGAAUACAUCAUGAACUUCCAAAAACAGUAGCCAAUCCCAAUCCGUACAAAAAUGAGAGGCAAUAUAUGGGGAUAAACAAAAGAUUGAACAAAUAAGAGAAUUGAAGUGCAUCAUAAACUAAACCUCGGUGUGUAGAUGCAAUGCAAUGCAUAAAGAGAGAUAAAGUUCACCACUAGAACACACCCUUUGAAGACCUAGAAUAUAGAACCAUCAACAAGAGACAUACGAUUAGCAAGUGAGCUUAGAAGAAACAAACUUCAAUCCCCUUUGAAACAAACAAUAUGAGUGGAAGACAAACGAAUAUAAAUAUGAACUUUCAAACAAAAACCAAGAUAUCCAAAAGGCAAAGGAAUAUAAACUUUGUAUGCCUUACAUAAAAAAAAACAAUGAAUAUGCGCUUGGAUUUUUAUUUUGCCGCAUGUGGUGGAGUUUAGUCUUCAUCACUAAUGUCAUUCCCGCGUGGGAGGGAUUUUUGCCUCCAUCUUUUCAAAUACACGAGGGUAGGGUGUAGCCUACAUCUUUUUGACAAACACAAACUCAAGAAGUGCAAUACCAUGAUAACGUGCAACACAAGAACUAACAUCUCUUGAGUGCAUCCGUCAGAGCAUGACCCUCACAACCCCAACGGGUUCUUAGCCAACUGAUAUUGCUUCAAAGACAAUCAAAUGGCUGGGGAUAAGGUGAGUCAUUGACCACUAAUAAGAGUUGUAAUAGGAAGAUAAGAAUGUUCAAUAACACGAACAACAAGAUGAACAUUAACCAAAACAAAGGAGAGAUAGCUCAAGAUAACAUAAAUACUUGAGAGAUAGAGAAGUUCUAUGAGCUCAAAGAAUAUGUAAGUGGUUUCCAAAAACUCCCAUCAUGCAAGCAUGCCGUGCACUGUGCAAACAAGCGAGGAAAAAUGCAUGAUACAUACCAAAACAUACUUAAGAGUUCAGAAAGAGAAAACAACCAAACAUAUUGCAACUUAUUUAAGACAAUUGAAUUAAACCAAUAUCUCAGAAAAGAUGCAACCAACAACACAUACAUGGAAUAAAUAAAGAAAAAUAGAAGGAAUAACCAACAAUGUAUUCAGACAUGCAACAUGAUCUGCAAGCUAAACAAACAAAGCAUAAAAAGUAGAAACACCAAACAAAUAGCCUAUGUGGUUAGAGAAAUAUGCAAUUCAAAUAACACAAGGCUAGAAACAACCUACAUCAUCCCAAAUAUGGGACACCACCAGACCUUUGCAAGUCCAGAAAAACCUUCAACUUAUCCUUUCUUAUCCAUACUUGUUUAACACUAGGCGUGCACACCUUGGAAGUUGAAAAGAUAUGAGAUUUCUCCUUAACCAGCUUUGCAAUACACUUAUCCUUAACUAAUUCCACCUUAGGCUUAGACUUCCUUUUGUUGGAAUACCUGUUUUUCUUAAACCUGUGAUGAGAACCAUUAUAAUUCCAAGGUCUAGAAAAGGCACAAGAAGAAACAUUAGAAUCAACAUGAUUAUAAUGAUUAGGAACACGAGAAUAGGAUGCAUCAUGUUGAUUAAAAUCCCAACAAAAAAUAUUCAAAUGACCAACCCUACCACAAUAAGAACAAUGAAAAACAUUAGACUUACUCAAAGAAUUCUUAUAAGAAGAUGUGGUAGUGGUGGAUAAACCAUGUAUGUCACUAUUUGGUUUAUGACAUUGUCGUUUAACAAAACCCAUACCUCCCCUAUUAGAACAAGAUGGCUUACUAGCAAAAGCAACCUUAUCAUUAGCCUUAGACUUAAACUUUGUGCAAGAAACAUGCUGAAAACUAUUAGUAUUAAGUCUAGUCUCAAUAGGCGGGGUAGGCAAAAGAGCAGGCAAACUAGAUUUUACAGAAGUAGUCACACUAGAUGAACGAGUAGAACUAGCAAUAGGAGAGUCAAAUCUAGUUUUGUCCAAAACCUGCAAUUGGAGUUGAGUAGACGUUAAACCAUUCUUUGUUACCUCAUACUCCACCAAUAGAGAUUUGUAUUUCUCAUCGACCUCCUGAUUGGCCUUCUCUAAAGCUGCAAUUCUACAUAACAAGUCAAGUUUUUCUUUGUCAAAUAAUUGAGAAAUAGAGAUUUCAUCAUCUGCAACACAAGAAAUUUGUUUUUCAAGAAUCUCAAUUUUAUCCUGCAAAGAAAGAUUAGCCUUUUCCAAAUUUUCAAUUUUGGAUUCAUAAACUUCCCCUUGAAGCAUAUAGUCUUCUGCACAAUGUCUGAGUCGUUGUUCUAGAGAAUCAACCUUAUUCUGCAAAACACCAUUAUCUUCAAAACAAAAAUUAUCAGAAGUAGUAGACAAAUUACAAUUAGCUUUAUUAAACUUUUCCUGCAAAUCAACAUUAGCUUUUUGUAAUCUUUCACAUUCUUUUGCAGAAAGUCUGUAAAGAAGAGCCCAAUUAUUAUUGUCAACCAGAAUCAAAUCCCUGUCACAGUCACUAGAGCAUUCUUUACUAGCAGUUGAUUGUUCAUCAGACAAUCGAGCAACAACCGAGACAUAUGUCUUACCAGAGUAACUCAUAGCACUAUUGAUCGUUAGCGUGAGCCUUUACGCUCCUUAACCAGCCCCCAGCGACUGAUACCAAUUGUAAAACUACAAAUAGUGCUAAUCUAACAAUUGAAUAUUCAACCAAAUCAAACAAUACGCAGAAAGUAAAUAACACACAGGAAUUUUUAACGUGGUAAAACCCAAUAUGGGAAACGUCCACGGUUGUCCUCGCGACAACAAAUAAAUCCACUAGAUGAGAAAGAGAUUUACAAACCUAUCAACUACCUGCAAUCACUCCGAGUUGACACUCCUGGUUAUCUCUAACACCUUGACUUUACCAGAGCACCUUGAUGUACGCACAAGACACUCGACUUCUUGAUGAACACACAAGAAGACUCGAAGCCGAUCUAUGUAACAAGCUUAAACCAGAGUUCCUUGAUGAACACACAAGGAUACUCGACUUCUUGAUGAACACACAAGAAGACUCGAAGCUAAAUCACUAUUCAAUAAUGUAGAAGAAAAUGAAUAGGGAAGAAGGAAGAAGAAGAUGAAUGAGAAGAAGAAGAUGAGUUCAAUCACCAAAACAACCUAAACCAAAACCUAAACAAACUCCAAGAACAAGAGAAAUCUUGGACGGCCAAAGGACUAACUUGUUCUUUGGAAGAGAAACCCUAUUUAUACUUAGGGUUGAAAACCAAGGAAAAUGGGCCGAAAUAGUGAAAACCCACAUUGGACGUACGUAUGUCGAUAUGACGUUCGUACGUCUCAAACCGAAAUACACCUGCUGACUACUUGGACGUACGAACGUCCUAAGAAGGUACGUACGUCCAGACCAAACAAACUUCCUGCUGACAUACCAUACGUACGUACGUCCUGAAGAGGUACGUACGUCCUGAACCAAACACCAUACUUGAGACACACGACGCGAAGACAAGGACACGGGACGACGCGCGUACAACAAAGUUUUCUUAACAAUGAACUCAAGGCGAAAUAACCAAGGACGACCAAUGUCACAAAAUUGAUGUCAAACCACUUCGUGCCGGUUUCAAGGUGGGCUGCCAAUAUUGCUCUCUGUAUGAUUUCCUCUCAUAUACAGAUUUUUACACUUAGAAAAAUGGCCUAUUACAGGAUCAGGUAGCCAAGAUUGAAGACUAAACCUCAUGGAACAUGCAUGAGAGGAGACCAACUUUGCAAUGGGAGCAAGAACAAUGGGACCAGCUGUUGACUUUGCUCAGACAACAGAGAUUAAGCAAUGAUCCUGACAACUGGAUAUGGUGCCCUACAAGUAAGGAGUCUUUCACAGUCAAAAGUUUUGAUGAUAAACUUGAAGAAGAAAGGAGAGCCCUCAAUGCUGCUACACUGCCUGGUUUCCCUUACAACUUGGUAGGGUCUACUGAUAUCCCUUGUAAGAUCAAAUUUUUUUUUUCUGGUGCUUUGUACAAGGUAGAAUCCAAACCACGGAUCACCUUGUCAGAAGAGGAAUGGACCUGCCUGACGUAUGCAUUGUCUCUAAGCAGUACCCUGAAACUGCUACACACUUCACUGGUUGUAAGGGUACUGGAGAAAUGGCCAAGGCAUAGGAGAAAAGGGAUCGGAGCAAACUUACUAAGUCUCUUACCUUAUGCAAUUAUGUGGAAUGUAUGGCUCACAAGGAAUGAUUACAUCUUCAAAGUGAAGCCGCCUAAUCUCGACAAACUCUGAAGCAGAAUUAAGCUUCUCUGUAGUUCUGGAUUGGAGGUAGAGCUCUGAACAAAUAUUAUACCUAUGCAUGCAGAUCUGACCAACAACUGGGAGUUAAUGCUGCUGCUGUAAUUGUCGAUUGUAAUUUGCUUUGGUUAUGUACACACUCAAGAGUUGUGAACUAUAAUACUAUAUGCAGUGAAUCUCUCUCUCAGUCAUCUUGUUACCAUCAAUUAAAAGCGCCAAUUUAUCUAAAAAAGAAACCCUCAGACAUAGCAAUUUCAAUUCACUACAUGACUUUCUGACUCACUGUCACUAUCAAUCUUGUUCGCGACCUUUUUGUUAAGUUGGUCGCGUAGGUCGCCUGUUGGACCUAAACGCUGGGAGAGGCUACGCCCUCUGCUGCGGACUGGACUUGUGGAGGCCGUUCUGGCCUUGCUGUGAUGUCGCCUUGGUGAAUGCGGAGGCGUUCUAGAAUUUUUCUUGGCUCGUUUGCCAUUGGUAUCCUCCUGCCUUCCAAGGAUCCAAUUGUUGAGCCUUUUUUCGUGGGCCCAAGUCUAAAGAGCGCGUUUCAAAACGCGACAGUCAUCAGUUUGAUGACACCGUAUCUUGUGAACUUUGCAGUACGGUCGACCAGAUGUGUCCUCCAACUGUGUGAAGGCAGGAAUCUUGCACCAAUGGUUGUGCUUUAUUCGCUCAUAGAUAUAACCGGCUGGUCGUGUGAACCGGUGGUAAUCUCGUUGCUCAGUAGGCAACGACUUUGCUUUGAACCUCUUGUUGUCAGAUCGAGGUCGCUUAGUGGAACCAGAUUCCACGUUGGAGAUGACAUGAUUCUUUUCCCUACCAGUUAGGGCUUCUUCGAGCUUGAUCUAAAGAUCUACCUUAAGGUAUAGCUCGUCCAGAGAUGAAGGCCGCUUCAUAGCUAGAGAUUUGUGCAGGUCGGAUCCCUGGAUCAGACCAUGAGAGAAUGCGAUUGUUGCGAAGGUUUCAUGUUCCUUCGCAAAAUCUUGGAUGGAAUGUAGUUCAGAUUUGAAUCGAGCAAAGAAAUUGCUAAAUGAUUCGCCAUCCCGCUGCUUGACUUUGAAGAUGGAAUCAAUGGUGACAGGACGCUUCUUGUUAUGGAUAUAGAAGAUAACGAACUGUCUUUCGAGAUCUGCAAACGAGCUGAUGGAUCCUGGCUUCAAACGGUGAAACCAAUCGAGAGCAGGUCCGGUGACGCUGGACUGGAACAGUAAACAUAAUAAGUGAUCCUCUUUGAUAAGAGGAAGGGAUUUACGAAAUCCUUUGAUAUGGUCGGUUGGAUCUCCAACUCCUGGAUAUUGGUCGAAUUUGGGGGCGUUGAGUUUGUUAGGCAAUUCAUGGUCGAGGAUCUCUUUGGAGAAGGGAGACUCCUGAAAUUGCUGAAGGGACUCGACAACAAGUUGUUCUGCGGUAUGGCCUUUGCGAAGUUGAAUGAUGGCCUGAGAGGCUUUGAACUCUGCUAGUUGUUGGCUGAGUUCUUCAUAUUUUCGAUUGGAGUCAUCAACAGCAACGACUCCAUGUCCACCAUUUGCUACUGGUGUUGGGGUGGUAGUUUGUGCAGCCUUUAACUGUGCUUUUUCUGCCUGAAGACGAUUGAUUUGGUCUUGCAGAUCUUGGAUGGUUAAUUCCUGGGUAGCCAUUUGAAUGAAUGACUUUGAGUUGGGUGGGAGGGUUUGGGUUUUUCGGUAUAAUCGAAUUCCUUACAGUCGGAGCCAAAUGUAUUGACCUAUUUCUAGAUCAAUGCAUUCACUAGGUCAGGUCGUUAGCAGACUUGACCAAUGGGGGGGAGCUUUAGAUCGAAGUGGCGCACCUCGUUGAGAUUGAGAUUGCCUACGUACUCUAGUUCGUGGGGAUUUAACCUAGAGAUCAAGCCAUCGUAGUUCUAUUUAUAUAGAAGGUGAAGAGGCGAAGAUCAUGGGAUCCUGCAGAUUCUUCGACAUAUUUAUGAUGAUAUGAUUUUCUCCAACGAUUGUGUAACGGUUGUAGUAAUUGGACAACGGCUGGAGAGAGUAUCUUGGGAGCCGAAUUAGGGCACGUGUGUAUUAGCAGACCGCUGCUGAUUAUGUAGUCGAGUCGUUGUGGUCGAGCUACUAGUAAGUUGAGAUCGUAGCGACCUGACGGAUUAACGACUAUGCCACGUGGCUGCUUUUUAUUGGUUGGAGUAUAUAGUCCCCCUACACUGGUGUUGGUUUCCUUCACUCCAUAUCUAUUUAUGGUAGGACAUUCCAUAUCUCAGCCAAGGCCAAAGGUUUUAGUACAACCAACAACAAUAAUUAGCCUCACAAUAUAGCUACAAUACAUUUGUGAAAAAUCAAUUUUUAUUAGCCUUUUGAGUUUUGAUUGUUUCUCACCAUGUUAAUGUAAUUAUCGAUUGAAUUUUGUAGCAUGUAUUAUACAUUCACAAACCCACUACAUUGCUUGGAUGUUUUCUUCACAUUGAUAUUCAGUUAACAAGAUUCUCAAUAGACACAAUAAUCAUCGCGUAGCGGUGGCGUCCUACUGCUGAUCAAGUGUUUUAUAUAAGUAUUUACCAUUUUAUUUAGAUCAAUGGACAAAUCUACUCAAUUGUUUGAGGUAAGUAAUAUGCAAACCCUUCUUCAUUAUACUUCUUUACUAAACGGUUUUGCUUAUUUUUUUCUACUACGGUUUUCUCCUGCAACUGAAUAUCUUGCUCUAAAACCAAUUUGUUAUACACAAAGUAAAUAUUUGGGUGGAAAAACGUAACACACCGAAAAAGAGGCUGUAGAGGAAUCUCCCUUAUAAAAUUGCUUGAAAACCAAAAUCCCCACUAAUGUGAAAUUCGUCACUUGAUAUGUUUCGCGCAAUUGAAAAAAUAAGAAAAGGGGGAUGGUUGUUUGGCUAUUUUUUAUAGAUGCACUCUAUGUGAGAGAUGCACGCAAAAUUUGAUACACUUUUCUAUAGGUGUUGUUCUCACCAAUAAAGGUGGCAGACAUUUUGUGAUUGUAUUUUGAAAGUAUUUUAGUAGUUGUACUUGAUUUAGUUUUUUUGUCAGUAAAAUCUUUUAUCAGAUUUUAUCCAUGAAGUACACAUAAUUUCUAUUCUAAACACGUUCAUAUCCAUUUUGUUUAGAUCGGCAAGCCUGUUUAUUAACGAGAUCAGUAACUCAAAGAUGCACUUCCUGGGAUCGAACCUCAUACCUCUGGUAUCAUCGUCCAGAGGUAUUACCAACUGGGCUCAGCUGGCAUCUGCUUUGUUUGUUGUUUGUUAGUAGUUGCAUUAGUAUAUGACUUUAUCCGCAAUUUAUAAACAACUUAAUAUUAUAUAGAUAUAGCUCGUCCAGAGAUGAAGGCCGAACAUAUAUCGAAGUGUAAGAACAAGAUAAAGAUAAAAAAAUUACCAAUAUACAAGUGUUUCAACACAAAUAUAACAAUAUGGAGAGAGAAAUACUAAUUACAGCUAUGUAAUCUGAAACUUCAGGUUAUGAAUCGUUGGGUUCAUAUGUGUUGCUUAUAAAUAAAACUUCCGGUUCCAAAUUUUUGGAUAGAACUUCAUGUCCAUAACUUUUGGAUAGAAAAAUUUCAGGUUCAAGACAAUAUGUCUAGAAUUUUAAAUUCAAUUAUAACUACAGAUUAUGAAUCAAAAUAUAGAACUUCGUGUUCAACAUCAAAUGGAAGAAUUGCGGGUUCAUAAUCAAAUGGGUAUUUAAAGUUCCAAAUAUUAUUGAAAUUCACUAAUUACAUGAAACACAAAACAAAAUUUUUAUUCCUAAAAGUAAAACUUCAAGUUUCAAAUACAUGGAACUUCGGGUUCUCAAAAGAAAAAAAUUUAGAUCUUCAGGCCUAGAAUGGUAUCGCAAAUUUUCUGGUAUGGAUAUAUAUUUAUUUUUUUUAGAGUUGAUAGUGGAGCAAGGUUUAUAAGAGAGAAAAGAAAAACCCGUUUUAUCUAAUGAACGGAAUCAUUGGGCCAAUAAUCAGAGUUAUUGGUCUUUGUUAAAGACGUACAAGUUUUGAAAAAUUGUGAAACUUUAGGUUCAAAUUUGAGAUUUAGAAAUUCGGCAUCUAAAUUAAAGUCUACAUCUAGAUUUAGAAGCCGAAUUUCUAAAUCUCAAAUUCGAACCUAGAGUUUCACAAUUUUUCAAAACUUGUACUUCUUUAACAAAUACCAAUAACUCUGAUUAUUGGCCCAAUGAUUCCGUUCAUUACAUAAAAACGGGUUUUUUUUUUCUCUCUUAUAAACCUUACUCCACUAUCAACUCCAAAUAUAUAUAUAUAUAAUAUAUAUAUAUAUAUAUCCAUACCAGAAAAUUUGCGAUACCAUUCUAGACCUGAAGAUCUAAAUUUAUUUGUCUUUUGAGAACCCGAAGUUCCAUGUAUUUGAAACUUGAAGUUUUACUUUUAGGAAUAAAAAAUUUGUUUUGUGUUUCAUGUAAUUAGUGAAUUUCAAUAAAAUUUGGAACUUAAAAUACCCAUCUGGUUAUGAACCCGCAAUUCUUCCAUUUGAUGUUGAACACAAAGUUCUAUAUUUUGAUUCAUAAUCUGUAGUUAUAAUUGGAUUUAAAAUUCUAGACAUAUUGUCUUGAACCUGAAGUUUUUCUAUCCAAAAGUUAUAGACAUAAAGUUCUAUCCAAAAAUAAAAAUAAAAAUUGGAACCGGACGAUUUAUUUAUAAACAACACAUAUGAACCCAACGAUUCAUAACUUGAAGUUUCAGAUUACUUGGCUGCAAUUAGUAUUUCUCUCUCCAUAUUGUUAUAUUUGUGUUGAAACACUUGUGUAUUGGUAACUUUUUAGCUUUAUCUUGUUCUUGCACUUCGAUAUAUGUUCGAAUGAAGAAUAUUAAAUAAUAUGUGGAUAAAAAAAAAAAAGAAAUUACAAGUCUAGGUUCUUGGUAGAGCCAUAAAUUUCUUACUUGAGCUAGAAGUCUCAUAUCUUUGAUCAUAAUUUUAAGUUUGAAUGUUUUGGUUAGGAACCCACAGUUCUAACUUUAAUUUGGUUUCGACUUGUAUAUUUUACUUGAAGUUUGUCCUAUAUAUAUAUAUAUAUAUAUAUAUUUUAUAACAACCACUUGAAAUUUGUCAUUCAAUGAAGUGUGUAUAUAGAGAACGUCGGUUCACCAAAUAUUCUGCCUUAAUUUCUUGUCUUCUUGUUGGCGAAGAAAAUAAUGACCUUCUUUUGCAAAAUCAUGAAUCUCGUCCAACUGGUAGUACUAUACCCAUCCCUGAAGUAAAUGCGUCCUCCUUUAAUGGUCGUGGACGAGGCCUUGGUCGUGGUCAUGGUAGUGGUCAUGGUCGUGGUCAAAAUUCUUAUAAUGAUCAUGAUAGUCACAAUAAUUAUACUUGGCAUAGAAUUGCACAAUACCAUCACAAAGAAGAAAAAAAGCUAAGCCAAACUAAGACAAAAGGAAAGGUGUGCCGAAUACACCUCCACCCAACUAUGAAUGAUACAUAUGAAUUGAAAAAAAAAAAAAUUUUGAACAAGUACGAAUGUAUGGCGAUACCAUCAGAUUAUAGGUCACAUGCAUUACUAUUUCUCGUUCGUAUAGUUAUUUAGUAUAUAAUCAGAUUAUAUGUUGCAAUAUGAUAGUAAUUAUUGCAUUUGUUUUAAUGGUACGUAUUAGGAUGAAUUCCAAAUUAAUUUUUGUUUGUAUUUUAUUAAGACAAUAAUAUAUGUGAUACGAGGACCUAAGGUGAUUAUUAGCAUCAAUAUAUUUUUAUGACCUUAUACGUUAGUUCAAAUGAUUUAAAUGAACAAUAAGUUCCAAAAUUUAAAUAAUUCGGAUUUAAUGUACCAAUAUUUUUAUAACUUGAAGUUCAAAAUAUUAAAAUACAAACACGAAGAUAUGAUAUUUUGUUUAUAAGGACGCCGGAAAAUUAUAGACUUAUAAAAUUCAAAAUUUCAAUUCCCCAAAAGUGGAGAAUAAAAGAAAAUCUUGCACAUUCCUGAAGAAUGGUUAGUCAUUUCACUCAAGAAGAGGUCAUGCGGACACCCUUUCUCUCUACAACUCCAGAAGACAUUGUUGUAAUUACACAAGUCCAUGGUGAGACUGUGAAUGCCCAUGGUGAGGCAAAGGUAUACCUAAUAAAAUUGAGAUCUCAAAACUAUGAGAGAUAUGGGAGAUAAAGAAAUUAGUCAUCGAUGACAUAUUUGGUUAUGUAAUAGCUACUCAAAUAGCAAGGGCAAUGGGAUAGAAAGAAUACACAAGUACGGUGUAUAAAUGAAAAUGUUGACAAAUAAAUGAUAUUUGGCCAACAAAAGGGAAAAUACUACAAGAAGCAUAAUUAAGUCUCUCAAUAGACGUGGUGUAUUUGGAACUAUAGUACAAACCCCAAUAAUGGGGUAAAACCUGAAGAUUACAAAUGAGAAUUCGUAAGGAAACGAAAUGAGAGCAAUGAAAUUUUCCAAUGGAUUAAUAAUGGCGAGAGUUUUUGUGGGACUUCUGAAGAGUUAAACUGUUAAAUAUUUUAAAAAGGGGAUCUAAAAUAAGAUACAUUUGGAAAAUAAGACUUUACCCCAACUAGUAAAUCGAGAAGAAUCAAAUAGUAUAUUGGUUUACCAAUCUUCAUUAUAAUGAAAGGUUUAAGCGCUUUAAAAAUGAAUCAAAAAAUUUCAUGGCUUAUGCAAAUUCAGUUUAUUUCCAUUGGUUUUGUAAGAUUUGAUAUUAAACAUAUUAUAGUACUUCUUAGUGGUAUUAUGGAUAUCUUUAUGGCAUUCUAUUAAUUUUUAGUAGCUAUUGUUUUAUAACCACUUUAUAAGUUUUGUUUUACGUAGCUAGUCAUAAAUUAGUAUGACUAAGAUAUUUGUAGUCCUUGGCAAUUUUCUUCUAUCACAGAUGUUCCAAGCAUUCUCAAUGAAGACAAUGCAGCUUGCAUAGUUUUGAUUCUAGAAGGUUCUAUCAAAGAGGACCGAACCUACAGUACUUCUUUACUCACAAGGUCCAGAAGAAUAAAGAGAUUGAAAUGAAGAAAAUGCAUAAUGCAACAACCAAGAUAAUUAAUACAGAUGAAGUUUAUGAAGCUAAACAUUCUCAUUACAUUGCCAAAAUAAGUUAUUCAGAAUUUUGUCCAAGGCUAAUAAACAAGAAGUUCAGCAUCGACCACAUGAAGGUCUGGUUGUUAUUAUCAGGGGAAUAAUGUUAACUAAUUAUGAAGUAUGCUAUUCAAGGGGAGAAUCUUGAAGUAUGCAACCCAGGAUUAUCCGUUGUACUCUUUUUUCUUUUCUAGGUUUUGUCCCGUUGGGUUUUCUUAGUUAAGAUUUUAAUGAGGCAACAUUGUAAUGCACAUCAUAUUCCAAUUCAAUAAUCCUGAAGAAUGUUGUACUCUUUUUCCUUUGCUUUGAUUCUUCUCAUUGGGUUUUUCUUAGCAAGGUUUAAUGAGGCAACUGUCAUUGAAUGUAUGUCACCCAAGGGGGAGUGAUAAUAUAAGGCCUAUGUGUGUGUGGGUGCCAACAUUCAUCCUCCACGAACUUGAGUGAAAUCAAGUGAUUACCGUAAAACAAAUACGUUCAUGUGACAAUCUUGGUGACUUGUUCACCAAAUCUUUACUUCCAGCCACAUUCAAGAAAUUGGAAUACAAUAUGCGAAUGCGGGGACUCAAUUUAGUCCAGUCGACAUCAGGAGGAAUAUCUUUAUCAUGUGAAGACCAAAUAAUUGUGGAAGUUGUACUCUUUUUCCUUGGCAAGAUUUUUUUCCACUUGGGUUUUCCUACAAGGUUUUGGUGAGGCAACAAAAUUCGAAGACUAUGAGAAUUAUGUACUAUUUUUUCUUAGUUAGGUUUUUGUCCCAUCUGGUUUUUCGAGGAAAAUUUUAACGUAAACAAUUCUCUUAAUACUUGUGGUCAUCAAGGGGGAGUGUUAUGAUAUAUUGGAUGACAACAUAAUCAAAACAUGUAAUUAAGUGUAAAGGCUUUUGGAUUGAGAAACUACAAAUAGUGCUAGUAUAACAAAUGUGAAUUCAAACAAGCAAACAAACAAUACGCGGAAAGUAAAUAACACACAGAAAUUUUUAACGUGGUAAAACCCAAACUGGGAAACGUCCACGGUUGUCCUCGCGACAACAAAAUAAUCCACUAGAUGAAAAGAGAUGUACAAACCUAUCAACUACCUGCACUCACUGCGAGUUGAUACUCCUGGUUAUCUCUAACACCUUGACUUCACCAGAGCACCUUGAUGUACGCACAAGACACUCGACUUCUUGAUGAACACACAAGAAGACUCGAAGCCGAAUUCACAAUAACUUUUGAAGAUCACAAAGAUAUGAAUUGGGAAAAGGGGGAAGAAAGGGAAUUGAGUUCAAUAGCCACAAACAAGUUCAAUAUCAAAAACCUAACCAAAACACAUGAACAAGAAGAAGGAUGGACGGCCAAAGAACUAUCUUGUUCUAUGGAAGAGAAACCCUAUUUAUACUUAGGGUUGAAAACCUAGAAAAAUGGGCCGAAACUGUGCAAACCGACUUUGGACGUUCGUACGUCGAUAUGACGUUCGAACGUCGCCACACAAAAAUAAGCCUGCUGCCUAACAUGACGUACGAACGCUCUAAACCGGUACGUACGUCUCCAUACGAAAACACGUCUGCUGACUACUCGGACGUACGAACGUCCUAACUGAGUACGUACGUCCUGACCAAAAGAUGUUUGCUGCUUCAGUGAACGUACGUACGUCCUAACUUGGUACGUACGUUCAGAACCCAAUAACUUAUCCUGGACAGACCUAAGAGACACAAGGACACGAGACGACCAUGCGUACAUCUUGAUUUUCCUAACAAUGAAUUCAAGGCGAGAUAACCAAAGACACUUUGUCACAAAAUUGAUGUCAAACCACUUUGUGCCGGUUUCAAUCUCCCCCUUUGACAUUGAUUUUGUGACAAAAACCUAUGACUCUAAUAGCACUUAUAAAACGUGCUUACAAUCCCAAACCAUGGCAUUUAUAAAACAUGCCUACAAAAACACUCAAAAUAGAAACACAUAACAAGUCACCAAUUCUUGUUAUCCAGCUUUAGGAAGAUGCUUUAACCAUCAGAGAUCGAACGGAAGCAAUCAAGGAUUCAACAGAAGUUCCUUCGAGCAACUCCCCCAUACUUCAUGAGCUCCAAACUUCAUGAGCAACUCCCCCAUACGUGUAGCAUACCUGAAACAUGACCCAAAAAUAACCUAACAACAAGAAGACGAUUGUUAGUAAUUAGAGUCAUAAAUCUCCCCCUUUUUGUCACAACAAGUGAACAACUAUAAACAAAUAACCAAGAUGUGAUUCUGAAGAUGUCCCGGUAGCCUUUCCCAAUGAUUGACAUGAACCAUGCAUGAAGGAAGUAAAGGUCGAUGAUCAUAGUCAAAUCCAUGGGGAACGCGACAUAAACGACAAACCUUGGCAUUGUUCUUGUACUCCAUCAUCAUGAACAACACAGACCCAACACCCGGAACAAAGACUCCAUUAAGUGCAAAUUCUGCCAUAGAAAAUUCUGAAGAACAAAGAUAGAACUAGCAAGAGAUAAGAAGAUACAAUAGGAGUAAAAGAGGAGAAGACUCCCCUAUAUAUAGGAGAAAAACUAUCAUGGGCCCAAUAAGAGGUCCAUUACCAAAAAAAUACUGCAAAACAAAGAAACCAAGUCGAACUAACAUGAAAAUAGCAAUAGCCAAGAACAUGCUCAAUACCAAAGAAAUAGAAACAAGCUGCUUGAGAGAAGCAAUAAACAACCAUCAAAGAAGAAGAAGAAGAGAAAGACCAAAGAAAAGACCUUGAGAGAAGGUGAAGACUUCCUAUGUACGUGCUAGAGAGAAGAAAGAAGCACGAUUGAUGUAACAGUAAGCCUUUGGUUCAAAAAAAAAAUUAUUUAUUUAUUUAUUUAUUUAUUUUUUUAUUUUUAUAAAGAAGGAAAAGACCAACCUAACAGCUAGAUAAUAAACCACAUAACUCCAAAAACCAACAAAUUGAGAGACAUCACAAGAAAACACUUCUACGUAUCAUACGAAUUCCAAUUACAACCGAAUAUAGUUUAAACAAUCCUCAACCACAAAAGAAUGCAAAAUCGAAGAACGACAUCAUACACAAAGGCAUGGUACUUACUUAGACGAUGCAAGCAUGCAGAUGAAACAGAUAGGCCAAAACCAACCUCCAGAAACAAACUAAAAACAUGAUCAUUGAGAAUAUAGAAAACCACUUGCAACUAGCCCAAAAUGAAACUGAAUCAGAUCACAAAACAACAAGGAAAACACACACUAUUGUUUUUCUUCUUGUUUUUCAACUAGACAAAUGAGGAGGCUACUAUUCAUUCAUUUUUUUUUUUUUUUUUUUUUUUUUUGUUUAUUUGGUAGACCAUUGAAACAGAUGCCAUUCCCGUGUGGGAGUAUGAAAUAUCUCCAUCUUUUACCAGAACACGAGGGUAGGGUGUAGCCUACAUCUUUUUGGCAAAACACACUCAAGAAGUGCAAUACCAUGAUAACGUGCAACACAAGAACUAACAUCUCUUGAGUGCAACCGUCAGAGCAUGACCCUCACAGCCCCAACGGGUUCUUAGCCAAAUGAGUAUGCUCUCAAGACAUUCAAAUGGCUGGGGAUUUCGUGAGUCAUUGACCACUUACAAGAGGCAAAACCAUAUAAAGGAAGACGAUGAUCAUGAAUGGAAACCAGAUACGAGUGGAGAUAUAUAGGUAUGGAAAACAACAGUCCAACUACAUGUAGAUGCACCAUGCAAGAAACUACCAAGACGAAGAGAGUAUGAUGUAACCCUACAACUAUGCAAGACACAAAAACAGUUGAUGAAUGUCAAACUAGAAACAUCUGUAAAAUGGAAUCCACACAAUAGAGAAGGUAGUAUGUCCUCAAAAACAACCACAAUAACAAUAAAUACCAAAAAAAACACCGAAUCUAAACAUCCUAACUACAAUGACAAUACCAGAGAGAAAAAGGAAGUAACAAAACAAUUAGGGAAGAGUGACAACCCCAAUGGACUUACGCAAGGAAUGGAAUCGGCCUGCAUCAAGAGGUUUUGUAAGAAUAUCUGCUAGCUGAUGUUCAGUAGGAAUGAACUCCAUUACUAUAUCACCCUUUUCGACCGCCUCACGAAGAAAAUGGUGACGAAUGUCAAUAUGCUUUGUGCGUGAGUGUUGAACAGGAUUCUUGGAAAUGCUAAUGGUACUGGUGUUAUCACAGAACAGGUCCAUCGCCUGCUGUUGAAUGCCAUAAUCCCGAAGCAUCUGACGCAUCCACAGAAGUUGAGUACAUGCACUAGCUGCAGCUAUAUACUCAGCCUCACAUGAAGAGAUGGAAACAGAUGAUUGUUUCUUGCUAUGCCAGGAAACAAGAUUAUUCCCAACAUAGAAACAGCCACCACUGGUACUAUGACGAUCAUCAAGAUUACCACCCCAAUCAGCAUCACAAUAACCUGCCACAACACUAUUCGUAUCUCUGGUGAACCAUAACCCGUAGUCAAGAGUGCUAGCAACAUACCGAAUAAUACGCUUAACCGCAAUGAGAUGAGAUUCUUUAGGGUUAGCCUGAAAUCUUGCACAAUCUGUCCGAACUCAUCCAACUUGUUCUUAAAGAUCCACUUGGUGCCAACCACAUUAGUGUGAGUAGGUCUAGGAACCAACGUCCAGACAUCACUACGCGUAAACUGACCGAGUUCUUCCUGCUUAGCAACUAGCCAAUCAUCAUCAAUAAGAGCAUCAGUAACAUUUUUAGGUUCAAGAGAAGAGAGAUAACAAACAUAAUGAACACAAUUUGUUUCCUUGGCCCUCCUACGAGUCAGACGCUGAUCAUUAAUAUCCCCAAUGAUAUCUCCUAAGGAGUGAUAUUGUUUGACACGAGGUGAAGCUAGAUUAAACACCCUUUCAGGGUCAGCAGGAACAGUGGAGAGAUCCGAAGACACAUCAAUCACAUCUGGUGAUUGAACUACAUCAUCCGGUGUGAGCACAGCACCGGUCCUACUAGGCACGUCCUCUGCAGCAUCAGAAGGUUUAGUACCACCAUUGCCAUUAUCAGGUGAUGAUAACGAUAUGGAAGACAUGUCAGCCGGGUCUGACACGGGUGAGAGAACUGUGACAUCCUGUGUACCAGUGGAAACAGAAGAGUCAGAUGUAAUAGUGUCAUCAACAACAACAUUAAAGGAUUCCAUGACCUUGCGAGUGGUGUAGUUAAACACUCGAAAGGCUCUACUGUUAGAGGAAUAACCAAGUAAAAGAGCUACUUCACCUCGACUAUCAAACUUGGACUGACUUUGUCUGUCCUUGCACACAUAGCACAAGCUACCAAAAACUCGCAUAUAUUUGAGAUUCGGCUUCUUACCAUACCAUAGCUCAUAAGCAGUUUGUGUGGUACCAGAUCUUAGGUAUACACGGUUCAUUAUGUAACAAGCAGUAUGAACCGCUUCCGCCCAAAACUUGGUUGGAACAUCCUUUGCAUGCAACAUAGCACGAGCCAUCUCCUGAAUAACACGAUUUUUCCUUUCAGCGACUCCGUUUUGUUGCGGAGUGUAUGGAGCCAAAAAUUCUUGCCAUGUACCAUUUGCAAUACAAUACUCAAUCACACCUGUGGCUGUGAACUCACCACCUCUAUCGCUUCUGAUAUGUUUAAUUUGAGUAUCUUUCUCGUUCUGAAUACGAAGGCAUAUUCCCUGAAACUCAAGAAACGCAUCAGAUUUUUCACGCAAGAAUGAUACCCAGGUAAAGCGAGUGUAAUCAUCAACCAUAACCAAGAUGUAUCGUUUGCCUCCUAGACUAGGAGUACGAGUAGGACCCAUCAGAUCCAUGUGUAUGAGUUCUAAAGGAGAAGAUGUGGUUAUGGAUUUUUUCUUGGAAUGUGGACUACGUAUCUGUUUACCUAGUUGACACCCACCACACACAGUGUCUCGAUUUCUUCCAAGUCUAGGAACUCCCUUAAUAUAUUCAUUCCGAGUGAGAUUGUCCAGGUGUUCAAAGUUGACAUGACCUAGUCGUUGAUGCCACAAUAGACCUUCAUUUAGUUUGCUAGGUAAGCAGUUCAUGCUAGAUGCAACCGGCUGAAUGGCAUAGCAAUUAUCCAAUGUUCGUUUACCUGUCAUGAUACACUUACCUGAACUAUCAAGCACGGUACAUAUAUUUUUGGAAAAAUUAACAGUAUGGUCAGUAUCACACAGUUGACUAAUACUGAUCAAAUUUACACGCAAACCAUCAACUAACAAACAAACAUCAUUCGGAGAUAAACCAAUACCAGCGACAAAUCCCUUACCAAUCACAGGAGAGCUCUUACCAUUCCCAAAAGUAACACUUCCACCAUCUAUAGCAGUAACGGAGGAGAAAAGUUUGGCAUUACCUGACAUAUGUUUUGAAGCAACACUAUCAAGUAACCACUCAGUAUCCGAACUUGAGACAUGAAGAGCAGUGAUCGCCACAUUCGAAACAUUUCCUGCAAAAUUACAACGAAAAGAGUAAGAGGCAUAUGGAUAAGAUGGAUAAUCAUACGACGGCUGUGAAAACAGCUUCCAUGAUUGUGGAACAUGAGCAGCCACACCACACUGCGAGGCCCAAUGUCCAAACUGUCCGCAUAGUGAGGACGACAUUUUACGUUUCCUUCCCUGAGGCGGAACACGCCUGAACAGUUUCCACUUACGCCGGAUGCCAACCGUGUCCACAGAGUGAUGAAUGUCGGACUUUUUGGUAGGAGGAUAGGGCAACAGUGGAGGUAAUUCAGAAGAUGACAACCCAUUGCACUUUUCGAACAACUGAAGGCGAAUCAACUCCUUUUUGACCUUGUCUAGUUCUGAGGACCUUUAUGCCGCGCUUCCCAUUCGACCUUGUCAUGCUCAAGAGCAGCAAGAUUACCCAGUAAAGCCACCUUAUCAACCUGCCAUGAUACAGGUUCCCUAUCCAGGAUUGACAUAGAUGAGGAACUAGAAGACAGUAAGUCAAGUCUGUCCUGAAGAAUACAAUUUUGUGCCUCCAACCUUAGGCAUUCCUUUCUGGAUAACCGGUAUAGAGUAGCCCAAUCAUUAUUGUCCACCAGAAUCAAAUCCCUGUCACAAUUACUAGAGCAUUCUUUACUGUCAGUUGACUGCUCAUCAGACAUUCGAGCAACAACCGAGACAUGUGUCUUACCAGAGUAAUCCAUAGCACUAUUGAUCGUUAGCGUGAGCCUUUACGCUCCUUAACCAGCCCCCAGCGACUGAUACCAAUUGAGAAACUACAAAUAGUGCUAGUAUAACAAAUGUGAAUUCAAACAAGCAAACAAACAAUACGCGGAAAGUAAAUAACACACAGAAAUUUUUAACGUGGUAAAACCCAAACUGGGAAACGUCCACGGUUGUCCUCGCGACAACAAAAUAAUCCACUAGAUGAAAAGAGAUGUACAAACCUAUCAACUACCUGCACUCACUGCGAGUUGAUACUCCUGGUUAUCUCUAACACCUUGACUUCACCAGAGCACCUUGAUGUACGCACAAGACACUCGACUUCUUGAUGAACACACAAGAAGACUCGAAGCCGAAUUCACAAUAACUUUUGAAGAUCACAAAGAUAUGAAUUGGGAAAAGGGGGAAGAAAGGGAAUUGAGUUCAAUAGCCACAAACAAGUUCAAUAUCAAAAACCUAACCAAAACACAUGAACAAGAAGAAGGAUGGACGGCCAAAGAACUAUCUUGUUCUAUGGAAGAGAAACCCUAUUUAUACUUAGGGUUGAAAACCUAGAAAAAUGGGCCGAAACUGUGCAAACCGACUUUGGACGUUCGUACGUCGAUAUGACGUUCGAACGUCGCCACACAAAAAUAAGCCUGCUGCCUAACAUGACGUACGAACGCUCUAAACCGGUACGUACGUCUCCAUACGAAAACACGUCUGCUGACUACUCGGACGUACGAACGUCCUAACUGAGUACGUACGUCCUGACCAAAAGAUGUUUGCUGCUUCAGUGAACGUACGUACGUCCUAACUUGGUACGUACGUUCAGAACCCAAUAACUUAUCCUGGACAGACCUAAGAGACACAAGGACACGAGACGACCAUGCGUACAUCUUGAUUUUCCUAACAAUGAAUUCAAGGCGAGAUAACCAAAGACACUUUGUCACAAAAUUGAUGUCAAACCACUUUGUGCCGGUUUCAUUGGAUUGGUAUAACUCAUGACCUUUGAGUUAUCCCAUUAAUGAUGUAUCUCCUAUAUAAAGAGAACCAAGUUAUGAGAAUAAGACACUUGAAACAAUUGUAGAUCAAUACUUUCCUUCUUCUCUAACUUCUACUAUAUUAUGUAUAAGGCAAUAUUUUGGUUCAUAAUAUAUUAUACUUAACAUGUUAUCAACACGACUCUACUCAAGCUUGAAGGUAUAAAACCAUCUUGGUAAGUAUAUGAAUGAUUAAAUGGUUAAUCAUCACUAGUUGUUUAUAUACAUGGUAAGUAUAUAUCUAUAUCAAAUUUCUAAUAGCAUGUGUUUAUAUUUAUAUUUAAAUCAAACACAUGAAUUAUAUGUUUUUUUGGUUCUUCCUAUUAUUGUUACUACAAUGGAGUAAUGAAAUUAUUAAAAGAUUUUAGUAUGGUACACUAUUGAUCGAUCAGGUUAUGAUGUUAUGGUGAAAAGGUAAAUGAAUCUGUUUAUUAAUUUAUUUUAUAUCUUCUUAAGUGAGAUGAUGUCAUGAUCAUAUCAAAGUAUGGAAUCUACUAUAACACUUGCUCAUUAAAUGUAAGAUUAGAUAAUGUUUACUUAAGUGAUUUUUAUUUAAUCGUUUGAUUGUUGUGAAAUAAAGAACAUGUAUCAAAUAUUACUAGUAUGUUGUUACCAUACAAUUUCAUAAUUGGUCAUAUCAGUUUUUUUUAUAAUAUGUGUUAUAUCAAUAUGUCCUUAACCAUUUAUUUUUUCCUUACCACGACAGGGUUAUUUUUUUUAUUAAAACAAAUUUUAUUGAUAAGCUAAACGAAUUACACAAAAGUAGGGGACAAACGCGCUACAAACUAUGCGGCAAGUCCUUUCUGGAUAGCAAACCCGAUUCUCCUAAAUACAUAUUCGUUCGAACCCGCAGUCAUCACGUUGCUAUCCAUUACCUUCUGCACUCUCCUGAGGAGCUCAACUGCUUCUGAGCCUAGCAAUCCAAAUGUGUCAAAUGCAAAGGGGAUGAAACUAUGUUGGUUAGCCCUACAAGCUCCGUCAUGUUUCUCCACUUUUGCUGCUGCUGCAUUGCUAGCUGCUAGCCCCACCUCAAAAAUCCCAGCACCCAGCCCAACCAUCGGAGACGCCCUUGUAACAUCAAAACACGCAUGUUUACCUUCACACCAGUUGUAGACCAGAAUAUCAGCAGGACGUAAUGUCGAUCUUCCUUCCUUAGGAUCAGUAAGAAAGUUAACAGGAGCCUCCUUCUUAACCUGUACUCCAGCCUGCCAGAACACAUCACACAAGAUAUCUCUAACGUGGUCAUGCCUGUACUUGAAGCCGGGGUAAUGCUUACAAUGGGCCGCAUGGUCCCCAAAAGCCUCAAGUCUGCUUUUCUUGCACACUGGACAAAGUUCACCAUCUGAAUGGCACGAUAACGAAGAAUGACACGAUAUUCUACAGGUGUCAUGCGUUGUCCAAGUCCUUCCAUCGGGAUAGCAAGGAUAAACUUUGUUCUAAAGAAUUAUAAAACCAAAUCUUUCACAAGCCAUAGGUCUAUAAUAGAUCUCUAAACUCUACCAUGACAGAAGAAGAAAUUAGACAUCUAUACAAACAACUAUCAAUUAAACUCACAAAUGGAGAAGUACCCAUUAAUGGAUCUGGAAUUAGACCAAAGAAAUUAUUAUCACCAAACAAUAAUCUUGAAUGGAAAAGUACCCAUCACUUAGAAAAAUAAUUGCCAAUUCAUAUUGACAUGGUAUCAUUUAAACAUAUUGAUUUCAACUGAUAAAACCAAAUAACUUUGCCAUGAUUGUUGCUGGUAACAAGCCUUUGAAGCUCAUUGUUGCUUAGAUACAAGCUAUUAACUCAAAUUGGGUUCCUAUGUUAAUGGGUAUCUCAAAGAAUGACUGGCUUGUUGUGAGAAGAGUGAGGUAUUGGAGAUGGACGACUGAAUAAAUUCCAUGCAACAUAACCAGUGAGUUGUUAUCUGUAAAUAACCCAAAUCCCUAAAAUUUGUAAGCUUACUAGCCCACUAAAGGUUGCUGGAAUUUAACAUUAAAAAUGAUUGUUAUCUAGAUAAAAAAUUUCUAGCUUGGAAAAAGAUCCAAUUAAACUGGCUUUUUCUCCGGAGAUCGAAUUUCUUAAAUAACAAAUGGAUGAAGAUUCAUAAGCAUAGAAGAAAAUUUGGGAUUAAGCCAUCAAAUCUUGCCACGUGUAUGUAUUUUUAAUAAAGAAGUUGGGUAACCUUUUAAGUAAAACAUGCGCUAGGCACUGUAUGUGUAGCUUAGGUAUUUUAAAAAAAUUGAUGGCUUGAUGAUAAGUCCUCAAAAGUGUAUAUCUAUCCUCUGAAUAGCACGUUGUUUGCAUAGCACUUAGCUUUAUAUUAUUGUGUUAUAUCUAUUGAUUAGUGCUUUAUUGUCAUUUGUGUAGGUUUCAUGAUCUAAAAUGUGAAUAUUGUGUUAAAGCCCGCCAAAAGCCAAGAAACGCCAUUAAAAGAGUGUUAUUUGCACAAAGAAGAGGAAUUGUUAUUUGCACACAUAGAGUUUCUGAGGGCACCUCGUGGACUGGUCCUAUGGACUUGACUCUAUGUCCAACAUGGGUGGUCCAAAUCUCAGCUCAAUCCAAGUUACAAUGAAGCAUGCAAGUCAAAAGAUCCAUUGAAGCAUUUACUUGAAGUCCAAUAUUAAAAAGGCUUUAUAUGAAGAUCCAAAACUCUGAUUUGGGCCCAUGAGCUGUCUAUCUGAAGGUCUUGGUCCAGGUUACAACUUAGACCUAAGAUAAUUAGGUUUUUAUAAAGUCUUACUGCUUCUAGAAGGCCUAUAGAAGCUGCCAUGAAUUUGGCCUAACUUGGAGAGCGAGUAUACUUUGUGAAGUAAUGUGCUUUGUAUUCUCUAUAUAAAGAGAGGUAGUAGCUAGGGUUUAUUCUAGUUCUUUCCCUUGUAUUGAACUCAAUCUUUUUAUUCUCAAUAAUAAUCCAUUCUAUUUUCCAUUAUGAUGUUAUGUUCUUUAUUUACUUAUUCCUUGGUAUCAUUAUCAAGGAUGAGUAGCUAAGUUCCCUUUAGAGGGAAUGGCUGAAGAACUCUAGAUAAUGCAAAAGCUCCAUGUUUAUUCUUUAUGUUCAUUAUGAUUCAAAGUUCUUAAUACUUGUUUAUUUCUAUUCGCGACAUGAAGUAAACAUGAUUAUUUAUGUGUUACUGUUAUCCAUGUUAAUUAAAUACUAUUGUUAAAGUAUAGGGAGACCUAGCUAUAAUGGUUGUAUUAGAUUAAUUAGAUAUAUAUAUAUAUAUAUAUAUGAUGGAAUAGCUGAGAGGUGACUAUCAUAUAUCUAGAAUUAAUCUCUUUUAUUGGACCCCUUUUGUAAUCAAAUUGAAUAACCGAGACGUGACGAUUUAUUUAUGAAUUAAUAUGUUGAAUUAAUUGAAUUGAAUAGCCGAGAGGUGAAGGUUUAAUUAAUGAACCAUAUUCAAUAACACAUAUAAAAGAAUCCCGUUUUAAUUGAGUUGAAUAGCUGAGAGGUAACUACUUGAUUAUUAAAGGCAUUAUUGAUUAAUUGGAAUAGCUGAGAGGUGACUAAUUAAUUACUAUAGAUUAAACAUGAAUGAAUGACAUGUAUGUUUGCAUUGUUUAGUUUGUAGAUACCAACUAUUCAUCGUAAGAUCUUCUUUAUAUCUCUUUCCAUCUUUUAUUAUUAGUUUAAUUAUUAGUUAUUUAUUUAUUGCCUGUAGGAAGUAGAAUCAAUCUCAAUCUUGUUGUGGUGUUCUUAAGUUAUUGUUUUAUAUUGUGUUUGAACUAAGAAUUCCUCCUUCGAGGUGGGUACGACCCUUGCUUGUUACUUGUUCUACAUUGAUAAUAAUAUUUACAGGCACAAAAAUGAAAAUAUCAAUACAAAUCUAUCUUUUGAUUAGAGUGUAAGCAAUUAUGCUCUAUCACUUGACUUCAGUCAACUGGAUGGACUGACAGUUAAGUAACAGAAAAGGAACUAAACACGAAUAAAUGAAAAACUCUAUACCACUUGCUAAAUAUCAAAGUUCUGGAGGGACCAAAUACAAAAUACCCCUACUAAAAUUUUAGAGAUUACAUAUUUAUUAUGAUUAUAUACAUUUAUUCUUUAGCAAAAAAAAAUAAAAAAAUGAUCAUAUACUUUAUUAACUUUAAGUAAAUACUAGUAAUUUAAAUUCAAGGCAUAAUAGUUAGUAAAACAACUAGCAUAAUUCGUGCAUAACAUUGGUUCAUCCAUUCAACAAGUCACUAAAGCAGAUUUCAUCCCUCAAUGCCAAACUGGCCUGAAAACAGCAUAUCCUAAAAAUUUAUUUAUAGGAUUUAAUUCGGAAUUUGUUUUUGUUUUUUGAUAUAAAAAAUAAAUCAUGGAACUUCUUGUCUUAACCAUUUGAUUUCAAUAUUUCUUCAGUUGUGGAAUAAAAUAUAUUAAUUUUAGUUGUGCAAAUAUGAUAUGUGUAUGAUAUGGCAAUGAUUUCAAGAUUUACAUGUUCUAUUGACAGUUUGAUUCCUUUUUUUUCCUACUACCCAUCAGCUUCCGCUUGCAUAAAAAUACUUCCUCUGGAUAUGCGUACUUAGUCCACAGACCUUUAGCCCUUGAUGCAUCUGAAGAAACCCACAAUUUAAAGCACCAGAGAUAAUAAAAUUCUACCAUUGUUUUUAGAAGGAGAAAAAGGUACAAUUAUAAGUUGUAAACACACCAUCCCAGACAGCAAAACCUUAUCCAUUAACAGGUACAUUCAUUCGAGCAUUCUGAAUGCAUCACCAAUGGGCGAAAAAUGGAAUAUGGUAUGGUAUUGGUUUUGGCCUAUCAGUAUUGUAUAAGAAUUGGUAUUGGCCUUUGAGUAAUGUAUAUUAUGCGAUUAGCAUUCUUAAUGUGGGCUCGUUUUGUACUUUCAAAUUCUUAUUUGAUGCACACACUAAGGGGGGCUUGCAAGCUUGAAGAAAGGGGGAGAAGUGCUUGUACACUUCUUUUGUUCAUUUGGUCUUAUAUCUUGUAACUGAUUUUAAACGGGAGUUUACAUAUUAUUACUGUUUUUAUCAUAAGUUCACAAAGAAGGAUAUUGUAAAGUCCAAAGUGUUUGUAUUGUGAACUAUGACAAGGUUAUUAAAGUCAUUGUAUGUAAACUCACAUGUGGUGAGUCUUUGUGAGGGUUAUUCUUGUGUUGAUUACUUAAAGACCUCUGAAGACAAUGAAGAAUCAAGAUAUUGUAGACUUGAAGACCCCGGAAGAAUUGAAGCCUCAAUCAUUGAAGAUAUUGGAGGCUGUCGGACUUCAAGAUUCAGGCGCCUAGACAAUGUCAGAAUCCUAGGUGCCUGAACAACACUUUUAUGAAAUGGGCUAAGGUUGACCCGACCCGGCCAGAUCAAUUCAAAAUCUAGAUUUAGUCAACUUUAGUUUGACAAACGGAUCUAUUUGGAUAUGUUGUCUUAUUUAAGACAAGAGAAAGCUUCAAGAAGUUUUGAUGGUGUUUGCUUAUAUUUUCUAAAGACAUAUAAAACCCUAAAAGAGCAAUUACUCAAAAUCCAUCAAUACCCCAUUAAUACAAAACCACCAACAUCAUUAACUCAAUUCUUUUGGGAGGUGGUUGGUUGUAGGUUGAGAAUAUUUCCUCAACAAGUUGAGUUUUAAUUACUUCUCUUUACUCCUUAUUUGAGGCAUUUAAGAAGAGAAUCUUCAUGAUUGUUUCUAAUUGCGACUAAAAGGUAAAACCCUAGAGUUGUCUAGAUUAGGGAUUAGGGUAUCCCUGCUCAAAGCUUUGAGAAGUUAGAGAUCUCAAAAGGGAGACUUGUGGUUGAAGUAGUGGUGUACUAGGUGUAACUGGCUUGCUUUAAUUGGAUUUCUAAAGGCUAGAGAAUGUUUUUUUUAGAGUGGACGUAGGCUACGGCCGAACCACUAUAGACCAAGUGGUGUGGUUUUGAAUUUUCUAUCUCUAGAUUAAUUUCAAUUUAUAUCUUGAGUGGACGUAGGCUACGGCUGAACCGCUAUAGACCAAGUGGUGUGGUUUUGAAUUUUCUAUCUCUAGAUUAAUUUCAAUUAAUAUCUUGUACACAAUCAAUUAACUUUACCAUAAACCAGGAAAAAGACUAUUCCCCCCCCCCCCUCUCUUUAGUCUAUAUUGACGUCAUUGUAUGACAUUUCAGAUCCCAAAAGGGACCGGAUGGAGGACAAAGUUCUUGACAAAAACAAAAACAAAAAAAAGGAAAAACCCUUCUCGGCACUGAUCCUCUUUUCCCCAACAAUCAUCACUCCCCUUUCUGGAUAAAGUAGAUGUCCCCCGAUAACAUAUCUCAUGUUAAGGUUUCAUCGUUGAGUACGAGCUGGUGUAGUUACUUGCAUUCCCUCGUGUUGUUGCUGACCUCAUUACGAUUGGGCUAAUUGGUAGCUUUUAUUCGUUGUUGGGGGACUGUCAAGGGUUCGUCCUUAGUAGGGAUGGCUUCGUUGAUAAGAUCACCAUCUUCCCAUAUCUGGUUCUCCAGGUUGAUCACCUUCUCUGGGUUGCUUUCUGGAUCUGGUCUUCGACAUCGUCUUUUUUCGAAGCUUUGAGCAUGUUUGAUGUAGGCAAGUCAUCACCACUCCGCGGUGGGCUUUGGGGAUAAAGUAGACCCUCAUCUAUAUAUUAAAUCUUAACAAAAAGGGUUACAAAGCUCCCAACGAGGAUAGUCAUUUGUGGGAGUAACACACAUACAAGUGUACAAUAAAGGCCAACGGGCCUUAACACAGAGCCUAAGCCCAAGAAAUCGAGCCCCAAGAAUACAUUUUAAAACCAGUCUGAUACUAAUUCCAAAUGGACCAAAGCCCAAAUCCAAGCCCUAAACUCUAAGUUGACUGACCCAACCUCACAUGGAUCAUUAAAGAUCCAUUUUCUCAGGUAAAAAUGACCCAUCUUCUCAACCCGCUUUGAAUUGAUAUUCAAAGUUGAUUCCGGCAGCUAGAUCACCAAGUCUCAAUGUUGUAGAUCCCAAAUCUUGAUAAGGACAUCACACAGGUUGCACAAGACUCGCCAACCUGUUUAUAGUUGGUCUUCAAACUGAAAUUUGAACACCAUAGCAAGAUCUCCAGAUGCUUUGAUAUAUGUCAGAUCUAAAAUCCCCAAUACCAAUUUGAAGAAGUAAAACCCCAGAUGCCAAUCUUGUAGAUUAGUAAGAUCUUUAAAAUCUCGACUUUGAUUUGUUUUGCCUUAGUGAUGCUUUGUAACAAAGAAAAGAAUAUAACAGAAUUUAGUAUCUCUGAUAGAGGUUCAAUCUUAUUACUGUACAAUAUAGUGAUGCCAAUCUAAUAGACUAUGUGAAUAUAUACACGCAAUAGUACAAAUUACAAUGUUGUGCGUCUUCCAUUUUCCUUUGAGUACAUGUUAGAAAUAGAAUUAUAUCUAUAUUAUAAGCGACAACACGUUUAUAGUAUAGAUUCAAUGUAUAUGAUUAACCGUUUGAUGAUCCUUGAGAUCAUAAUCUUUAGUUUUGAUUAAAUCAUAAUCCUUAAUUUAUAUUUUUAAUUGGGUCCAAAUUUAAGUUGCUUUCCACGGUUCUGAUUUAAUCGAGAUCCACACUUGUGGAUAUACAUCGCCCCCUCCUAAAACCUUUAAUUCCUCUGAAUGAAACUUUUACGUCUCUCACAAUCAUUCAAAACCUAAAAUUCCACAUUCCAUUCAUCUCUCUCAAUCUCAUCGCACAAUCUUUUCAUCCGUUGCUAUCAAUCUGUUCAUCUGUUCAAUAUCUCUCUCUUGGACCAAUCGAUUUGAAUCAGGUAAUCUCUUCAUCAGUUGCUAUCAAUCUGUUCAUCCGUUUCUAUGUUAAACUCUCUUCCCUCUUUGUGUAAUAUAACAUCGUAUUCACUAGAAUUUGAGGUGAUUUGGUGUUUGGGCAAGUUGUAGAUUUGUAGGGUUUGCAUUGUGAAAAUAUUUUAGUGCAAGUAGAUGUAUUGUAGUUAAGUUUGUGUUUUUAGUUCAUAAUAAGUAGAACAGCCUGCGAAUGCCUUUGUUGAUUUUGCAGAAAUUUAUUGAAAGAGAAGGUUUUCGUAGGUUUUAGAACAAGGGAAUUGUUGAUUAGGAGUUUUACGGUGAAACUGAGCGAGUCCCCUUCCUUUUUAUUGAGGUCGGACUGCAAAAUAGAAUUGAUUUUGCGAGUGAUUUGUUCAGUUGAUCUGAACAAAUGGUGCAAUAAUGUGUCAGCUUUUUUCCCUUGUUGGUGUAAUAGUGUUGUUGGUGUAAUGGUGUUGGAUCUAAAUUGAUUGCAAAGAGGUGUUUUAUCCAUAAGAGCUUGCUUAACUUUGUUCAGUGUUUAGUAACGCUGAUGAUACCAAGCUUCUAUUCAAGUCCAGCUUUUUCGUUUGAAUGUUUGGGUAUUUAUACUUGACAGUGGCAUGGUAAUAUCUGGUUAUUUUAUAGUUAUUGUCAAUACCCUCCCUAUUUUCUUAUCACUUUCAUCUUCUUUUUAUACAGAUUAAGGUUUCUCUACACAAUGAAUCAUCUAAUUCUUAAUCGAAAGGUAACUCAAUUACUCAAUAAAAGCCUAAUUUCGUCAUCUAUUUGUUCUUAAUCUAAUAAGUGAAUUUAGAUAGAAGUCAAUGAGUCUAUUAAUAGCUUUUUGUCCCCAUUCAUUGACGCGGUUGAUUACCAUUCUGCGUUUCAUCUAAAUUUUCAUUAUAUCCAUCAGUUAGUAUAAAAACACAAAUGGACAUUUUUUAGUUGGGAUUAUGAUGUGACUGCUUAAUCUUUCUCUAGGAUGAACUGUUUUUUUUUAAAACACUUUCAAGAGAAAAAGAAUGACUCUUGGACAAGCAGAGACCUUCCAGAGGUUCGAAAUGGACAUUUUUAGUUGGGAUUAUGAUGUGCAUGCUUAAUCUUUCCCUAUUAGGGGCGGUUUUUUCAAAACAUUUCCAAGAGAAAAAGAAUGGCUCUUGGAGAAGCAGAGACCUUCCAGAGGUUCGAGUUCUUAAGCCACAAAGCAAGUAAUAAAUUAAAUCGGCAUCAUAUGGGUGGAAAAUACCAUCUGGGUAUACCUUCAUUGUUGUCGAUGAAUGUAUAGGCAUUCCUAACUCAGGUAUGUUUCUCAACUCAAUUACUCAAAGCCCUAUUUCAUCAUCCAUUUGUUCUUAAUUAAAGGUACUUUGUUGUUGGUAAAGUUAAUUUAAUAUAGGUUUUUUAUAAUUUUUGUUAGAUAUUUCAUGGCUUUUUAGUUAAUUGACAUGUUUCUUUGUCAUCUAUUUUGAUUUAUUCUAGGUUUCCUUGUCUCAGUGGACUCUACAUGAAUUUCCAGGUAAUACUUUGAAGUCCAUUAGUUUAUUUGGUAUAUUAAACUUAUUUUCUUACUUUUGCAUUUUAUCAUGGCCCAAAUUAAGUAAUAGCAUGUUAUAUAGUGCAAGAAAACAGAUCAUGACUCUUUUGAUUGAGUGCAAUAUUAUUUGCUGUUCUAGAUCAGCAUGGUUCAAAAUCUUGUAGUUGAGUUUCUUGACAUAUUCUUCUUUUUGCUUAUUGCCUAUAAUUAGUACCUCUUUAACAGUUGAUCCUUUUCUGCAGAUGGCCAACAUUGAGGAAUGUAUAGAUGGACAGUUCACCGGGAACCUAAGAAUAAUUUUGAUGGUAAAUGUCUUCCAUACCCAACAUCUUUUUCAUGUGAUUUCAAUAGAUACCUAAACACUGGAUUCUAAAUGAUUUAUUAUUGCUCUUCUUCAAGUUUUUCUUUUCAUUUGCUUUUAUUCAAAGUUCUCAAAUAUUCAAGUUAGUAGUAAAUAAGUCGGAGAAUAUCUUCAUUAGGUCAAUAUAAAAUAACAAAUUAUUAGACUGCAUAACAUUAAUUCAAUUAAAAGAGGCCUUUUUCUUGUAUUAAUAAAGGGUAGAUAGAAAGUGGAUAUUAAUUUAGGGUUUUUCAUCCUUUAUUUCACCGGUUUAAGUUGUGUUGGAAGGUUGUAUAUUAGAUUAGUUCCCAGGUUUUACACUAACCUUCUUUUCAUACGAAAUUAAUCUCAUCUUUAGCUUUUUAAUAUUUGUGUUUGUAAUUGAUAGCUUUUAUUAUGAAUUCGUCGUAUUUCCAUCUUGGCAUACCCUUGCACAGUAAAUUAUAUAUGUGCACGUUUCGAUUCAGAGAUUCUAAUUACCCUAAUUACAUGAUUAAUUUUGUUUGAUGAAAAUAAUAGUAAACAAGCGUAGUAUGAUUUUCAUUAUGGUUAUACUACAGUAAUGGGAACAAAUAAAAAUAAUAGGUAGUUGAAUGUCAAGUUUGAACUCCUUCUGGGUAUUUUAAUCUAAAAGAGUCAAAUUUGAGAAAUUGGGUAUUGUAAAUAAGAUACAAAGCCUGAUCAUCACGCAGUUCAAACUUUAAUAUCUACUUAUUAUGAACUAAAGGUACUUUGUUGUUGGUAAAGUUAAUUUAAUAUAGGUUUUUUAUUAAUUUUUGUUAGAUAUUUCAUGGCUUUUUAGUUAAUUGACAUGUUUCUUUGUCAUCUAUUUUGAUUUAUUCUAGAUUUCCUUGUCUCAGUGGACUCUACAUGAAUUUCCAGGUAAUACUUUGAAGUCCAUUAGUUUAUUUGGUAUAUUAAACUUAUUUUCUUACUUUUGCAUUUUAUCAUGGCCCAAAUUAAGUAAUAGCAUGUUAAAUAGUGCAAGAAAACAGAUCAUGACUCUGCUGAUUGAGUGCCAUAUUAUUUGUUGUUCUAGAUCAGCAUGGUUCAAAAUCUUGUACUUGAGUUUCUUGACAUAUUCUUCUUUUUGGUUAUUGCCUAUAAUUAGUACCUCUUUAACAGUUGAUCCUUUUCUACAGAUGGCCAACACUGAGGAAUGUAUAGAUGGACAGUUCACUGGGAACCUAGGAAUAAUUUUGAUAAGGUAAAUGUCUUCCAUACCCAACAUUUUUUUCAUGUGAUUUCAAUAGAUACCUAAACACUGGAUUCUAAAUGAUUUAUUAUUGCUCUUCUUCAAGUUUUUCUUUUCAUUUGCUUUUAUUCAAAGUUCUCAAAUAUUCAUGUUAGUAGUAAAUAAGUUGGAGAAUAUCUUCAUUAGGUCAAUAUAAAAUAACAAAUUAUUAGACUGCAUAACAUUAGUUCAAUUAAAAAAGGCUUUUUUCUUGUAUUAAUAAAGGGUAGAUAGAAAGUGGAUAUUAAUUUAGGGUUUUUCAUCCUUUAUUUCACCCGUUUAAGUUGUGUUGGAAGGUUGUAGAUUAGAUUAGUUCCUAGGUUUCACACUAACCUUCUUUUCAUACGAAAUUAAUCUCAUCUUUAGCUUUUUAAUAUUUGUGUUUGUAAUUGAUAGCUUUUAUUAGGAAUUCGUCGUAUUUCCAUCUUGGCAUACCCUUGCACAAUAAAUUAUAUAUGUGCAUGUUUAGAUUCAGAGAUUCUAAUUACCCUAAUUACAUGAUUAAUUUUGUUUGAUGAAAAUAAUAGUAAACAAGCGUAGUAUGAUUUUCAUUAUGGUUAUACUAUAGUAAUGGGAACAAAUAAAAAUAAUAGGUAGUUGAAUGUCAAGUUUGAACUCCUUCUAGGUUUUUUAAUCUAAAAGAGUCAAAUUUGAGAAAUUGGGUAUUAUAAAUAAAAUACAAACCAUGAUCAGCAUGCAGUUCAAACUGUAUAGUCAGAUAGACCAAAGAGGACACCCCCUACGUUUACCAGAACCCCUACAGCUAUAAAAUCCCUCCCAUACAAAAAGUAAAAAGAAGGGAAAAAACCUGCAAACAAAACCAGCUAGGAGCCCAUUAUCGGUUACCAGUGUAAUCUGAGGACUGUAAGAGCUGCUACAGUCACAAUAACCAGCCAAUUUUUCCCCUAAACUUCAUUUUUUGAAGGUUCUUUCAACAACCUUGCGUCUUGUCAUUAAAUAUGGAGAAUUGCUAGGGAGCUGAAUUUCAAACAGUCAAACAGUUCAAGCACCUAAAGCUCACUCAUUUUCAUGAAACGAAAUUAUUCACGUAAAAAGUUGAGACAAGAUGUGAAGAAAGAUUAAAGUAAGAUAAACUGGCGAAGCACUGUACAACAAAGAAUAAAAUAUUAUCUACCCAACGAGAUCCUGGAUGAAGAUUUUUGGUCUAGAUACACAAAUCUUUCUUGAACUAUAAAUAUAUGUCCGUGGGAGUGUGAAUAGCGCAACGAUUACCUGAACGGUACUCUGGCAUUAAUCUAGAGAGUAGAACUUUUUUAUUUGCAAAUCUCCAACCAAGAUGUCCAAUUCUCCCUCCGAGAACAGAGAGGUUAAUUAACUUCCUCAUAUCAUGAAUAUUAUUUGCUGCUCUAUGACUUCAAAAGCCAGGAAUGCAGGAAAAUAGAAAUACUAAGAAAGGAGCAAAAGCUGUUUAGACCAUACUUAUUUCAUUCCAAUAGCAUUUUUUAUUUUUUUCUUUUGGAAUACUGAGAAGCCUAGCUUGUGGUAUUUCAAAACUGUUUAGAAACAAAGCAUGGCUUAAACUUUUGCAUCGAAUCCUAAUUUUAUAUUUUCCUGGCUGACGGUUUUUGGUACUAAUAAAAUCUGAUUUAUUGCUUCAUUGAUUGUACCAUCUAUGAGACCUAAAGGAAUUGGCUUGAUAUUAUUAUGAUUGUGUGCAACAUAUCUGAGUUGUAUUUUUCUUAUAAGUCAUUAUUAGUUUUCGGGUUAACGACCGUCUCAAGGAUAGCUACCUGAGGGGAUGUGGUAGGCUUAGCUUUUGGUGAGUAGGAGCUAUUGGGUGAAAAUAUAUGUGCUAGAUGCUGGUGCCUAGGAACAUGUAUGAGACUUUUUCAACUAUCUUUCGCUGGUUUUAUUUUAUAUAGCUUUUAACAAUUGUCCUUUAUAUUGAUUUUCUACUAAAAAUGUGGAUUGAAUUCGACUCAAGUGUUCGUUGUAUGAUAAUUGCAGAUUGCCAUUUUAAAGAUUAUUUGUUGGUGAAUUGUAAGCGAUCAUAGAUACCAGGUAAUAUUUCUCAUUGCUUCCUUGAACGCUUUAGUGUUGUUAUUGUGUGUUUUUGUAUGUAUGUAUUUUGUUGCCAUUAAACUGAUUGUCAACAAUAAAUGCAAGGUUGCAUUUUUUUUUUUUGGUGCUUGGUUCAAUACCCUUAAUGGAUGUAGCAAUUUAACAGGAUACGGGUAGCAAAUGACUCAUAAUUACUGGUCGGAUUAUGCUGUGGUUUAGGAAAUAGGCAAUAAAUGUGUUAGCAACAAAUGUUAGCAAAGCAUAAACUACUAAUGAAGCAAAGCAUAAACAUAAUUACUAAUGGAUAUUUAUGUUGUUAAAUGAAGCAAAGCAUAAACAUAAUUACGACCUAUCCUGUUAAAUGAAGUAAAGCCAAUUCUGCUGUGGUUGCAAAUAUAUAUUUGAUUGUAACAUGUACGGUGUACCUUAAAUCAACAUUUUCUAAUCCAUUAGUAGUUUAUGCUUUGCUUAUUUUAUAACCAGUAUAUCUAAGCCAAUCUCAAUGGCUGGUUACAAUGUUUAUAUAUUUUAUUAUAUUUCCAUCUUGGACACCAAUGAAUAGGCAGUGAACUGGAUAUUCUUUUUUUUUUUGUGUUUCUUAUUAGUAGUAAUUAGUAACACUGUUAUGUGUAGACAGUCUUUGUUGAGUUUUAGCUUAUGUCAAUUGUAAGUUACAUUGAUUGCUAAUUUUGGAAAUUUAUAAAUAGCAAGAAUGGUUUUGAUAGGUUUGGUGUUAGCUUGGAAGUAUUUAGUGGUUUUGAUAAGUUUGUUUAUGUGUUGUACUUUGGAUGCUUAAUGAUUUCAAAAUACUAAUGCUGGCGUAUUUUAUAAAGGUGAAAAAAUUAGGUAGCAAGGUGAAAAAAUUAGGUAGCAACCCUUGACGUCUUUGUGCCUGGAUAAACAAACAUAUGAUUUAACAACUCCGUAGAUUAAAAGCCUGCAUAAUAUAAACUACUCAGCCUAUAGUCAUACCAUUACUGAUUUCUUAAAGCAUUGAGCUUUCCGUGCUCAUUUUUAUAAUAAGUAUAUAAGCUCUGUACAAGCUUUUUUCUGCAAGGAAGCAGAAGCAGUAGAAUGAACAGAGAUCAGCCUGUUCCACACCUGACACCUUCUUAGUGAACCUGCACUGAAUUAAUGUGUGGUAUAGAUUCUUCUGCCUCUUUACAUAACACACAUCAUUUAGAGCUUCUGUCUACAAUAUUUAGAACUUCUAUCUGCUAUCAAUGGAUGCUUUUGAUUUGGAAAGUAGUAAAAGUAGAAAUGGUAGACGUACAUGUUUUUAAAAUCGAAUGACUUUAGAAUAAAAGGAUUGUUCUUAAUGGCAGGUAUAAAUAAAAUUCACUUUAAAAUGGGUAUUGCGAUAUUCAGAACUUCUAUCUGCUAUCAAUGGAUGCUUUUGAUUUGGAAAGUAGUAAAAGUAGAAAUGGUAGACGUACAAGUUCUUAGAAAUCAAAUGACUUUAGAACAAAAGGUUUCUUUUUUUAAUGGAAGGUAUACAUAAAAUUCACUUUAAAAUGGGUAUUGCAUCAUGUUACCAAUUUUUAAGUUUUUAUCAUAUGCCCGUUAUUCAAAAGUUUCUCAAAAUAAAUUUAAUUUGGCAAGGUUGUUAACUCUAUAAAUGUUCCAAAAAAUUCAGUUUCUACUAUUAAGAACCAUCUGACUGUUGUUAACUCUAUAAAUGUAUAAAUAAUAUAACCUAUAUUUUAUUUACUAUCAACCAAAAUAUUCUUCUGACCAUUCUUGCUGUGAUUCUUUCUUAUUUUUUCAUGUACAGAUUAAUCUAAGGUAAAGAGAAAUGGAUAUAAAUAACCCAGAAAUAUUUUGCAUAUGUUGCGAGGAAUAUGGACAUGAAUCCAGAGUUUGCCAAUGCCCAUAUAUGGAUUUGAAUGUAAAUGACAAAGACUACAUCAAAUUCAAAUAACGAAGAACAAAUCCACACACGUGGACGAUAUGAGCUGAAAGAUAAGGUACAUCUUCUCUUUUUUCUAUUGUACUUUAAAAUUUUAAUCUAUAUUAUAACUUCUGAUGCAUCAGCUUACAAGAAUGAAUAUCAAAUAAAAUGUAUAAUCAUAUCAGAUAAAAUGUAUAUAACCAGAGGGACAGGUGUUUAAAGAAGCACUAAAAUCUGGACAGAUGUUACUAUUGCCGAUUAAACUUUGUUGCUUAAUUGCCUAAUCUGGAAAAGUGUUUCAAGAUUAUACCUUCUCUCCAUUUGAGUGAUUCAUGGUGAUAACUUAUAAACACAUUAUUAAGUUUGAUUAUUAACACUGGUUUAUUGAUGUAUCUUUUGACAACCUAGGUAGUGUGGACAAUGGGUACAAAUACUACUAUAUUGGAAAUAUAGAGCAUUGUCUAUGGAUAUCACAUUAAGCUUACUACAUGACUGCAUGGAAACUACUACAUCAUCUAUUAAUUGAAUAUGCUCAGGUACUCUUCUGCACUCUUAUAUCCCACUCUUCUCCUCUAUCUUUUAAGCAUGAAUAAAUAAUUAGAUAUGUUUCGGGUUAAAAGGAGAAAAUAACACUGCAGCCAUAUUGAACCAAAAAGCUGGGAAUAUUUUUUUCUCUUUAUUUACUAAAGUAUUGAUAUGGAACAACUGAUAAGAAACAUCGAUUGCUGAUUAAAUACCCUUUAAAAUCUAAUCGAAAAGAUUAACAAAGGCCUAUUAGCUCAGUCGGUUAACGAUGCAAUGCCAUAUACAAGAGUUUUUAUAUGCUUUUCAAGGGAUGACACCGAUUAUUUCAAACCCUUUCUUGGAAACAAUCUAUGUAUGGUUUGGUGGUCUUGCUAUUAUUCUCUGACCAGUAUUGUUGUAGGUGAUGUACUGGCUUUAAUGGUAUCAAGUAUAUGGCCAAUCAGUGUACCAUUUGAUAGACUCGCUAUUCUUUUCUGUUUUAUGCAAGUCUAUGUUUCCGCUUACUGAUCACCUCAAUAUUGGAAAAACAAAAAUCAAACUCUCCUUAAAUCUGUUUGUGUGGGAAUUGUCAAUUUUAUUUGGCCUCUCCUAUACUAUAACAUCCUUGGCCAUACACGAUGAAAACAACAAUGCUAUAUUGGACAUGUCACAUGCUAGAAUGUUCUUGUUUUCUUAGUUAUGACUUUUUUAGUCCAAAAAUAUACUCACAAGAUGUGACAAUAAGGCUUCAUUACAGAAGAAUUUUAUCUUAGUCUCCGAAUCUGUAAGAAUUCCAUUUAACAGCUUUGGAGAUGGAAUCAAUGACUUCAUUGGGCAUCAAGCUGAUUUUGUCUUGGUCUCUGAAUCUGUGAGAGCUACAAGCAUACUUCACAUUCUUUUUAACUUAUCAUAUUGCCUUAUUUUUUUCUUUAACUUAUCGUAUUGCGGAUCGGUAACAAGGUUGGUAUUGCUCUCUUUCCCACCAUUGAGGUACCCCCAGCUAUCCUGUCUUACGUAUUCUCUUCCCGAACUAAUUGUCUAAGAGGUAUUUAUGUAGUUUAUAUUUAUUAUAUGCCAGUGUUUGUGGCACUCAGUUUUUCUUCUGCUUAAGGUUCAUGAGAUUGGCUUCUGGCAUUAUUUCAUGAUUACUCAUCCAGGACAUUACUCAUCCAGGACAUCACUACAACAUCGAGUAGAGGUGACAUUACCACUAAUGUCCAGUUGGACGAGUACUAUAUCCGAUAGCUUCAUUACUUUCGAUGGAGGCUUCCAGAUGACCCUCUUGCCUGGUGGCAUGUACAUGGUUGCCAUUGUGACGUAACAAACAAUGUAGCAGAAUCCAAGUUGUUCCAUCUGGAAAUUCUAUUAGAUGGAAUCACUAUCAACGAUCUGAGGAAACUAUUGAUCACCUUUUCUUUCAAUGCAUGUAACUUCGCAACUCAUCUAUGGUCACAAGCUGAAGUUAUGGGAUGACUCACAUGCAGCAGUUGGGUUGAUCUCUCAAACACAACCCCAUAAAUGUUUUCCUUGAAUGCUAUUGGCUGCCACCUCUCCCAGGAGUGAUUAAACUGAACUCAGAUGGGUCUUGUGCUGGAAACCCAGGUCUGGCAAGUUGGGGAUGCUUAUUUAGGGAUCACACUUGCAAGGUCAGUGGUGUUUUGAUUGGAGGUUGAGGCAACGACACUAACUACAAUGCAGAAGUUGCAACAACUAUACAUGGGCUUGAAAAAGCAGCUGGACAGGGCUGGUUACAGAUUAACGUUGAAAGUGAUUCUACUUCAGUGAUGCAAGCACUCAAUAAGGACAAAGUACACUAGAAGCUCCGGCGUAGCAGAUGGGCUCAUAUCAAAGAUAAAUUUGGUUUAGAUUGUAAUUUAAUUGCCAAUACUGCCAACUGGUAAGCUUUGAUCAGAACUUUUUUGUGGUUUUUCUUAUUCACAUAAAAGUUUAUAGUUCGGGUCAAUAUGUGUAGGGGUACUACAUACUCCGACCAAUCAAAAGCAGCCACGUGGCACAGUCAUCCAUCCGUCAGGUCGCCACGAUCUCUACCCGCUCGCAGCUCGACUAAAGCGACCAGACUACACAACGACCAGCGACCUGCUAUUCACACGUUCUCCUAUUCAAUGCACAGAAUAUUCUCAUCAGUUACAUAAUUAAUUCACAGGGAUGAUCCUCGCGCGUUACACAUUUAAUCCUCAUUAUGAUGGCGGAGAAUCUGCAAGAUCCACGAUCCACGCCCUUCUAUCUUCUAUAUAAACAGAACUACGAUGGCUUGAUCUCUAAGUUCAAUUCCCCCGAGCUAGAGUACGUAGGCAAUCUCGAUCUCAACGAGGUGCAGCCACCCCAAUCUCAAACAUCCCCAUUUGGUCAAGUCUCCCUAGCGACCUGACCCAGCAGUGCAUUAAUCUAGAAAUAGGUUAAUACAUUUGGCGCCGACUGCAAGGAAUUCGAAAUAAUCGAAAACCCAAACCCUCCCACCCAAAAUCAAAAAUUACCUGUUCAAAUGACUACCACAGAAUUAACUAUCAGUGAUCUGCAUGCUCAAAUCACAGCUUUGCAGGAAGAAAAUGCACGCCUCAAAGCUGCACAAACCAACCCCCAGCAGGGUGAAAGUAGCGGACAUGGAGUCGUUCCCACUGACGAUUCCAAUCAGAAAUUUGAGCAACUCAGUCAACAACUGGCGGAGUUCAAAGCAUCACAGGCCCUUCUCCACCGUUCCAAGAGUCACACUGCAGAGCAACUUGCUGUUCAGUCACUCCAGCAGUUCCAGGAGUCUCCUUUCUCUAAGGAGAUCCUGGAACACGAUUUACCGAACAAGCUGAAUGCCCCCAAAUUCGACCAGUAUGCAGGAGUCGGAGAUCCAACCGACCAUGUCAAGGGAUUCCGGAAGUCCCUUCCUCUGAUCAAAGAGGAUCAUCUUUUGUGUUUGCUGUUUCAGUCCAGCCUCACCGGACCAGCUCUCGACUGGUUUCAUCGAUUGAAGCCAGGAUCCAUCAACUCGUUUGCAGAGCUUGAGAAACAAUUCGUCAUCUUCUACAUCCACAAUAAGAAGCGACCUGUUACCAUUGACUCCAUCUUCAAAGUCAAGCAGAAAGAUGGACUUCGCAAAGGAGCAUGAGACCUUUGCAACUAUUGCUUUCUCUCACGGACUGAUCCAAGGGUCCGACCUUCACAAGUCUCUGGCAAUGAAGAGACCUUCAUCACUUGACGAGCUCUACCUAAAGGUAGAUCGUUACAUAAAGCUAGAAGAAGCCCUCACUGGGAGGGAGAAGAACCACGUAGUCAGCAACAUUGAGGCUGGCUCAAACAAACGACCUCGAUCAGAUGGAAAGAGGUUCAAAGCUAAGUCGCUGCCUACGGAGCAGCGAGAGUAUCACCGCUUUACGCGACCAGCCGGUUAUAUCUAUGAAAGGGUCAAGCACAACCAUUGGUGCAAGAUUCCUGCCUUCACACAGUUGGAGGAUACAUCUGGUCGCCCGUACUGCAAAGUCCAUAAAGUACGGUGUCAUCAGAUUGAUGAUUGUCGCGUCUUGAAGCGCGCACUUCAAUCCUGGGCCGAUGAGAAAAGGCUCAACAAUUGGAUCCUUGGAAGGAAUGAGGAAUCCACAGGCAAACGGGUAAGGAAGGAGUCCAGAACGCCUCCCCGUUCCCCAAAAAGAAAUCACAGCAAGGCCAGAACGGCUUCAACAAGUCCAGCACGCAGCAGAGGGCGUAGCCUCUCCCAACGCUUAGGUCCAACAGGCGACCUACGCGACCACAUUAACAAGAAGGUCGCCAACAAAGUUGACAGCGACAGCGAGUCGGAUAGUCAUGUGGUCUACAUGAUUGAUGAAUCUCACCACACCCCUGUCUCUCGAGACAAAAAGAGACGAGUGGAACAUCUCCACCAUGUCUACUCUAUCACCGGCCGAGCAGCUCGUUUCAACAUCCCUGCCCGCCAAGAGACUGACAUCACCUUCACUGAAGACGAUCUCAACAAGGUCGUUACCCCACACAACGAAGCCCUAGUCGUUGAACUCAGAAUAGCAGAUUAUACUAUCAAGAGGGUAUUUAUUGACCCAGGGGCAUCAUGCAACAUUCUCAUGUACAGGACCUUCAAGGACAUGAGGCUGCCCGACUCAGUGCUCAUCCCAGACUUCACACCGAUCCUUGGCUUCAAUAGUUCAAGGGAAGACCCUAAGGGGGAGAUCCUUCUGCCCGUCACUGUAGGCAGAUGGGAAGACAAGGUCGUUGUAACCAGCAAGUUCAGCGUCCUAAAUAUCGCAAGCAAAUACAAUGCGAUUCUGGGUCGAAAGUGGAUCCACGCUAUGAGAGGUGUGCCGUCAACUUAUCAUCAGGUAUUCCGCUAUCCCGGCCCUUAUGGGAUAAUGGAACUCCGCGGCAAUCAGAACACCGCACAGGAAUGCCACGGCAUUAUUGAAGCUGUUCCAUCGUCAAAACCAUCCACCUCUGGAGUCAAGGAUGCUGAUGUCAAAGGAAAGAGCCUAGUCCCAACAGAGGCUCAGGAGGGCAACAAGUCAAAGAGCCCAUCCAAGGAAAAGGCUGAACCUGCUAAAUAGCAAUUACAGAAGGAGCAAGCGAGCUCCCCCAAGCUUAGUCUCGGAAGCACCGAUCCAGGCGUGCGCGUUAACAUUGGGUCAGAUGAGGACCCAAGGUACGUCUAUGUAGGUUCAGAAAUGGAAGAAGAUAAGUUCGCUAAUUUUGUAAAUUUUCCUUCAAUGAAUAAAGAUGUUUUUGCUUGGUCGUAUAUCGAUAUGCCCGGAAUAGAUCCAUCAAUUGCAUGCCAUAAGCUACGGGUCAAUCCCAAUUAUCGACCUGUCAAGCAGAAACCAAGGAGACUUGCUCCCAAAUUCCACGAAGCCGUCAAUGAAGAGAUCAAUAGACUCAAGCAGGUCGGCUUCAUCAGAGAAGUCGAUACUCCAGACUGGCUAGCCAACAUAGUCCCAGUCUUAAAGAAGAAUGGAAAAACAAGGGUCUGCAUCGACUUCACAAGCUUGAAUAAAGCUUGUCCUAAAUAUUCAUUCCCACUGCCACGAAUCGAUAGGCUAGUCGAUCAGACAUGCGGUUUUGAGCUACUGUCAUUCAUGGACGCAUACUCAGGGUAUAACCAGAUCCCAAUGUACGAGCCUGAUCAAGAAAAGACCUCUUUUACAACUGAGCAAGGUAUUUUCUGUUACAAAGUCAUGCCAUUCGGGCUAAGGAAUGCAGGGGCGACCUACCAAAGACUGGUCACCAGAAUGUUCGACGACCUCCUAGGUCGAACAAUGGAGGUCUACAUUGAUGACAUGCUAGUGAAAAGCGACAAAGAACGAGAUCAUUUGUAUAACCUCGACCAGGCAUUCCAAAGAUUAAGGCAAUACAGAAUGCGUCUUAAUCCAGAAAAGUGUCUGUUCGGGGUCGCAUCAGAAAAAUUCCUAGGCUACCUAGUCACCAGACGAGGCAUUGAAGCAAAUCCCGACCAAAUCAGAGCCCUGGUCGACAUGCCAAGUCCAAAAACAAAGAAACAAAUCCAAAAACUCAACGGCAUGGUGUCAGCUUUGAACAAGUUCAUCUCAAGAGCAUCAGAUAAGUGCAGACCAAUGUUUCAUAUCCUAAAGAAGGGGGCUACAUAUGAGUGGACAGAAGAAUGUGAGAAGGCCUUCAAUGAUCUCAAGGCAUAUCUGUCUACUCCACCAGUUCUAACAAGGCCCAACGAUGGAGAUGUACUCGGCGUUUACCUCGCAACAUCAGAUUUCGCGAUCAGCGCAGUACUCUUUAAAGAAGAUAACCAGGUCGAGCGACCUAUCUAUUUCACAAGCAAAGUCUUACAGCAGGCCGAAAUAAGGUACACACCUCUAGAGAAGUUAGCAUUAGCACUACUUUACGCUGCAUGCAAAUUCAAGCCUUAUUUCCAAGCACACACUGUAAAAGUAAUCACCGAUCAGCCAUUACGCCACAUACUGGAAAAGAAAAACAAAACAGGUCGUAUGGCUCGAUGGGCAGCCGAGCUGGGUGAUUACACUUUCGAGUUCGUUUCACGACAGGCCGUCAGGGGACAGGUCGUCGCAGACUUUUUGGUAGACUAUCCAGCAGAGGAUGUCAAUUGGGAACCAGAACCUGAAACAAGGCAAGUCCAAGACAACCCCCCAGAUACUUGGCAGCUGUAUGUAGAUGGUUCCCACAAUUCCAAUGGAAAUGGAAUUGGUAGUGUGCUAAUCUCUCCUGAAGGGUCACAGCUCGAAAGAGCAACUCGUCUGGACUUUUCGACCUCAAACAACGAGGCCGAAUACGAAGCACUCAUACAGGGCCUAAAAAUGGCCCUCGACUUGCAAGCAGUUCGUCUCAAGGUGUACAACGAUUCACAACUGGUAGUCAAUCAGAUUACUAACAAUUACCAAAUCAAUGGGAUCAACCUAAUCAGGUAUGCCAGCAAAGCAAAGGAGCUCAUCAGCAAGCUCAGCUAUUUCACAAUUGAACACAUACCCAGAGAUGACAACAGACAUGCUGACUCACUGGCAUUUCUAGCAUCUAAGAUCGAGUCAGACAGACCGCGGGCCCUAACUAUAGCAAUCAACUCACAGCCCGCAUAUCUCUUCAAGGAAGAGGAUAUUCAUCAAAUCUCCGAUCUACUAGAAACAACUCCAGUAGACAUCCAGGGGACUUGGAUGGAGCCUUUCAUGGUUUAUCUUCAAACUGGUGUCCUACCAUCCGACAAAAAGGAAGCCAGUCGAUUGCUGCAUAAAGUCACGAUGUACAAAAUCCAUGAGGGCAAACUGUUCAGAAAAUCUGCAACGGGAUUGUUAUUACGAUGCCUGAUUCCAAAGCAAGGCCAGAUGAUAUUUCAAGAAAGCCAUGAAGGUGAAUGUGGAAACCAUUCCGGUGGGCGUACCUUAGCCCAUAAAGCAAUCUCUCAGGGAUACUUCUGGCCAAGAAUGAAGGAAGAUGCGAAGAAAUUUGUUUUGAAGUGCAAAGAAUGCCAGCGAUUUGCUGAUAAGCAACACCAGCAUCCGAAUGAUCUCAUCAACAUUACUGCACCAUGGCCAUUCCACAUGUGGGGGCUUGAUAUCAUGGGCCCCCUCAUCAAGGAAAAGAAGUCUGAGAAGAGGUUCGUUCUAGUAGCCGUCGACUAUUUCACUAAAUGGGUGGAAGCUGUUGCCUUAACCAAUGUAACACAGGUAGAUGUCCAAAGAUUUAUGUGGGAAAAUAUCAUCACAAGGUUCGGACUACCUAAACGGGUAGUCACAGACAAUGGCACUCAGUUCGUUGGCAAAAAUAUAAAAAAAUUCUACGACCUGUGGAAAAUCGAGCAUUCAAGGUCAACUCCUAGAUACCCGCAAGCCAACGGCCAGGUCGAAGCUGCAAAUCGACAGAUUCUAAACAAUUUGAAGAAGAAGCUCGAAGACCAGCAUGAUCAAUGGCCACAACAGUUGGAGAACAUCCUAUGGGCUUAUAGGACAACUCCUCGCACAUCCACAGGGAUGUCACCAUUCAGUCUUUUCUAUGGAGUUGAGGCCGUUAUUCCCACUGAAUUAACAUUUGGAACGACCAAGUCUCUUCUGGUCGACACGGAGCUCAACAAUCAGAUCUGGUCGUUUGGAGUCGACCUCCUCGAAGAGCGACGUAACCACGCCACUAUAAAGCUCGAGCAAUACCAACAGAGACUCAAGCGAGCUUAUAACAAAGGCGUGCGACCAAGAACUUUCCAGCCAGGGGAACUAGUCUUAAGAAGAAUGUUCAGUAACAAAAGAAAGGACACUAUCGGCAAGCUCAACGCCAAUUGGGAAGGUCCUUACAUUAUCACAAAAGUCCAAAGCAACGGUUCUUAUCGUCUUCAGACACCAGAAGGGGAGAUCGUUAAGAACCCGUGGAACGCUUUUCAUUUAAAGAAAUUUUAUCAGUGAAAUGUAAGCAUCCAUUCAUUGCAUUUCAAUCUAUAAAUUCAAUUUUGCCUUCAUCUCUGCUCAAACAUGAAUGGCUACUAAAGGUCUAAUCCCUCGACCUACAAAUUAUCAAAACUCUAGUCCCUCUGAUAAUUUAAAAGUUUGUUAAGUUAAAUCACUAGAAACUUAACUUGGUGCAUUGGUCAUUCUCUUCCCACGACCCAAGCACAAUUAUGUUGAAUGCGACCUCAACCCACAAUCAGGUCGAGCAAAUGUCACAUAUUGUUUGCAAGUCCAUUCAAGCAGACAAAACGACAUGAGCAACAAUGCAAGGUAAAUCGUUGAAUUAACUUUUUACUUUAUGAGAUUUUAACAAUUACAGGUACAACCAAAAUAGAAUCAAGGCAUACAAGAGGAACUGUUUCAGUACGUCCUGCUUGCAACCAUUCAUCUCGUCUACCUGCCUUCUGAACGAGCUACCAGGACUUCCUGGAAACUAGCUGGUCAAAAGAAAUCUAUACAAGGUCAUCGAAGUAAAAAACUGAUUACUGAUGGCAAAUACAAAAGACAAGGAGUUCUCCACUCAAGCUCUCAGAAUUACAAGGGGGUUCUCAACAAUAAGCUCUAGAAGACAUACUGCAAGAACAGGGAGUGCAAGAAGCAAACUUCGCACAAAGUUACCCAAUACAAGAAAGGGAAACCAAGGUUACCCAAUACAAGAAAGGGAAACCAAGGUUACCCAAUACAAAGAAGGGAAACAAAGGCCAGCUCACUGCUGCACAGACUGGUCGCCAGAAGCAUCAACUUCAAUAAGGGCUCCAACGACCUGGUCACUAGGGCCCAUCGAGGUGUCCUGAGCUGGCGCCGAAGUCUCUUCAACACCACCUCGCGUCUCCUCUCCUUCGGGCGACCCCGUCAUAGCUUUGACCAGUUGCUCGCAGUAGGCCUUCCACGCUGCUUCAUUCUCCUGACAAACCCUCUGCCAGUACUCAACAGAAAAUUGAGAAGCAGCAUCACGUUCCCUUAACUGCUCCUUCAGAGCUGCGACCUGGGCAUCCCUGUCCUUAACCUUACACUCAGCAACGACAGCAAUGUUCCUCGCCUGCUCGAGCUUUUCAUUGAGAGCCUUCAACUCAAUUUCAGCUUGAGCACCAAUCUCAGCAACCAGAUGCACCUCCUGGAAGCUGGCAUUGAGCUGCAACCAACAAACGAAAUUUAGACCAAAUAUCAAAGCAUAACCAAAACAAAUACGACUUACGAUCACACUCACCAAAGACAGUGCCCCGUUUAUCUUUGAACAGGUCACCAACAAAGGCUGCGACUUCACCACUCGGGCAUCAGCGUCCAGGACGAUACCCUCAUUCACAGCCCGGGCAACACAAGGGUCAUCAAUAGCACUGUCGUUCUCAUACACGACAUGCUUCUCUCCUUGCCCGUCCAAAUAAUCGAACGGCCCAGGGCGGAAUUCAGACAAAAUACCUUUGCCUUUCUGCGAAGGCCGAGCAGCAGUCUUCCUGGACAACACAGACAUUCCAGGAGACGUCACAACCAUUGAAGAAACAGGAGCUGGCAUAGCUGGGAACUCCAUCAGCUUAAGGUUCCCUGAGAAGGACCUCUUCUUCCCAGCCAAUGCACCCACCUUAGGAAGUGAGGGGGGUGGACCUGAGACUGGAGGGCUCGCCACGGCUCCAGCUUGGCGAGAGCUACCUACAGCCCGCUCCCUCUCCGCAGGCAGCUCCCUCUCCACAGAUCGUUCCUGCCCCACAGGUCGAUCCUUGUCAACAGGUCGUUCCUUCUCCGACCUCCGAGGAGCACCAACAGAACGCUCUCUUUCAACUUGCUUCGAGCUACCACUUGCUCGUUCACUGUCACCAGCUCGCGAACUGCUACCAGUUCGCCCACCACCUGCUUUGUGCAGAGAAGACAUGAAUGUUUUCUUCAAAGCUUUCCUCCUCUUGAGCUCUUCCCAAACAGUUUUUGGACCACCUUUAGGAAUAAAAUGCUCCUUUAGGUGAGGCAGAAAUGAGAUCUUCCGCUCGUCGCUCAACUUACCAAAGCAGUUCAGAGCAGAUUGCAGAUCGUUUUUUCUAAUCAAUUGAUCGUCCCGGAUCGCUGCAACAAAAAAUACAAAGACAUCAAGUUCAAAAACUGGAAGACGAACCAACAAUCCUAGUACUACAGACAACUAACUUACGAGCGUCAUUCCUAAUCGUAUGACGCAACUGGAUAUCCCCUUCAACAAUCGGCCCAGUGAACAGCAUGGGAUCUUUCCACCAUGGCUCGCUACUCACUGGAUAAAUCAAAGGCAAACGGUCUGGCCUAACCUGCAUGUUAUAGCCAGAGAGUUCAACCUUUGAGGAGCGUUUGAAGCAAAAGUGGUUCUGUACAUCUUUCGGCGUAAUGUUCCACCUAUGCAAUUUGUUGAGGUCCUCAAUUACCCUCAUAUUCCGCCAAAAAUUCCCAUUCAUCUGGCAGGGGGCUCGACCAAUGGCAUUCAACAGGUCGACCACCAAUUCAGACAACGGCAACCUCAGCCCAGCACGGAAUUGGUUCAAAGUCAAUACAGUAGAUGAAGGAUUAUUAGGUCGAUAGUCAGGAGAAAGUAAGCGGUCUCCAAGAAAUCUUAUCUCUAAAUUCCUAAUCGACCUAAGCUCAUAAUGCCUCCUAACAGCAAAAUGCCUAUGCACAUAAUUCAUAUUCACAACUCUACACAAUGUGCCAUUGUCAUCCUCAACCAUCUCAUCAUCAGAAGAAUCUGGACCAUGAGAACCACUACUCUGGGGGCUAUCUACCUUCUCAUCGGGAACGAGAGACGGAGGGUCAGAAUGAGUACUCUCAGACUCAUACUCCUCAAGUCCACCAUCACUCAAGUGAUCAUUUUGCGAGUCACUACCCUCAGACAUUACUCUCAAACAAUACAGAAGACAACAGAAGAUGAAAAAGAAAGAAAAUAAACAAUCAAAGAAAAGAGAAGAAAACAAACCUCACGAGCUCUCAAAGUUCUUCAGAUCGCAAGGCAAAAGCGGCAGCAAUUCAAAUAAAGGCAAGAUAAGUAAACCCUUAUCAACAUAACUACAAUUUAUAUACUGUAACUCAAGCAUUUCCAGCCAUCGAUUCAAAACAAACGAACGGCUGAGAUCGACCAAAGGAUCCAUAUGCAGUACAGUUAUUCUCCACUCACAAAACGGUUCGCAUCCACCGUUGGAUAGAUCCACGUGCAAGACAGAUAGCAAAUCAGGCAAUACGUGCGUCAGUUGCCAUAACCACACAUCUAACUGCUCGAGGAAACUCCUCCACUUCCCCGUAACAGCGCCAUGAUUACCAUAGACAGCGCUGCAUGACUGCCACAUCAGCAACUUCAAAAAAGCAAACUACAAAUCAGCAUCGAUAAGAGUAAUUAGUCUUUUCAGCCCGACUUCCAUAGUCGACCUAAAAAGAGGGGGCUCAUGUAGGGGUACUACAUACUCCGACCAAUCAAAAGUAGCCACGUGGCACAGUCAUCCAUCCGUCAGGUCACCACGAUCUCUACCCGCUCGCAGCUCGACUAAAGCGACCAGACUACACAACGACCAGCGACCUGCUAUUCACACGUGCUCGUAUUCAAUGCACAGAAUAUUCUCAUCAGUUACAUAAUUAAUUCACAGGGAUGAUCCUCGCGCGUUACACAUUUAAUCCUCAUUAUGAUGGCGGAGAAUCUGCAAGAUCCACGAUCCACGCCCUUCUAUCUUCUAUAUAAACAGAACUACGAUGGCUUGAUCUCUAAGUUCAAUUCCCCCGAGCUAGAGUACGUAGGCAAUCUCGAUCUCAACGAGGUGCAGCCACCCCAAUCUCAAACAUCCCCAUUUGGUCAAGUCUCCCUAGCGACCUGACCCAGCAGUGCAUUAAUCUAGAAAUAGGUUAAUACAAUAUGCUAUAUGGAAUCAUGAUGAUUCUUUUUAUCAAUAGACAUGAUUCUACAAGGUUUAUUUGUUUGCUUGAAGUUACUCAUCUCAUUAAUCAUGGAUGUUUCAAUCCAUGAUGUCUUAUUACCUGGACCUAGAAUAAUGCUAAUCAUUGAUACAAUUGCAUAAUUUGGGUAUCAAGUCUAAUCAAUGGUAUAGGCGAUUGAAACCAGGUGCUCGUCUGUGCACAUGGACCGAAGAAAUGCAGAGCACACAUGCUCAGAAAGAAAGGGGGUAGCUAUUGCUUGGAGAUGGAGAGAAGAGUAGUCGAGAAGAAAAAAAAAUGAAGAUAUUUGAAAUUUGAAUACUACAAAGCAACCAAAGAGAAGACUAUGGCAACCAAAGAAAGGCGGUAGCUAUUGCUUGGAGAUGGAGAGGAAUAGUCGAGAAGAAAAAAAAAAAGAUGAAGAUAUUUGAAAUUUGAAUACUAAAAAAACCUAUAGAGAAAUGUGGCGUCGAACAAUUUGUGGCACAUCCUUUGGAGUUAUUUCAAGUUCUCUUAGAAAGGUGUUCUAAGAAUGAAUUUCCAAACAACGAUCAAAGGAUGAAGUGAGAAGAUACUCAUGACUCCAUGAGUCUGAAAGAAAUAAGAAAUGUAUGGGGCUUGAAAUUGAACUUGGCACUCAACAUGUAUCAAAAUCGAACGACAAUGCAUAUGAAAGCAUGUGUGGUCCCACUAAUGCUAAGCAGUUCUCAUCAGAUGAUUGUUCAUUGCUCUUUCGCCCUAUCUGCAUUAAUUAGCUUAUUAAAAUUUGUUCAAUUGUUGUUUUCAACUAAUAUUAAGCUUAUUGCUGUUUACCGAAACUUUGAGACAACAACAUCCUAUUUAAACCAUUUUUAUUCAAUGGAAAAUUCUUGUAUGUUUUGGUUGUUGAUAAAGGAGGGAUUUACUGACUGGACUAAAUAUUGAUGAAUAUGUGGGUGAAGAUAUUCCAAAGUAUAGUACAGAAAAUCAUAGGUGAAAAAAUUCGAAAAUGCCGGACAGAUAUUCACGAAAUAUUCCGGUUUUUAGGAAUUCGGAGCGGUACGGCAUACGAAUAAUAAACGAAAUAUAAACCUCCUCACGCCGCUCGGAUUUUUACUAAUAUUCGUGAAAUAUUUAGGCAAAAUACGAGAUUUACGAAAUUUUUGAUUAUGAAAUUAACACAUUUAUUUUUAAUUCCCACCAAACUAGAACUUUCGAUGAGGUUAUCAAAAAAGGGUCCAAAGAUUAGCAAUAUAAAUAUUUCUUGUUAAUGAAACCUUGGAUUUGUUAAAACUAAACAAACAAAUAGGCACUGGUUGUCUACCUCUCAAUCCAGAAGGCACUAGACGUUUGGAAACUUUCUACUGGGAUGGGGUUCGUGGAACCUCCCUUAUUCUCAAGGCAACAUCCAACCUACCUAUGUUUACCCUCAUUUUUCUUAUGGGAACAUGGGAACCUCCCAAAGUGAUGAUUCCAGUGUACCAUCCUACCAAACCCAACCAGAUUCCAGUGGUUCUUAGUUUCCUAAUAUAGGGAGUUGGUUGGCCCCAAUGACAAGUGGGUCGGACGUGCAGUCAGCUGAUACAUUAAUGCCGGUUCAACAAUACUCGAGAUUUUCUAUCUUUGAAUCAUUUGCUCCGUAUUGUAUGGAUCAAGAUGCAUAUGAUAUGCAUAUUGACCAAUUCAGGUCGUACGAGCAAACAAUGUCAUGGGAAUAUUACUGUACUGAGUUCGUCCCCACACGUAUGCGACUCGAAGCUCAUCGGUUUGACUUGGGGCAUCUAUCAAUCUGGGGUUAGCAUGUCUUUUAUUUUGAUUAUUAAAAUAAAACUAUGGGUUGAGUUGUUAUGAGGUUGUUUGUGUUUAGUUCUUAUAUUAUAAACAAAUAAAAGUUCCGUGAAUAUCCGCCCGAUAUUUACGAUUUUUUCACCUAUGAGUAAAACUAUCUUGUGUAAUAGUUCCGUCUGAGCUUCCUUGUAUGAUUUGUCGCGUGUUUAAUUUGCAAUGUAUGUUUUUCUUUUAAUUAUAAGUUUAUACAUUGAAACCAGAAGAAAAACAUGACAAUAGCAGAAAACCUCCUAAUUUUUCGAAUUUUUUGCGAAUAUUCGCGAAAUAUUUCGUGAGAACCAUUUUUGCCAAACCUCCCAUAUCCGACAUUGGGGUCCGGAUAUUUGCGGAAUAUUCCGGUUUUUCCAAGGUCGGAUAUUCGGAUAUAUUCAAAAUUUUCACAUAUGCAAAAAAUUACAAAUAAUACAGGGAAAGCAAAUACUGUAACCUGUAAUGAUAAUGAAACACUCACUUAAUAUAUCUCUCAAAAGUUAAGGCCAUGGAUCAUCUUGAUUAGAAUAUUCUAUGCUCAGUUACACAUACCAAAAAUGAUUGAAAUAAUCAUUUGAGUAAAUUUGUCUUUAAUGUAACAAAAUUAAGCAAGAGGUCGUUAAUUAUUGUCAUCAUGUCAUGUAUUGUCGCUCACAGUUGGCAAUUAUUUUUACGAAAAUAUUUUACACUAUAAAUAUCAAAACAUUCUUGAAGAAAUGUAUAUAGUAAUAUAAUACAAAGUGUAGUAACCAAAGUAUUGAAAUUGAUGAUUAAUUUAAAUAAAAAUAUAUCAAAAUUAUUUAAACUAGCGUUGCGAAGCAACGGGUACAGCUAGUAGGCUUUCAACCAUAUAACACUAGUUAUACCCGUGGCUUCGCCAUGCUAGUGAUAAUAAAUUUGUAAACUUUUUUUUAUUCUGCAAAAUUGAAAGGAUUUGUAAAUAAUGAUGAUAUGCAUUUACUAAUUAUAAUUAAAAAUAUUUUAAAUUUUGAACUUGUACUAAAAGAAGUUCAUACAACUUUUUUUAGUAAAACUAAUUUUUUUAAUUGUAUCUUCAAAGCUUCUAAGAAAGAUAAAACGUCAAAACAGGGACACAACGACAAUGGAAAUACAACAACAGUAGAUUCAUUUGGCAAAAUUUUAUUUUCAAAAAUGUCUAAAACUUAUUAUGAAUUUUCUUAUAAACAUUAAAAUUUAUAUGUUGUUAUUUUUACAUUCUUAAUAAUACAAGUUGAUGAUAGUAUAUAUUAGUUUCUAUUUUAACUUAUUGAAACUAAUUUUUUUAUUGCAUCUUCAAAGCUUCUAUUUCAUUUAUUUUGUACUAAAAUCACCCUUUGUGUAUUCUGCCGUGUUUUGUACUAAAAUCACCCUUCGAGCCAUUCCGUGUUUUUCACUCUUAGUGCAUCCUCUUAUAGUGUUUCUAACAAUAAUCCAGCUACAUCUCCUCCUUAGUAUUGCAUCUUAUAAAAACUUGCUUUCCAUGCCAUUUAACAGUCAUAGUUCAUUUUUUUUUCGCCAAAGCAAAUAUCAUUAGCACCUAUAAAACAAAUUACAAUGUCUGGGCAACAUGCAUAACCUACAGUGCCAAUUUCCUCCCUCAGGACAUAUCCUCAUGAUUCACAAGUCCCAUACCCUACAACUCAUACAAGUACAAAAAAUAAGACUGAACAAACUGACCAUCUAAC